rnacentral:lncRNA from 1 species
GGUGGAUCACUAUCUGAGGUAAAAAGUGAAGAAGAAGAAGAAAAUGAUGACGUUAGAUAUUCGGGAUUCAAGAAUUUUUUUUUCUUUCAUUUGUUUUUAACGAUAAUGAGUACACUGCCCUUGCCAUUUAAAAUUAUAAUACAACUUAUCUUAGUUUUGAAUGUAAAGAUACUUUUAGAGCAUGACAUCAGUUUUCAACUCAUGACAAAAAUAAACUAAAAUAAAUUUUUUUGAAAGAUACAAAAAUAAAAUGAUAAGCACAAAUACUUACAAUUAUUUCAUAUUUUAUAAUUUUAAAUGUUGUGCAACUAUAAUAAUACUUUUUCUUAAUAUCUUAAAAAGCUUAAUCGAUUUUCAAUCUUUAUUUUUUUUUUAAAUUUAAAUUAUGAUAACUAGUUAAAUAAACUAUUUGAAAAUCAUACGAAUAGGGCCAAUAGGCUAAGGCCAUUCCUUUCACGCGCUCGAGAAAAUUGUAUCCUUUUUUUUAUUAAUAUUGUUAUACAGAACUGUUACUGAUAUUACAUCAUAUAUUACCAAUAAUAUUUACAAACAGAUUAUACAACUGGGACCUUCUUCGUGACAUGUACUCUUCUGAAACGCUGUCCAGAUUCUUUAAACCAUCUCUAAUAUUCGAGAGCUAUUCAUUUCACUCACAUUUUGUGAGGGGCAGACUGGCUCUACUCAAUUAUUUGAUAAUUGAGAGAGUAUUGAAAUUAACCCCUAUAAUGCUUUUAUGGAGGCUCGAACCUUUGCACUCAACAUUGUAAUUGCAAAAAUUCUCCCACUGGGCUAAAGGCCCAUUGAUAAAAUUAUACCCUUUUUGCAUGCUCUGAAAAGCAACUGGGAAGAUACAUUGGUAUUAGCUAGUAGAGUCUUCACCUAACAUACAUACCCAAACAACAACUAAGAAAGGCUACGGAUAGUGAACGGAAGACGUUGAAGAGUGUAGUGUAAAAGAUGGAAAAUUUUCCUCAUUCAUAGCCGCUCGUCAGGUAAACUAGUCAGUUUUUUUUUUUGGUUGUUUUUGUUUUUAUCUUGCAGGGUCUUGGAAUAGAGAAUGAUUCACUUACAUAUGAUGGAGAAAUUGAUAAGCGCUUUCCUAGGAUAGAGAAAAUUAAGGAAGUUUCACAAUCAAAUGGUUUGGUUAAUAUCCUAACCCUAUGACAUGAUCAUUUUUAUUAAGAAUCCAUAAGCACUUUCGUUGGAAAAUGUAUGGUUUCGAGUCUUGCUACGGUGCGUCAGUUGCACUGUGCAGCCAUAACAAUUUUUUCAUUGUCCGUCGUUACAUGCAACAAGGUUCCUAUCAUGUGUGUGUUGUGUAUAUAUAAAUUGAAUAUACAUCAAAAAGAUCAUUACCAAGUACGAACUAAUUAUUAAUGUUUGUUAUGGUGUGGUGCAGCUGAUAUCUUAUAGUUUCACAUUAUAUGUUUAGAUCAAUAUCGCUAACCUUAUAAGUUUUUAUCUUAAAUUUCAUUCUACAUGAUAUAUCAUUCAUUAGGUGGUUGAUAUUUUUUUACAAAUAUCAAGUGAAUUAGUUGUAUUAUUUCAUAAUCUACUUUGAUGAAUACCACAUAAUUUAAGAUAAAAUUUUAAGAAGUCUAACACUACUUUUAAUUUAAUUAAAAAAAAUUUACAUCCACUUGUAAGAGUUUGUUAAUAGUUAAUAUUACAAAUCACCUUGAAAUGCAUACAAUAAAAUUAAUUUUAGGAUAAAAUUUUAAGAUUUGUAACUAGCACUACUUCUGAAAGUAUAGGUAGAAGGAAAAUAAAAAAUAUUAUAGUUAAUGAGAAUUAAAAAAGUAGGCCACGUGGCAAACAUAUAAAAGUAGUUUGUAUACAAUGUAAUUUGUACAUGGUAAUUAAGGUAUAGGCAAACUUAUGCACAACCUUGAUUUCCUCUAGUCCAUAAAUUGAAAAUAACCAAUUCAUCUAAAGCUGUUGGGUUUUUAUGGGCAUAUUUCCAUUUUUCUGUCUUCAAGAUCACUUAUGCUGUUGCUCUUUUAGACAUGUGAUGUUUAAUUUUACAUAAGAUGAACAAAUUUAUAAAGCUCUCUCUCUCACACUCCUCCUCGUCCACCAUACACUCACAAGCAUAUAUAUAUGCAGUACACAUAUAGCUUAUGCAAAUAGACUGCACCCUCAGAUAAGCUAAUAUUGCAAGCAUCACCGUUUGAAUUGUACUUUCGACCACGUGUUCAACAACCACCACCGAAAUAAGAGGGGAGCGGGGGCAAGGGUGGUUUCAAAUGUUAAUCUAAUUCAUUGAGGAAAAUUAUAAAGUUAGUGAUUAUGCUACUAGUUCUUUACAAAAAACAAAAUGUCAUGGAAGAUUGCCAGCGAGUGUUGGAUUUAUCAUCUGUUUGUCAACAAUUAUCACUACAUCUGAGAAAAUUCUGCUCUAAGAUAAAAUAAAGGUGAUAUUUCAUCAUUAUUAUCCCUCGUCAAGAGAAAUAUGAGAUAUUCAACAUGACUAUAAGAAUCUACAGUCCCAUGUUCAACAAGACUAUUUGAAUUUACAGUCUCGUAUUCAACAAGACUUUCUGAAUCUACAGUCUCAUAUCUAAAUAACUCAUAAGUCAACAAUCAAAGUUGGAGUUUUAUAUCAAGUUAUUUACUAAAAUAAGCAUAAAGUAACUCCGACUGCACAUAGGGUGAAAGAAAGAAGAAUGUAUGACCCUGAAUGAAAUAUUGAGUAGUUGGUUGAUUAAAAUUAAAUGCAGUGAUCAUUUUAGGGACAAGUUGGCAAGUGUCAAUGCUAAUACAUUUACCUAUUUUCUAUGUCUUCGCCAGAGGCAUAUCCCUCAGGCUUGUCGCUAUAACCAGCAAAAUCGGAUGUAUGAAAAUAUGUGUUUAGCUUGGUUCUACAUUUUAAUUUCCUCAUAAAGUAAGAAGAUGUUAGAUAGAUUACAAAUGUUAGAGGUUCUCUUUUUGGCAAAUUGCAGUCCACUGUUGAGUUGAAACCAUUCAUGAGUGGGUACGCACCCUACUACUUGUACAUGCUUACAUUUUCUAAUUCAUGUCAUGGGAUUUUAGUGCGUUUCCGCACAAGAUUUGUUCCAUUUGCACACAAUUUAGAAAGAAAAAAGAGCACCAUCCCAAAGCAAAUGUUUUUUGUGGGAACCAAGAUGCUACCUAUAUUUAUUUGAUGAAAUCCAACUAGGUAAUCAAUUUCACUAUUAACAAUUUCAUCUUUCACUGCUUUUUAUUUUCGAACUGCGAUGAGAAUGGAUGAGAACAAGAUCAUUAUUGUCGCUACAGCACCAAAGAAGGCUGCUUAUAAGGCGGCUUAAAGACGUAAGAGCUUCAUUUCUAUAGUCCAAAAAUGUAAAAAUUAUCUUCCAGACUUUAAGAAGAUUUCAGUAGAGAGAUGAUCGGAUGAAGAUUAUUAGAAUGCUAGCUACUUCCACUUAGAGCUGCUGCUAGCAUGACCAUGCAACAGAGUUAGAAAAGAGACAUCUUGGUGGGAGCAGAUCCGGUUGUGUCUGGCACCAAUGUAUCAUUCUUUGUUCACUUCAAAACUAUGAAUGUUGUUUAUAUCAAACUUAUGCUACUGUUUUUCAAGAUAGAUAUAGGGGUAUUUCAUUUUCCAGGAGAGUAAGAGGAACAGACAUACAAAGUAUCAUUUGUCUCUCUUGUGCUCUCUCUCUCUCUCUCUCUCUCUCCCUCCCUCUCUCACACACACACAAAAAAAUACAUGCAUAUACAUAUGCAGCCCACACAAAGUUAGCAAAUUGACUGCACCCUGAGAUUGGCUAGUCUUGCUGACAUCAAUGCUUGAGUUCAUUUCUUGUUGCAAGUCGUGAUAUAAAUCAGAUGAAUUUGUUAGCAUGAUAAUGAAUGAUUUAUAACCUAUUUAAUUUUUUGUAAUCUUAAGUACUAUUGUAAUCGAAACAGUGGUUGAAGACAAGCUAGUUGGUCAUUGAAGCUCAUAUUUUCUAAGUAAUGUGAAAGGUUCUCAAUAUGCUGUAGAACAUGUGCACGUAACGUCAUAAUCCACAACGUUAAAGGAGUACCAUCACCGAAUCAAAUGGUUUCGAUGGCAACGGAGAUGCUUCCUCAAUUUUUUUUAGUGAAUGAAAUCUAAAUUGUUAUUUUCAAAUGCCAUUCUGAAAACGUCAACAUAAUAAUUAGAGAUGAAGGUUUUGGAUGGCUAGAUGCAGAGAAGAGAAGAAAGGUGCUCUACGUUUUGUAGCAUGGAAUGAAUAUCAUGCCCAUGGCUGAUUGAGAUACCCCGCAAUGCAAAGAUUUAAAAAUAUAUUAAUAGAAUUUAGUUGCAGUUUACCGCUAAGAAAAAUACUAAGAGCAGUAAAUUUGUCUUCAUCGUUUAAAACUUGCAUCAUAAGAAAGCAUUGUGUGUUGUAAGGAUAGAAUAAGCUAAUGCAUCAAAAAACAUAUAGAUAAGCAUCCAAUUCAUCUUUAUUUGCAAGUGUGUUGCAUUGCUGUGUAGCUUUCGUGUAGAGGCUAGGGAGUUGAAAGAAACAGAGUGGAGGAAAAGAUUUUGCGUUUGGGUAUGACUUAGUCAAUCUUGGGAGCUGUAACUACUUUACUCGGAAGCAAUUUAUUACAGUAGAAAAGAAUCUUCCCCGAAUAUCACAUAUGUAAUAUAAGAAAAUUUAAUAAUAAUAAUAAAAGGAGGCAUUUUAUUUUUAUCAUUCCAUGUUGAGAGGAUUAGAGGAACUUGGGAAAAAUUUCCAAUUUAACUUAUACAAGACAUUUACUAUUACACAUCAUUUAAAUAUACACAACACUCGAAUAUGCGAAAGGAUCUGUAUAUAUCAAGAUAUUUUACGAAAUAUAUGCAUGCAGUUGAGUUCAUGCAUUGGCAGACGAAAGAAAAAUGUACAACCUUCAUGAGAAAGGGCUAGACCGUCGGCUAGUAAACAUAAAUUGAGUACAAACGAUGAUCAACACACCUGAGAAGUACCGAUAGAUGAAGAAGAACAAGCCAGGGAUAAUGAAAACCAUAACUACUAGCGCUUUGGCCUUUGGCAUUAUAUAGCACUAAAUAUGUGCCUGUAAGAAAUGCUAACACCAAAUUAACAAGCAAUAAAGUAUUAGUCCUAGGCUCAGUUGCCAUUGUCAAUGCUCCAUACUCUUCGUCUCCAACCUUGACAAGUAAGUAAGGUGGAUGAACACGGCACUUGUGGACAAAGUCAUGGCUAUCAAAUUGAGCGUAAUAAAUGCUAGCCUGUAAAGCAUUGCUUGACGCUUCUAGUUAGAACUGCGGCACCCCUAGUCUGGACUCUGGACUCUAGACCCAUUUCAUUAUUGUAACCAGCAGGCAUAGUAAUACUUGUGGUAAAAGUAACAGUUGCUACAAGUGCAACAAUUUCUAUACAGGAAUCCUUUGCUUCCUCGACAUGUCGCUCUAAGAUAUUGUCUAACUUUUCUUCUCUAUUGUUCCUCUGCUUCUUCUCUUUUGUAUUAUUAUUACCUUGAUCAAUUCUUUCCCAUCUCCACGGACUACAUGUCGCCGGCACGAGAUCCAAUUUAGUCUAAUCAAGCACCAUGGAAAAAAUCCCAACUACAACAAUAUACAUAUGUGGUACAUUUUGAGAGAAUUAUAAACAUUAACACUUAAUUAAUUUCCUAAAAUUUGGGAAUAUUUGAACUUGUAAUAGGUUAUGACAAUCAAACCAUGGUAUGAAAUAAGAAAUCCACAUUUUUUAUAUGGUUAAUACUUUUUUCCACAAAUUUCUUCGGGUUUGCUUAUGGCAAAACAAAAAAAAGGCUGAAGAUGAAGGGGAGGACUUAUAGAAAUUCAGACUAUAUAAAUUCUCACACAUAGAACAACCCCCAACGUACAAAAUAUACACAACAGUAAAAGGUAUAAAUAAUUCUCUGAAUUAAUUAAUUGUAUCAUAUUCAAAUUUAAGAGCAUAAAGCCUAAAGCGUUGUAUCCUCUGUUCUGUUGUUGUACCCAAUAAAGGGCUCAAUAUCCUUUGUUCUGUUGUUGUACACAACAAAGGGCUCUUCCCCGAAAAAGCCAAUGAACUCUAGGAAAGCAAAUUCCUUGGAUCUCCUCUAAAAAAUUCAUUAACAUCUCGUCACAAUGUUUUCACCAGUCUUUUUAAACAAUAAAAAGGUCCAAAUAAAUUGUAAAUCAAGAAGAAGCAACUUUGGCGAUAUUCAAUACUAAAUAUGUGCCUGUUAAAAAUGUCAACACCAUUGUAACACGGUAAAAAUUAUCAUUACUUGGCUUAGUUUCUAUAGUAAAAAUUUCAUACUCUUGUUUCGCAACCGUGAUAUAUAAAUGUGGAUGAAGAUGGCACCUGUGGACAAAAUCAUGGCUACCGAAUUAAAUAUAACAAAUGCUUAGAAACCUCUGCUUUUGAUUAGAACUGUGGUACCCUAGUUUGGACCAUUGCCACCAUUUUUGUUGCUACAAACAGAUGCUCAGCAAAGAAGAGAUGGAAAUGGAAUCUUCCCAUAUCCAGGCUUGACAAAACACUCAUCAAUUUCAUCAGUUCAAAAACUUUAUUUUUUAUACUAAUUAGAUUGAGUAGAAGAACAGCAAAGACACUUCCCCCAAGUUGGUGCAAUAUGCUCUAAUCACUAAUCAUUUCAUCACUAAUCCUUUUGUUUAAAUAAAGUGAUUUAUCUGUAUUCUCUAGCUCUUCUUUCUUAUCAAAUCAAAUUAAAAUUAGAAAAAAAACAAGUGUGAAAAUUCAAACACAUUACUUUUGAAUAGAGAUGGCAAUUGGUUAGCUCAAGCUUGGACUUGGCUAAACCAAAGUCUGGCCUUAUUAUUAAAAUUGAAAGACUAACUUGAAAAAAGUCUAACAAUUUGUAUUUUGCAUCGAGUAGGUUGGGCCCAACCCAAAUCAGGCUAGAGGCAGGUCAAGCUUUUCUAAAGCCCGCACAAUGUUUUCUCUCUCACUUUAAAUAUUUUGCUUUAUUUUGUCUGAUUUUGCUUUACUUUGUCCAAUUUUGCUUUGUUGGUCAAUAAUGCAAAACCAAUUUGCUUUGUUCUAGGAUCAUUAUAUGUUCAUAAUUUUUCAUUAAAAAAAAAACCAAUGUCUUAUCCAAAUAAAAACAUACAAUUCCACAACUGAACAUUAAAACAAAAUCCAUAAUUUUUCUCAUUUGCAUUGCACCCAAAAUUACUCUUUUAUAUAUGCAUGCAAAUAUAUAUAUCUUCCAUAAAACUAAAAAUUCAUAAUUUUUCUUUUUUUUUUUCAAUUUAGGGUGGGAUCGUCAACCCGACCCUAACCUAAAUUUUGAUUGGGCUUUAUUUUUUGGCCCAAGCCCGUCUUGAAUCUUGAAAAUUCGGGCCAAAAAUCUAAAAAAUAUAAGUCGAGUCAAUCGAGCUAAAAUUUGGUUUGAGUCAAAUUGUCAUCCCUACUUUUAAACAUGAAUAGAGCUACAUAGUUUCAAGGAAAAGGCACAGGUGGUCAUGAACAACCUUAAAAUUUUUGUUGCUACCCAUAACUACCCACACAUUCAGGAUAAGCUUUAAGACCAAGAAAUGUUCCUAACAUGGACUUGACUGCUAAAGUUCUUAUCACAAACCAAAUUCUAUUGUCUAUUGUAUAGACAUCAAACAAUUCGCAGGAUUAAUGUGGAUUUCUAUCUGCUAUCAUCUCUUCUUUCUCAUCAAGUCUAAUUAAAAUUAGAAAAAACAAGCAUGAAAGUUUAAACAUAUUACUUUUGAAUAUAGACACAGCUAAAUGGUUUCAAGAAAAAUGCAUUGGUAGUCAUGAACAACCUUAAAAUUCUUUUAGCUACCUAUAGCUACCCCCACAUUCAAAAUAAGGUUUAAGACCAAAAAAUGUUUCUAGCAUAGACUUACAUGCUAAAGUUCUUAUUAGAAACCAAUUUCUAUUGUCAAUAUAUCAAAGAAUUCCAAUUAUUAAUAUGGAUUUCCACAUUGACAGAGUAACACAGUUUCAAAGAAAAUGCACCAACAGUCAUGAACAACCUCAAAAUUCUUUCUACCGCCCAUAGUUACAUAGACAUUUAAGAUAAGCUUUAAGACCAAGAAAUGUUCCCAAAAUAAAAUUACUUGCUAAAGUUCUAAUCACAAACUAACUUCUAUUGUCUACAUAUCAAACAAUUCAUGGAAUUGAAGAAAACCAAGAUCGAAGAUUUUGAAUCCUCAGCUCAGCAUCUUGUCACCGGCUGCUCGAAUUUUCUAAUAAAGGAGGCUAAAUUGGUGACUCUAGGUGCACUAAAAGGCAAGUCAAAAUGCACUAAGUAACAGCUUGCCUAAAUUUUCAAGUAUGUCAACCCAAAUUCAAGCCAAGUGUGCUAGCUUGGCCCAAUUAUAGAAUGUUCUAAUAUAAUUUAGCACAUACUUGUACAUGUCUAGAACUUUUUAUACUUGUAAAUAUCUAGAUAUAUUGAUAAAAUGUGCAAGUUGUAUGGAAUUAUCUAAAACUUGUGAAACCUUCCUACAAAUAAGGUAUGACACUUACUAUUUUACACAUACAACACACUAAGCAACUCAAGUAUACUUGUGAGUUCUCAAGCUCUCUUAUACUUUUUCUUUUGAGUAAAAAAAAAUUUUUUUGGCUACAUUGCUCUCUCUUCUCUAUAACUUUUGUAAUCAUCUUUACUUACCUAGUUUGAUAAAUUCGAUAGGUUUACUUAGUAACUUUUAUGCUAGAAGUUGUCUAAGUAUUAUACCGAUUGCUGCAAAACAUACUCAUCUCGUGAUAAUGUACCUCCAUUUUAGACAAUAUCUUAUGCUCCACUUACUCAAUCGGGAUUUUAUUAGAUCUUAAAAUAGAACGAACAAAAAUUGAAUACUCACCGACCACACCUUCUAGCCAUUAAAAAUCUAUACUAGACAAGACAUAUUUGUUUAGAGUGAACCAUGUGGAAGACACAAGUACGAGAACCAUCGGCAUCAAAGGGCUUGCCAGGCUUAGUGUCGAGAAAUGCAUAACCUCUAAUCUGACACUUCUUGCGCUAACAAUUAACAAUUCAUGAUUAACAAAUCAAGAUCAGUAAAUAGUAAACAGAACAACAAAUUUUCAAUAAGUCUACAUGAUCACAAUAGAAAAGUAAACUCCAAACAACUCUGAACAAAUGAGCAAAUUUUCAAUAGUCUGUCCAAAUUUUCAAGUAUGUGAACCCAAAUCAAAGCCAAGUGUGCUAGUUUGGCCUGAUUCUAGAAUUUUUUUAUAUAAUUUAGCACAUCUCAUCAACUUGUACAUGUCUAGAAUUUUUUACACUUGAAAAUAUCUAGAUAUGUUGAUAAGUUGUGCAAGUUGCAUGAAAUUAUCUAAAAUUUGUGAAGCCUUCUUAUAAAUAAGGCAUGACACUUACUAUUUUACACAUACAACACACUAAGCAACUCAAGUAUACUUGUAAGUUCUCAAGCUCACUUGUACUUUUUCUUUUGGGUAGUAAAAUUCGUUUUGGCUAGAUUUCUCUCUACUCUAAUGCUCUUUUGUAAUCAUCUUUACUUACCUGAUUUGAGAAAUUUGAUAGGUUUACUUAGUACUUUUUAUGCUAGAAAUUGUCUAAGUGUUGUACCGAUUGUUCCACAACAUACUCAUCCCGUGAUAACUUGCCUCCAUUUUAAACCAUAUCUCAUGCUCCGCUUAGUCAAUAGGGAUUUUAUUAAAUCCCAAAAUGGAACAAACAAAUAUUAAAUAUUCACCGACCACACUUUCCAGCCAUUGGAAAAUUUAUAGUAGACGUGAUGUAUUUGUUUAGAGUGAACCAUGUGGAAGACACAAGUACGAGAACCAUUGGCAUCAAAGGGCUGGCCAGGCUUAGUGUCGGGAAAUGCAUAACCUCCGAUCUGACACUUCUCGCGCCAACAAUUAACAAUUCAUGAUUAACAAAUCAAGAUCAGUAAAUAGUAAACAAAACAACAAAUUUUCAAUAAGUCUACAUGAUCACAAUAGAAAAGUAAACUCCAAACAACUCUGAACAAAUGAGCAAAUAACUUAAAAGACUACAUACAUACAAAGAAUUAAGGUAGAACCUAGCUUGCCAAUUAGUUACGAAUACUAGCUUUUAUGUUAUUUAUAAUUGACCAAAAUGAAAUAACUCAAAUUUGAAUAAGUUUAUAUGGAAAUAUUUGGGAACGGGUAUUAGCAUCAUGUUUAAAUGAGAAUAUGUCUUUCACUAAGUCUAGAUUCAGCAAACCAUUUGAAUAUAUUUGCAAAAUAAUAAUAAUAAACGUAGAAGUUAGAUAUGAAAUUAAUAAUAUGCAGAGAACUUGGUCCUAUAUAUGUAGCUUUAGACUAUAAGAUAAAAAAGGAAAGUUCGUCAAACUAACUAGAAAUUUAGACAAUAAUAGAUCAAAAUUGAGCCUUAAAUUGAUAUGAACCUGAAGACAAAAUACAAUUUUAUUAAUAAAAGUUAUCAAAAUCAUUUUCACAUCUAUCAAUCAACAACAUGCCAUCGUUGACGCAAAUAUCGGUGUAAUCCUCAUGAAGUCGUAUUUAGGGCAACCAAACUAGAUAAUAAUAAUAAAAAGCAAAUAAAUAGUCUAAUAAUAAUAAUAUAAAACAAAAAUACAUAAAAUUAAGAACAUACCGGAAUUUGAUGCUUCGUGUCUUUUGAUUAGGCAUCACCUAUUGGUUGAAUGCGAUGUAACUCAACGAGAAUACCCCAGAUGUAGAGGGCACUCUUGGUUGUUUCUAGCAACUAUGAGUCUCUGAUAGAAUUUGUAGUAUAGAGUGUUUAAGAAAUGAGAAAGUGAAAGAAAACAUAGAGAAUUUAGAGAAGUUUGCUGUGUAAUCUGGAAAAAUUAAAACCAACUAUUUAGACUAUAAGUAUAUGUAUACAUGUAUUGGAUAGCUAUCUAAAGUGUUACAAUUGUAAAGUAUGUAAAGUUAAAUCUAACUAAUUACCAAGUAGGUUGUAAUCAACUGUGUGCUUAUCACAUUCACUAACAUCCUAUUAAGAAUGUUAACUGUCCGAUCUUCACUCGAAAUAAAAGAAAUAACAAUUUGUUUAGCAACUACUUUCUCUAAAUAAAUCGUAUACCAAUCUCUACAUGCUUUACAGUUUUCAAUUUAGUGUCGCCUACUGGUUAAAUGUUAUGUAACCCAACGAGAAUAUCCUAAAUGUAUAGGGUAGUCUUGGCCAUUUUUUGCAAAUUUGAGUCUCAAAUUAAGAGUGUAAGUGAGUGAAACUGUCAAAUUGAGUGAUAAGAAGCUAAAAAUAUAAAGAAAAGCUUAGAGUCAUGUGGUUUGAAGGAUACCCUUAAUUUUAUAUUUAUUUUAUUCCGCCAAAAAUUUUAAAUGCCUAGAGUUUUGGUUUUUAGAGUUUUUGGCAUCCUCUUAUGGGCCUUUAAAUAUUUUAAAUUUAGGCUAAGGGUAUUUAAUGCUUCCUAGUCCAAAGCCCCUUCCAGCACUUAAGUUUUGCCCAACCUAAAGCACAUUAUGAAAUCUUGACUAAUUUUUAUUAGCACUGGAUUCACACAAUUAUCCUUCUUAUAAUUUAAAAAGAACUACUUGUAUUUUAAAUAUUCUAUUAUUUUUUAUUAAAUUUAAAAUUUUAAGUUUCUGUAUAUUUUCUAAAAUACUUUAACUUAAACCAUCUAACUUAGUUUACUCAAAACAUUAAAAAAAAUAUUUAGCUCAAAUCACAAAUAAAUUUGAAAUCUGGCAUAUGCUUAAGUAAAAUGAAAACAGGUCAAAUCGUAUACAAAGUUUUUAACAACAUUUUGGUGGUGGUUGUUGUUGUUGUUGUUGUUGUUGUUAUUAUUAUAUAUAGUAGUUUUCUGGUCAUGAAUUUUAAAGUGCGGGAAAGUCAUGGCAAGCUUUAAAAUCACACGGCUUUAAAGGUUUUUUGUGGUUUUAAAGGUUUCCCGCACUUUCUCGUACUUUAAAAUUCAUAACUGAAACAUUUCUCUCUCUCUCUCUCUCUCUCUCUCUCUCUCUCUCUCUCUCUCUCUCUCUAUAUAUAUAUAUAUAUAUAUAUAUAUAUAUAUAUAUAUAUAUAUUCAUUCCAAAUUCUUUAAUAUCAAGAAUUAUACAUUUUUCUUUGCCAUCCGGUUGUAAUAAAAAAAAAUGGCCAUCUCACAGAAGAAGAAGCAGAAGACUACGUUAGAAGAUGCUACCACUAGAUAUGCUCUAGUUGAUUUGGCUUCAACUUUAGCAAUACUUUGAUUUAAUUUUAUUUUUUGAAACAUAAAAGGUCUAACAUAUUUUGUAGUUUAAAUAUUUUAAAAUAUUAUUUAUUAAACAUCUAAAGCUUGAAUUUUUAUUAAUUUUAAAUUUUAAAACAUUUACUUGUUUACUUUUUGUAACUUAUGUUUAAUUUUCAUAUACUUACAUUUGAAUUAAAAAUAAAGUAAACUUUGUGACUUUUAUCUAAAUAAGAAGUAGAUGUUAUAUUAAAAAAAUAACUUUAUUAAAUAUACUUAUUUCAUAAAUUAUAAAAACCUAUUUUUUUAUUUAUAGGACAUAAAUAUCAAAUAACUAUAUUUAACAUAUUUAAGAUGUAAAAAAUAGAAUUAUAAGUUAAAUAAAAAGUGUGCUAUAUGAGUGCUAAAAAUAAUUAUUUAAUAUUAACUUAAAAAAAAUUAUCCUUAAUAGUAAUUUAAAUUAUGAAUAUUUUUGUAAUAAAUUAUUUUGUUAAAAUAAUAGUAUUUAAAGCAAUUAUUAAAAUACAAAUAUUCCCACUAAUAAGAAAUAAACAAAAUUUAAAGUAAUUAUUAAAAUACAAAUAGGCCCACUGAUAAAAAAUAAACAAAAGAGAUAAAAGCUAAAAUAUAUCAUUAUCUCUAAAAAAGAAAAAAAAAACAAAUCCUAAAUCCCCAUUGUCAAAAGAUGAAAUAUAUCAUUAUCUCUAAAAAAGAAAAAAAAAAAAAACAAAUCCUAAAUCCCCAUUGUCAAAAGAUGGGAGCGUGUCAUGCUCUCAUGAGAAGAGCGGUGAGGUUCUUGGCAUGUGGGCUGUCACUCUCCAUAAGAAGAGCGACUACGCCUGCAAGAUCAAAACUCAUCAAAAGACUUACAUCUUCUUCCUUCCUCACUGAUUUGAAGUAGGUUAGGAUAUUAUUUUUUGAAUUAAUAAUGUUAUAUGAAUUUGAUUGAUAAUGCAUUGUGCAAUAUUUGAAAUUAAUAAGACAAAAGGUUGUUUAUGACUUAAGUUGAUUAAUUGGAGUUAACAAUAAGCUAUUAGUUGCAUUUUUUAUGGAUAUUCUUAUGAACCAAACAAAAAGUUUGAUGAUUUAUACAGCAAACAAUUUCCGGUAUAUAUAUUGCUCAAGUGGAAUUCUAAAAUAGCAUUUAAUUUUUAAGAUGCUAACCCACUCAAACAGGAAAAGUACUCGAAAAAAAUAAACGUUGUUCAUGUAAUUGUGCUCGUGCUCUUGACUGAUUUUACCUUCCAAUGUUUCCAUUUCAAGCUCUUAAAGAUGAAUACAAAGACACAUAAAAAAUUGCAGAAGCAUACUUGAUCAACUAUAAUAUAUAUAUAUAUAUAUAUAUAUAUAUAUAUAUAUAGUCAUUCUCUAGUAUAGUCGUUCUCAUUUAUUUUUCAUGCAAACACACUUUAAAACUAUAUGAUUUAAAAGAAUUAGUUUUUAACUCUUUAAAACCGCACGGUUUAAAGUAUGUCCGCAUUAAAAAAAAAAAUAUAGGCGUCCACACUUGAAAAUAAUUAUAUGUAUAUAUAAAUCAAGCAAAAAAAAAAAAAAAACCACCCUACAUUCAGCCAAAUGAGAAGAGAGAAUUUUUUGUAUUCUAUUUCAUAAUUUUUAUUUUAAUUAAAAAUAAAAAUCCCCAAACCCGAACCCAAAAUUUUAUUAGCUCUUAAGCCUAUCCCCGAAAUAGCCCUAAUUUCAUUUUUUAGACAUUUUAGGACCCACAACCGACCCAAAUUUAUCGGGAGUCCGCUGGCUCAGGGAUCCGUGGAAAAUAUUGCCAUCCCUAUUUUUUUCUCCCCCUCCAAAAUGGAGAUCGGAGAUGGCUACAGGCUGCUAAGUGCUAACCAAUUUAUACAUGAAGAUGGGUUACAUGCACAUACGGUGAUACGGGGUUCAGUCCUAUAAGAAAUUUCAUCAUCAUCAAGUAAAUUAAAUAGUAAUUUUCUAAAUAUGUGUUGAUUAUACUGAUCAGCUGUUUUGACAUAUUAAUGAUAAAAAGGAAUUAUAAAAUUAGUAUAUAUUUUUUUAUUAACAUUGUAACAUUGUAUCAUUUUUAUUCUUAUUCUUGUCGCCAUUGUUUCAUCUUUUUCUUUCUAAAGUUUUGCUGAUUAAAGAAUUAAUUAAUGACUCGUCGGACUGUCCAUUUUCUAAAUGAAAAGGGGUAGACCAUAUUUACUAAAAAAUGCAUAGGCACUUUCGUUGAAAGAGUACAAUUUGAGCAAAAUAUACUGUUCCAUACAUGGGCACAUGGCUUAGAGAGCAUGUCCACAGUCAAAUUUACUUCAUCAGUUUUGUUUCAUUAACCCCUUACCAUUAAAUUCAUACGACCAAGCUUCAUUAGUUGAUAGUUGAAAUUGUCCUAAUGUACACACAUAUUGCUUGUGCCUAAAGCAUAUUGUUGAGGAUCUGCUAGAUUUAAUAUCUUCCACAAUUUUUUUAAUUUCUUUAUUUCUUAAAAGAUCUGAAUUUGGAUGAUCGGCUAAAUAUGUUUGAAAAUCAUUCAACUAGCAUAGGCCUGUUCCAUUUAAGAGCUUAAGAAAACUGUACCUCUUUUACAUGCUCCAAAAAACCACUCGGUAACAUAUAAUUUCUAAAAAUUAAUAUUUGAUGAAUUAAUAAUCUCCAUUACACAUCAAUUAUUUAUAAUCCCAACUUGGGCUAAUAGGUUAAAUUAAUAUGAUAAUAGUUGUUUUGAAAUCCCUUGCAUAUAUGUUUCAUUGAAUUGUAUAAACACUCAAUAAGUCGACAAUUAAUUAAUUCUUCUUUAAAUUAAUAGAUUUUAUAUGAUAAUGACAUUAUUAACUUACAGAGGAUUUACCGUUUUGGUAUUAGGUAGAGUCUUCACUUACCCUAAUUAUUACUCAAUUAUUAGGAAACACACAAAACUUUCGUUGGAAAGAAUUACAUAUAGUCUCCUGCCUUGGCAUUUCGUAAUAAGUUGUUCCUAGAUAAGCACACUGUUACUAUUAUAUUUAACAAGUUUUCCUACAUACGUAGUAAGAAAAUAUAAAUUGAAUAUACGGUUUAAAAAGUUGUUAUCCAAGAAAAAAAAAAUGUUACUAAUAAGGAGAAAAGAGUGCUGAUGAUUAUAGCUGCACCUUGUAAUUUUACAAGUAUAUAUUUUAUCUUAAAUGAUAUGUCAUUUAUUAAUCAAUUAUUUUUUUCAUAAAUUUCAACUGAAUUAGUUAUAUUAUUUCACGGUCACUUUUUUCUUUUAAAUUAUAUCAUUAUUUUACGUGUUUUAUUCUGAUGAAUGACACAUUAUUUACAAAAUUUAAGAUAAAAUCUUAAGAUAUCUACCACUGCUUUUAAUUUGAUUGAAAGUUUUAUUUUCAUUCACUUGUAAGAAUUUUCAAAUAGUUGAUACUACAAAUUACCUUCAAGAUAAAAUAAAAUUAGAACAAUACUAGAUGUCCAAACAUUUAAUUCUCAAUUUAAAUUCCAAUUGAUAUAACAUUCAUCCAUUAGAUAGUGGUUACAAGUUUCAAGGAUGAUGAGUUGUGAUUCAAAUGUUGGCGAUUCUUAAUAUUAUUAAUAAAGCUAAUUUUUGGGUAAAAUUUUAAGAAAAGUAAUAUAAUUAAUGAGAAUUAAAAAAAUAUAGGCCACGUGGCAUUCUAUACAAUAAUAACUCUAGUAAUAGCUACUCAAAAUAAUUAAGGCCUACGCAAACUGGCACAACCUUGAUUACCUCUAUUCCCAUAGAUUUAAAAUUACCAAUACAUCUUAAAGCCGUUGGGUGUUUUCCGGGCAUAUUUCCAUUUUUCUGUUUUCAUGUAAUCAAAUUUAUCACAUAUGCUCCUGCUCUUUCAUGUUUCAUUUUACAUCAGAUGAACAGAUUUAUGUAAGUUCUCUUCUCGCACGCCCUCUCACACGCCGGACACUCACACACACACACAUAUGCAGCGCACACAAAAUUUACGCAAAUAGACUGCAUCCUGAGAUCAGCUAAUGUUUGCAAGCAUCACUGUUUGAGUUGUAAUUUCAAAAAAUGUGUUCAACAACCACCACCAAAAUAAGAGAGGGGUUGGGGGCAGGGCUGGGUCGGUUUCAACUGUUGAUCUGACUCAGAGGACAAUUAUUAGGUUAGUGAUAGGGGUAGGCAAAAAAACCGUAGUCUUAAAAAAACCGAACCGAACCGACGGUUUUUUCUAAUUCGGUUUGGUUUUUAUUUUUUAAAAAAACCGAAUAUACCAUUUGUAAAAAAAAAACCGAAAUGUCGGUUUGGUAUUCGGUUCACUUAGCUGAACCGAAAAACCGAACCGAAAAACCAAAUUAUUUUUUGAUUUUAUUCAAAUCAAACAUGUGUUAUUUCUCUUUAUAACAUUAUGAUUAUGUUUAUAUAGAUGGAGUAUUGGAGUUUGGUUAUGUAUUUUGAAAUUUUAAUAUUUCAUAUAUUUGGGAAUAUCUUAUUAAUAGUUAGUAAGAUAUUAGUGAUAAAAUGUGUUUUGAAUUCUUUGUAUUUAUUGUUAAUAUUUGUAAUAAAAUUAUGAUAAAUUAAUUAUUGAAAAAAAUUAUUACAUUCAUGAGGCCCAAUGGGCUAAAAAUUUAAAAAUUCAAAAUAGGCCCAGAACCGAAAAAAUCGAACCGAACCGAACCGAUCCAAAAAGAACCGUUUGAGUUCGGUUCUUAUUGAGUUUGGUUCUUAUUCGGUUCUUUUUAUAAAAUAACCGAUUUAAAUCGAUUCUACUUAAUUUCGAACCGAACCGAACCGAACCGUGCCCACCCCUAGUUAGUGAUUAUGAUACUAGUUCUUACCAGAAAACAGAAGAGGAUUGUUGUAAGUGCUGGUGAGUGUUAGAUUUAUAAUCUGUUUGUCCACAAUUACCACAGCAUCUGAGAAAACUCUGCUCUAAGCUAAAUUAAAGGUGUCAUCACCGUGAUUCCUCAUCAAGAGAAAUAUGAGAUAUUGAACAUGACUAUCAGAAUCUACUGUCCCAUGGUCAACAAGACAGUUACAAGACUAUCUGAAUUUACAGUCUCAUGUCUAAGUAACUUGUAAGUCAUGGAUCAAUGUUGGAGCUCUAUAGCAAGUCAUUUACUAAAAAUAAGCAUAAAGUAACUCCUGACUGCACAAAGGGUAACAGAAAGGAGAAUGUAUAACCCUGUAUACCUAGUAUUGCAAGCAGUGAUCAUUGCAGGUUGUUGGUUGACAAGAAUUACAAGCAGUGAUCAUUGCAGGGACAACUUGGCAAGGGUCAAUGCUAAUACCUUUACCCCAUUUUCCAUGUCAUGGCCAGAGGCAUAUUCCUCAGGCUUGUGGCUAUAACCUGCAAAAUCAAAUGUAUGAAAACAUGCAUUAGUCUGGUUCUAUGCUCUAGUUCCCUCAUAAAAUAAGAAGAUGAUUAGAUAGAUUACAAAUGCUAGAGGUCCUCAUUUUGACUAGAUAAAGUCCCCUGCUAAGUUGACACCAUUCGAGAAUGGGUAUGUGCCCUGCUACUUGUACAAGCGUACAUUUUCUAAUUCACAUCAUGUGAUUUUAGUGUGCUUCCACACAAGAUUUGUUUCAUGUGCACAUAAUUCAAAAGCAAAAGAAGCACCAGCACCAAAGCAGUACCUAAAAAUUUUUAUUGAUGAAAUCCAACUAGAUAAUUAUAGUCAUUCCGAAUAUUUCAACAUUCAACUUAAUAAUCAGAGAUGAAGGGUUUAGAUUUCUAGAUACAGAAGAAAAGAAAUGUGUUCAUACCUUUGAAACAUGGAGUGAAUAUCAUGCCCAUUGGCGAUACCCUGCAAGGAUGUGAACCUAUAAUUAGAUGUUGCUAGCAAGAAGAACAAUAAGAGUAAAUAUGCAUUCACCAUCUAAAACAUCCUUAAGCAGGUUAAGUGAACAGUAAUAAUAAGAUAGCUAAUUCAUAGUAAAGCAUCUAAAAAUAAGGAUACAUUUCAUAUUUGUGUGCAAGUUUGGUGCUGUGUAUUGUUUGUGAAAAAGCUUGGGAGUUGGAAGAAACAGAUUGGAUGUGAAACUUUUGAAAAUUUGGGUGCCAGUCACUCAAAUCACGGGGAUUUCAGCGAAUUUUCAGCAGUAAAUUACUGCCAAAAAGUACCCACUCCCAGUUUUCACCUCGGAAAAUUUUCUUCACCUGCAUUCCCAUGUUGGUAUCUUGAAUCAUUAGAUUUUAUCAUUUUCCUCCUCUUUCAAAAAAGGACCGGGCAGGGGGGGGGGGGGGGGGGGGGGGAGAGAGUAAAAUCUUCAUAUUAAGAAACAUGGCACUUGGAGAGCCCAAAAUAGUGGGACAUAUAGCAUGGUACUGGACAAGGUACAAAUAUUAACUCUUUCUCUCUAUCUAUACCUGGCCAUAAAGAGUGAAUCAUGGUAAGCUCUGCUUAUCAUAAACUUAUGUGUUAAAUUAAGUUCUUUUGACGCUGCUUCCACUGCCUCAAUUAUUGAUUUCUCAGAAAGUGCUGGUGGAUCCUGAUUUACGAUUUUGAAUUCAGAUAGAGUGACCCCACGAUUUUUAGCAAUUGUAAUUGCAGACUGAUGGAUUUUUUCAAUCACACUAUUUCUUCGCUUUUCAUCAAUGUCUCGUGUGUCUGCCGAAACACAGAUAAUAGAAAACUCAAUAAAUAACAAAGAAAAACUUCAGAAAUCAACUGGAAUUAAAUCAAACUUUGGGAGAAGAAGAAUGCCAAUAACAUGAUUUUAAAACAAACUUCAGGAACUUAAUACUCAUCUCAUGCAAAGUAUUUAUGUUAUAAAAUUGUUGGCCAGUUUUCCAGUAAGACUUGAACAACUGAUUGGAAACAUACCAAUUUCUAAGUGUGACUUGCUUGGUAUGCUGUUGAUUGCACCAGGAUGCAGCUCCAGAAUACCUUAGGAAACAGGAUAUAUUGAGUCACAUCAUAGUUCUAAGAAAGAAAGAUAGCCAACUCGAAGUUAGAUAUAAUCCAAUGCAAGAUGGAUUUAAACAAUAAGUACCAAAAUAAUCUAUGUUUAGGCAUUCAGGAAGAUGACUUACCGACUGUACCAACGGUAUCAAUGGAUCCAGAUUCUAGAACAUGUUUCUCGACGGCUAGCGCUAGUUCUGCAGCAGCCAGACCGGCAUCGUUCCUGCUCAUUACAUGUAAAACGUCAUGAAUCUUGUUGACUGAAUAAGCAUAAUAAAAGAAUCAUAAUGAUGAAUAUACCAAAUUGAUGAAAAAUAUGUAAAUUUAACUGCAUACAGGCAGACAGCAGUUACCUAUUCGGCAUCAAGACAGCACCCGCAUGCCCUCCAUUGCCUUCAAAAUCUACUUUUAUACUUGCAGGAGCUGCAAUGGCAGUCACUAUACCAAUUGAUGUACCUGAUUUGAAAUAUAAAGUGGAUUAAUAACCAUCAAUAAAUUGAGAUCAUAAGGAUAAAAUAAGCAGUAAAAAAUGACAAACCUUCCUCCUCCAGAAUGGGUCCCUGCUCUAUAUGCAAUUCAACAAAAGCAGAGUAACUUCCUUUCUUCAAAAACACACUGGAUAGGUCAUUGUGCUCUUUUGCGUAUCCAGCAGAUCUUGCAGCAUCUAAAAAGGAUAUAUUUUGACCAUCAACUGUUGAUGUCAGAUCUUUUGCAAGUGACUCAAUUCCUGCCAAUAAGCGACUGCACAAAAAAAAUAAACUUACGAACUCAUACUAUAGUAUAAGAUUUCCAAACCCAUAUACCAUCCACCAUGCCAAGACAUAACCUGUUGAAGUUUAAUGUACAGUGGAAGUGGUUGCUAUAAAGUUUGCAAAGGUAAGUAAAAGGAAACUCCAGAGGAAAAGUAUCUUUUCUUCUUUUUGUAUGGACAAAAAUUAAGAAAGGAAAGCAACCAAAUAAACCCAAGUGCAUGUAUUGAGUUAUGAAGUUUUAACCAUUUACAAGUGGCUAACCUUCCCAAACAACUGAUCCCAUAGCGUGUGGGCUCCUCUGAGGUGAACAUGAUAACCUCCAGUGACCUUCUAGGCUUGAAUCCAGAUCUGUUAAAGACCCAGUCAACAUAGCAUAGACCAAAAACUGUGGCUACUACACAAUACCUUUAUCUGAAAAAAACUAUGACAUGAUGAGAAAGAAAUUGCAUCCAUGCUAUUCAGUUCAAAACAAUCUUAUUAGCUGGAAACCCAAAGCAUAAACAAUACCCUAGACUGGAAAACUGAGAGAACAUAACAAUGUUUAUUAUAACUGUAUCUCCAAGACACGGCUUUAAGAGGGUGUCUUUGGAUAUAGUUUGAGAUAAGUGUUUCAAAUCUCUUCUUUGAUAGCUUGAGCAAGGAAUAUCUGAAUAUGUCCUGAUUCAAUUUUGACAUUAUCUGACUACAGCACAGGUGAUCUAACUAAAGGCACUCAACAUCUAAAAGUUUAUCCAUUCAUGAAUAAAGUUAUGUAUGUUGAUUGAACUUAUUGCCAUCAAUUUGCAAAAAGAGAAAUUUUCAGUGCUAAUCUAGAAUGCUAAUCAACCCAGAAAGCAAACAUAAGUGGCAAUUUAUAACCACAUAUUUCAGAUUCAUCAGAGGCUACCAAUAAAAUCAACCAAUACCUUUUUAGCACAUUAAUGGCUUCUAUUGCACCUAGCACACCAACAACACCAUCAUACUUCCCAGAGUACGGAAUGGCAUCAAUGUGAGAACCUGUUGCAACUGGAGCAAGCUCUGCUUCAUUGCCAAUCCUGCAUAAGGGAAACAGGGGUGGGGGCAUGGUCAAAGACAUUUGAGGAUACACAACGGAAAUUGCGAAACAUUUGUCUCAGAGAAAUGAAGAAAAAAGGUGGUAUUGUGAGCUUUGAUACUCCAAACUAUUACUGCCAAAAAAAAAAAAAAAUCCCUUCAAUGAAUGCAGACAUCCUUGAAAGAAACUUCACUACUCUAACAAAAAGGCCAAAAAUUUGGAAAAUGACAGGAAAAGAGAACACCAAUUGUCAACUAGAUUACCCUUUGUGAAAAACACAAUACCAUAUAGAGAGUGCACUUCAAGUUGCUGUGAGAAUUAUGGCAUUUUCUCAAAAAAUGCAGUACACCACACUCUAUACUCAUAAUAUGAUUUUCUUUUUCCAUUUUGAUGACAUUUCAAUCUGAACACAGUUACAGGAACUGAAACUCUAAAAUGAAACCAAGAACUUCCAUCCAUGCGAACUAACACAGGUUAGGGCAAUCUUGAGUUCAAUUGGGUUCAUUUAGAGAGCAUGAGUAUGGCAAAAAAUUCAUGAUAACCAAACUCCUCUGAAGGAAGAUGAAAUCUCACCAUCUACCAAAUAUGUUACCAACUGCAUCUUCCCUAACAGAGAGACCUGAAAGCCCCAUCAAGUUCUUGAUGUAGCUGCAUUAAAAUAUUGCAAACAGACAGCAUAAAUCCUUAAUUUAGGUGAGCAAUUGGGAAAAAAAAAAAAGUUCAGAAAGCACUGGCAUAUAAAGAGUUAACUAGAUAAUCCUCUACACAUAAUAAAAUUUUCAAAUAUGAUUGAAUAUAUACUGUAAGGCUUUAAUAGUAUGUUCUCAACACAUGAGCUUAAAUAGCAUUGUAAGUUAAUAACUACUUAGAAUGGCCGGAAAUAUUAGACAACUGCUGCUGGAUUAGAAGCAAGAGUAAUGUCCUGUAUAUAUCCUUCUAGACAUGAGGGGGCCACUGAUAAAGAAUACAAAGGGAACAAAUAUCUCUUGACAAACAAUCAGAUAAAGCAUCACAUACAGAAUUCUCCAAGGCCUAACCUGAAUAAUUCAUUCGAAAACACUGAUAACUCAGUCAAAUAGGCCUAUUCAUGUUGUAAAAUAAAUGAUUACCUUUAAGGACUACAAGAAACAACUCCAUCAGAUGAAAUAUUAUAAAGGAUUCGAUAUACGAAUAAUUAAUGAAAAAACAAUAUAAAAACUGUAACUUUCUAUUAAGAUUUGCAGACAAUUAGAACAUGCACAAGAACUGUAACUUCUUAAAUAGUUACCUGCGUGCCAAUACAUCAUUCUCAGUGUACAAGACCCUAGUAACUGAUGGGGCAGGAGUGUCCGAGAAAGUUGACAGUUCAUCGAUCUAGCCCAAAAAAAAACAAAAAGAAGCCAAAACCACACGCAUUAAAAAUAUACAUAUAUUUUAAUAAGAAAAUAAAAAACCCACAUUAUUUUACUCGUCCAUAAUGCUAUAGAUUUUCUCAGUACCCGUUUUUGGAGAGUUUCAGUAUCAACUGAGAGUGAAGAAGCCAAGUUUGUAACAAAUGAGUUUGAUUCAUGAAUUGGGUACCCUGAGAAAGCCUCCAUAGUUCUGAUUGUUGGAUCUUCAUUUGCUUUAGCGUAGAUUGCAGAAAUGGAACAGAAGAUUACGAGAACCAGAAGAAGAUGAUACAGUGAGUGAGAGUUGCAGAACCUCAAAGACAUUUUUUUUAGGCUGGGCUUCUUCUUGUGGAUGAUAAUGCUAUGAUUAGCUUACUGCUGCUACUAUGUUAGUGUUGUUAUGCUAGUGCGUUUGGUGCUACACGUGGCUUUCAAACUGGGACUCUGACACGUGUUCUGUUUUUUUUUGGGGGCCACUUUUUUGUGAUAUCACAUUUCAAGUUUCUUUAAUUAUUUAAUGAAUUGAAUAAUAAAUCUAUCCAAAAAAAAAAAAAAAAUCGUCCCAGCACAAACAUGAAUUAAAAAAAGAAAUAUCUUGAUUGAUUUAUAACCAACUAGGCUAUUCCAUUCGAGCUUCAAAAAAAAAAAAAAAAACUAGGCUAUUCCAUUCGGAUAUAACUUUGAUUCCCAUUUUUAUUUUCUUUCUACUGUAAAAAGAAAAUCACAUUAAAAUUCAACGUAACAUUGAAAAGGAUUGAUAAUUUAGUAAAAAAUUUAUAUAUUUUUUUAAAUAUUAGAGUCUUUUUCCAUUUUUUUUUAAAUAUAAUGCCCUCCAACAAAGUAAGUCACUCCUCAUUAUAUUUAUUUUAUUUUUUAAAAUAUUAUGAUGGUUGUUGUGUUAAAAAUAAUUCAAUCUUUAUAGAAUAGAUGGUGUAAUUUUUUUGUAUAAGAAAGUAAACAUUUCCAUUAAUCACAACACCAUUACACUUGAAACCUCUGUUAGUAUUGUUUAUAAUCAGGUAAUAGGGGCAUUUCCUCUUAAGGCUAAUUUGGAAUUUGGACUUUAACAUUUUAAAAAAAAUUUCAUUGUUUUUUAAUGUGUGAAAUUAUCCAAUAGAUUCGAUGAAAAACCAUUACUUAAUCCCAUUAAUUAGGGGACAGCCUUAACAAAAUUUAGGUCUUGAUUUGAAAUAUUGUGUAAUACGCCUAUGUGUUUAAUUAAUAAAAUGUUAAUAAUUUAUAUUUUUAUCUUUAAAAAAAUAAUUAUUCAUUUUCAAUUUUCAUAGACAUGGUCAUAUCCUAAUAUUUAUUUAUAGGAUCUAUAUAAAUAUGUGCAAAAAGUCCAAAUUCCAAAACACGCAACUCGAAAAGGCGGGAAGAUUUCUGCACUCGCACUUGGGGCUUCUCGAGGAAGGAGCUCAGAAAAAAUGGAGACGAGACAUACAUGUCUAAAGCUGGAGAUUUCGGACGCCACCGAUCGCAUUAUCGUCAAAGGCACGUGGUUUCAGACCCACUUCGAUCUCUCCAUCACCGACGGUCUCAACGCUUGGCUCUGCAACGGUAUUAUAAAUUAAUACCUGUAACAAAUAUUAAUUUAAAUUUGUCUUCAUUUUUUUUUUGGGUGUGUGUCUCAAAGUAACAGUGUUUUCGUCUUUUCGACAGCGUCUGAGGAGCAGGUGAAAGAUAGGGCGGCGCAGUGGGACCAGCCGGUGACCGAGUACAUCAAAUUGGCCGAACGCUAUUUAGGGUUUCAGCAGCCUGGUUCUGUUUACGGUUUUACUGAUGCUGCUGAUGGAUGUAAAAGAGUAAGUUUUUGUUAUUAUAUUUUAAAAUUUAAUUUAGUUUAUCGAAAUUGAAAUUGGAAAAUGGUGAAGUUUAAAAUUAUGUGGGUAUGUCUGUGAUUGUGAUGUAUUGCAGUUGUCAUGGACAUUUGAGAAGGAGGGGACUAAGCUUGAAUGGCGGUGGAAAUGCGGACCGGCACCUAAUAGCAAGAAGGUUACUGCAGGAAUUUUGGACUUUCUUAUGGAUGCAAACAUUAGGCUCAGUGUAAGAUUCUUUUGCCUUUUGUUUGGCUGAAAUUUCGAAGAUUGUUAGUUGAAACAAUUUUACUUUAUUAGAUGUAUAUGUAAUGUUCGUUAGAUUUCAAUGACUUGGUACGUGUUGUAAGCAAUGUUUGAAGGGCAGUGAAAGAAAAGACUUGGGAUCUGUCCAUACUGGGUUCGUUUAUAUUCACUGGAAGGGAUUUAUUUCUCUUGAUGUUUGAUUCAAAACUAUCAAUGGUUGUACAUUGACUUGGUUCUUUGUAAUUUGUUUCAUGAGGACAAUGCUAAAUAUAAUUUCCAUGAUAGACAUUUAUAUCUUUAGAAGUUCACUUUCUCUGUAGGUGGUCCAGACUUUAGGUUGGAAGAGCGAGUAGUGGUUGGUUACAUGGAAUGUAAAUCAAACAUGCUGAUUCACUUCGACCUUUCUUUCUUAUCAGUGAUGAGUCACUGAUUCAUGGGGUGUCAUCUGUCCUACUGGUUGUUGGUAUCAUCUAUAAUGAUUUUGAUUCAUUAUGGAUUAAGCUGAGACAUUUUUCACAUACACAAUAUGUGAGUUUGAAUUGGAUUUUGGGUACUUGAGGAAUCUUAUUUUAUACUUCUAGCUAAGUGAUUGUAGCAACAUGUCUUAUUCUGGAAAAGUUUGUAUCAGCUGCGGUAUUGAUGGCCAAGUUUGAAGAAGCUCUAAAGCUGCUUGGGCUUCACUCUUUAUAACUCCAAAAUGAAAUGGUCCUGCCAGGAUUCUUCAUUUUCUUUAUAAAAUUUUCUGUACCAACGAGCUAUAUGCAUGUGGUAUGAAUUUUGACUGUAAAUGACAUUGAACAUUUUGUUCUAUUAUUCUUGUUGUUUCUUUGAUAGAUAGAUGGAGAUGAAAUGCUUAUGUCAAUUAGUUUGGCAAUGAAAUUUGUCUGUCAGCUUAUAACGCCUUCAUGUUUUAUCUCUUUCGCUUAUAGGAUGAAGUUGUCACAAAAACUCAAUCAUUUGAGAGACUGAAAGUGGAGGCUGAGAAGUGUUUAGCACAAAGUGAGAGAUUUAACAAUGAGAAGCUGGAGUUUGAAUCAGCAAUCUAUGCAAAGGUGUGUGAAUAAAACGUUUGAAAAUAGGGACAUCAGGUGUUUCUGAUGAAGCCCCACUUUCCAAUUCAGUUUUGCCCAAUGAAAAUGUUUAAAUGCUGAAUUCUUAUAUGUAUGGUUUAGAUUUCCCAUAAUUGAUGUUUCCAGAAUAUCCAUUCAGUCAUAGUUGUAAUUUCAUGAUGUUUUGAACUCUGAGCAUGCUAGUUAUUAAAGGAUGAAUAGGAUCUUAGGAACAUCAACUUUCUAUUCUUUUAGUAUGUAGGACUGACUUCAAGUUUUUUUUCCUGCUUCUAGUUCCUAGGUGUGUUGAAUUCAAAGAAAUCAAAACUCAGAGAGCUUCGAGACAAGCUUUCAAAACAGGCAGUCAUGGGGGAUUUGCAACAAGAGGAGGAACAGUCCACAGACAAAACUGAGAGUUUUGAUGAAGGGAGUGAUGAUGACAAAAGUGAGGAAGAACCUGCAAAGGAUAUUACAAGCACUUCCAAAGGUGUUCCAGCUAGUAGGGCUCGUGGUAGAAAGAGGAUUUCACGCAAAUAGCAUCUAAAUAAACAAAUAUAGAUUUGAGAGUGAGUACCAAUCUUUCCUUUUUCUUACUUCUAAUGUAAAUCAUGUAAUGAAUGUGCUGAUUUUUGUGGAGGGAUACAUAUUUUUCUUCAUCCCAACUAAGGAUACCCACCGUGAGGACUUUAACCCCCAUAGCAUCCAGCUUGGUGCUUAGAAAGCAGUCCGACAGCACAUAUUUGCCCAGCAUUUGUCUGUCUUCAAUGAUUGAGUGAAAUUGUAUGCUCAAAAUUGGAAUAUCUAGUUCCGGUGAAGCAUUGACUUCAACUAGUUGAAUCAGUCAGACUAUUAAGAUGCCUGGGCAAGCUUAGGAUUGAGUCAUUUACCUUGUUUGCAAGGGCAAAAGAACGGGCACUGUAGGCUGACAGUUUGACACAACUUUCUGAAAUCAGAAUCUUGCCAACAAAACUCAAAAGGAGGGCAGCAAAGCUGAUAGGAAGAAGUGAAGGGGACGCAGCAGCAUGGGUAAAAUCUUGGCACAUUAGAAAUAUAGAAUUCACCAGAAUAAAAGCAAUAAUAUAUGAAUGUGAUAUUAUUUAUCAUUCACCCACACUCAAAAUCGAAGUAGAAAAAGGGAAACCGCAAAUAUACACCAUCUUAAAGGACUGUAUCAUAUGUAAUAAAACAAAUAUGCAAUUGCAACAACAUGAAUACGACAGAAUGUUAGAACGUGCAAAUCUGAAUACUAUUGCAUUUAGGGGAAAAAUGGACAAGUUUUUAUUAUCUCAAUUCUCACACAAAAGUGAAGUUACCGAUUUACGAGUAUCUCUUUCCGUAUUUUGCACCAUAUCAUUGUACAGAAUUUACAGUUGAAAAAUUCCCCCGAAAAACAUUUGGAACUCAAUGGUUGCACGACAUUGAAUCUACAAAAUAGAGUUAUAGCAGCAUUGGAGUGAACUGUUCAUUUGAUGAGAAGUUCCUAUUACACAUUUUGUUCAAGAAGCGACAUUGCUUUAUCAGUUUCAUUUUUCACAAGCAAACCCGAAUAAUGGUGUUGAAUGAUAUAGAGUCUGGAAAACGUCCCUACUUUUCCAUUUGGACAAGCAACAUAUCAGUCUCCAUUAUCAUCUCUUUCUUGCAGAUGCCAUUGAUCAGAAUGUUAAAUGUUACAACAUCAGGAACCAAAUCUUUCUCUGCGAGUUGAUCUAACUUCUUUCUAGCUUCCAAUCUGCCCACUCUACACAACCCAUCAAUGACUGCACUGUAAACCUCAAUAUUUAGCUCUUUCUUGUCCCUUUCAAGGGACUGGAGCAGAGCAAUUGCCUCUUCAACGUGGCCAUUUUUGAAAAGCCCAUCUAUCAAAGCUGAAUAUGUGAAUAAAUUCGGAGAUAGAUCAGCUGCAGGCAUCCCAUUGAACAGCUUUUGUGCUUCUGCUACUCACCCAACUUGACGAAGCUCUGUUAUAAGUAGGUUGUAACCAACUUUAUCAGGCUUCAAUCCCUUAUGAAGCAUUUCUUGAAAGAGGCUAAUAGCUUUUUCAGUCUUCAAACUCUUGCAAUAGCAAUUAAUCAUUACAUUGUAGGUAAAAACAUCGAGCUCAAGUCCCUUCAUCUACAAUCGACUCUCACAGUUUUCCAGCAUCAGGUGACCAACCGAUUCUUAAUCCAUUGAUGAGUGAAUAAUGAGUUAAAUAAGUUAGGCUCCCUCCUGGGCUUAAUAAUCAAACUGAAAAUCUUCCUUGCUUCUCCCAAUUUUUCCUCCUCGCAUAAGCAGUCUAUCAAUAUUGUGAACGUUACAAUUUUCCCUCCCAAUUUUCUCAACAUUCGAUUAAAAAUUCUAUUGGCCUCCUUGCAAAAUCCCAUUCGACAAAAACUAUGAAUCAGUGAGUUGUAAUUGACUAAUUCAGCGGAAAUCCCUCGAGCAACCAUUUUAUCAGAAUACUCAACAGCUUCCUUCAAUCUAUUAAAGCUACACAACCUGUUAAUCAACGAACUGUAAACAAUGACAUCGGGGCAAAUACCAUUUCCUAUAAUUUGUUUGAACAUUUUUAUUGCGUCAUCAACAGACCCAUCUUUACAAAGACCAUCAAUAAGUAACCACAUUGGUCUCACAAAUCAUCCUUCUAUGCAAAUUAAUAGCAGAAUCAAUCUCGCGAAUUUUGCACAAUCCAUUAAUAAGAAUCCCAUAGACAUUAACAUUACCUUCAAAACCUGACUCAGUCAAUUUAUCAAACAACUCAACCGCAUCAAAAAAUUUACCAUCCAAACACAAACCCUCAAGCAGAGGACUCAUAGUAAUUAAAUCAGGCUUAAAACCCCUCUUUAUGAUCUCACCCGGUACACAAAACUCACAAUUUAUUUUCCCUGUUUGAUAAAAACAAUUGAUCAAAAUAUUAAACGUGUACAAAUCAGGCUGAAUUUCACAACUGUAUAAUUCCUCAUACAUUGAAAACACAACAUCAUAACGCUUAGGCUUGGAAAUUGAACGUACAAAUGAUUGAACGCAUCAAUAUUAGGAAUGGGUUGGGUUUGGAUCAGUUGACGAAAAUAUUCUUGGGCUUUUUUGGGACUGAUUGCACCUGGUUUACAGUGGUGCCUUACACGGUACUCCAACUUGUUUGGACCCAAAACAGAGAUUGGUUUUGUGUUUUGGUUACUGGGUUUUUCAUUUGGUGAAGGGCUUUGAGGUGGGUUUCUAAAUAGAGAGGGGAAGUGUGUGUUUGCGUUUGCUGCUUUUGAUUAACAUGAUUGAAUGAGAGGCACUUGAAUUGGGUAUCUUUUAUCCUUUUGCAUACUAAAAUAGUGUUAAAUUUUGACAUUUAUAUUUGAGUAUCAUAAUAGUUCUAAUCCUUAAUUUAUCAACCUAUUUUAUGCAAAUUAAUGUUUACAAAAUAAUUUAGUAUAAAAAGAUCAGCUGAAGAAUAAUAACAGUUAUUUUUUUUUAAUUAUAUGAACUUAUUUAUGGUAAUUUUAUAUAACCAAUCUUCUCAUAUCAUAUCAAUUUGUAUACAAUUACUUACACAAAGUAAUUGUGAUUUUAUCAUUACUUUUUAUUUAUACAUUUUCAUGUUAUAAUAGUUAUGAUUCUUUUUAAAGACAGAGGGCCGUUUUUUUAUUCAUUUGAGGAUGAUAAUUUUGGAAAAGAUAAUCAACAACAAAUAGGCAUCUUUUAUGACUUCAUUCUUCCAGCAAUAAAAAUGGUAUAUCGAUUUGCUAAAUGAGCUGUCGAAGGGUCGAGUAUAUCAUAUUCCAAAGUUUAUAAGCCAAUCAACAAAAUCUAAAAUCUUUUUGUUAAAUGUUACAGGUUUUAUUUUCUAUAUUUGCAAGAACAGUCUUGGUUGUAAAAGAUAAGAGAGACCAAGCCCUGAAGCCUUUAUAUUUGCAUAUAAGAAAUCUCCAUCAAACUCACCCAAAAAAAAAAGAAAAAAAAAUGGAGUUCCAUAGAACAAACAUUCGCUUCUUCACAAUUUUGUUCAUGUUCAUCAUUUUGUUCGCUUCAAGCAGCACAAUGCAACUAGGUUCAGCCUUGAGGCCAUUGCAUGCGAAGCCGCAUAUUCGUAACCUUAUUAGCCAUGCGAUCCUCCAGAGGGCUCCCGUGCCACCUAUUGGCGGUAAUCCUUGCAGUACGAUUCCCGGUGAGGGAGGGAUUUGCUCCCCUCCUCCGGUCACCAACGUUUGAUUUUUCGGUGGCUUAUUAGCGCAAGUAAUAAAAACAUACGAAGCAAGGUAAAACUUAAAAGGGCUGGCUCUUUUCAUUGCAGCAGCAAAUGGUCGUGUAUUCUUAUAUAAUUUUGUAAUAUAAUUAUAUAAGCUGAAUUGCAGCGCCUGCUUAUUGCCUAACGAAACAUGUCUGUUUGGCUUGCAUCCAUCGCAUUUGACAAAAAUCCCUCAGUCAAAUCCUUUUACUCAUCUUUUCAUUUGGUAAGCUUUCUUAAGGCAAAAAGAAAAUUUAAGGAAAAUUUGAGGAGAAAAUGGAAGGAUUUUCACGAUUACUUCAUUUUAUAGCCAAUGGGAAGAGGGGAAAAAAAGAAAAUGUCAUUUCAUACCAUUUUUAAUGCAAUCACAUACAAUUAAAAGAAGGGAAAAGGACAUUCAACCCCCCAACGUUUAAGAAAAUGGACAAAAAAUCCCUUAACGUUUCAAAAAGAACUUAUAACCCCCUUUCCGUUAAUAAACACCGUUUGUUUUAACAGUAAAUUUAUUUUUAAUUUUUAAUUACUAUUAUACCCUUAUAAUAAAUAUAAAUUAAUAUAUUGAUUUGAGACAUGUCACAAUUAAUAAUUUUUUUAAAACUAAAAAUUGAGACACAAUUACAUUUUUGCCCAAAUUAUUUGCUAUAAAUUAUACUUUUCUAAUGAUCAAACCUUUAAAAGAUUACCAUUGAGGGGUUUUUUGUCCUUUUUCCUAAACGGGAUCAAAUUUAGAUUCAGAUUUGUAUAGAUAACGGGUUGUUUUUCAGAAACAAGCAGAAGCAAUCCCACAUUCAGAUCAGAUGUCGCCAAAAGUGCAAUGCUUGAGAGUCUGGCUGAGAAUUGAACGACGGUAGUGGUUCCCUUUCGGUAACAAAAUGGACCAGCAGAUUUGCAAAUCAAAAGUUUAAUUAAUAAUUAAGUCGAUUAAUGCUUCAAAACAUGCAUUAUGUGAUUUGGAGAAGAAUCGACGGGGAGGAAAGAUUUAAUUAAUAAAAGGGUGAAAAGAUUUUAAUUUACAAAGGGAAUCAGAAUUAAUUGUAUUGGUGCUUGUAGCUUAACUCAACACAAUCUUGAUUGAAAAAAGAUAAACUAGUUAGCCUAACAAUGACCGAAUUGGUAAUAUAUACCCGGAUUUGUAACAGAUACUCCCGUUAAACCUCCAUUUGCAUUCACUUUAGUGGCGGCCUUGACAUCAUUUGGAUUCAUUCUGUACUAGUUCUUGAAAUAUUUGAAUAUCAUACAGCAGUUCUGAUUUUUAUAAUGGCACGUUAUAAUAAGUUUGUUUCAUAUAACCAAACCAAGAAGGUUCAAUUAAUCAAUAAUAGGGAUGGAAAUAAACUACGGAUCCAUAAACAUUCAGAAGAUAUUCAAAUCCGUAUCUUAAAAAUCAAGAUCCUUGUAAAUUCGAAUUUAGAUGUAAGUGUAUUCGAGAAAUCUGAUAUCGGAAUCCGUAUUAUUUUAUAAUUAAAUUAUUUAUUUAAUUAAAUUUUAAUUGAAAAAUAUAUUAAUAAAAUUAUUUAUUUAAUAUGUAUAAGUAUAAUUAACUCUAUAACUAUUAAAAAAUAAAAAAUAAUAAUAAUAAUUAGAGAAUAUUUUAAUGAAUUGGCUUACCUUAGAUAUUUUUUUUUAAUGUUUAAUUUAUCUUGUGUGAAAUUAUCGUUUGUAAUUUGUAAAUUUAUAGUGUUGACUUAUUGAUUUUUAAUUCCAGGGCAAUUGUGAAAUUUUAAACCUGCACUUUAAUAAAAAUAUUUUAUUAUAAAAUUUUAUAUUUUUAUAACAUUAAAAUAAUUUAUUAAACCCUACGAAUUAGAAGUGUGCACGAUUUAAAAGUGUCUUUAUCAAAAAAAUAAAAAUAAAACGAAUUAGAAGUGCGCACGAUUUAAAAGUCUUUAUCAAAAAAAAAAAAAAAGUAAAGGCGCCUGUAUUAAAGUAUAUGUGUGUGUGUAUAAUCUUUAACCGGUUCAGCCCAAACUGGAUUCGAUCCUUGCUUUCAACUGUCGGUCCAAAAUAAAAGCCAGAACGGAUCUGGAAGAGUAGUGAAAACCAGAAAAAAAACUAAUAAAAGUUUUGGAACGGAUCUGGAAGAGAUUUCAAGAACUAACUAAUCAAUACAUAUAUAAGGCUCAGACAGAGAAGAGAUAAACGCAGGUCGAGAAAUUCUAUCGUUAUGUGGAGAAAUAUUAAACCGACGCCGUAAUAAACAAUUAAUGAAUACAGAAAUGGAAUGAAGAUCAAAUAUAUCUGAUUGGGCAGAGAAACACGGUAGAAAGAGAAUCCGUCGUCAAUAUUCACCAUCACCGUAUACAGAUUACAGUACAGAUUAGAAAACUCAUCUCAUGACCGUGAUUUCUCUGUCCAAACAAAUAUAAUCGAUCAUUUUUUUUUUCUAACAACGAACAACGAAAGAGAUUUUCUCACUUUGUAAACAGACCAAACCAAAGCAAAAUAAAAAAAAAAGUAGAGCGAAAAGGUCCAUUUGUGUCUCUGGACAUGGGCAUAUUUAUAGGCUGCUUAUUUUGGCUUCAAGAUUAAAACCCUAGCAAAGGUUAAAACCCUAGCACUUUUUCCAUUUUUGGAUCACUGUUGAUCCAACGGUUACAUUUUAUAAACAAACAUCCUGGUAAUCUGAGCCGUUGGAAUGGAAAAUCGUAACGGCACGACACGUUGGAAUGGAAUUUCUUAACGGCACGACACGCGAUGUGCAUGAGGCUUUUUUUUUUUUUUUUUUUUUUUUUUUUUUUUUUUUUUUUUUUUAAUGUUCCUGGCAUUUGCCCGUGUCGUGUGGUUAAGAAAAGUAGAGUGAAAAGGUUCGAUUGUGUCUCUGGACAUGGGCGUAUUUAUAGGCUGCUUAUUUUGGCUUCAAGAUUAAAACCCUAGCACUUUUCCAUUUUUGGAUCACUGUUGAUCCAACGGUUACAUUUUAUAAACAAACAUCCGUGUAAUCUGAGCCGUUGAAAUGGAAUAUCGUAACGGCAGGACACGCGGUGCGCAUGAGGCUUUUUUUUUUAAUUUAAGUAAUUAAUUAAUUAAAUUUUUUUUUUAAUGUUCCUGGCAUUUACCUUCCAAAAUUUACAAUGAAAGAUAAUAAAGCCCGUGUCGUGUUGUUAAAAAAAUUACAAAAUCUUUUUACUCAAAAGUGUAGGCAAACCUACAAGACUACAACAAGUAUUCUGGUUGUUCAAGUAUCUGUUAAAUAAAUAUGUGAUUAAUUCUGUCUAAAAUGAAAGAACACUUCAAAAAGUGAAAUUGAAUCAACUCCGUUCACACUUCAACUCAAAAUGUGAAUUUUUUAUUAUUUUUUUUUCGGUUCUUUCUCCUCUUAUCAUCGAUACACAAUCAACCACUGAUCAAAAUGGCAAGGCAGGAAAAAACUAUAACUUAAGAGAACAGACAAACAAGGAAUUUGGUGAUAUCACGACAGAAAUUUAAAAAAAUUAACCCAUGUUUUUUUCUUUUUUCCCCUCAAUUCAUCAUCACUGAAAGACAAAUUUCAAAACAGCAAAAACAGAGGAGAAAAAUGAAAAUACAGAACUGACGACGAUGAGGCCCUCUCCAUCUGAUGGAUCCCGCAAGUCCAACAGCGGCGACAGUUGAAUUAUCAAAGCGUUGAUCUGCUAAUUAUAUUUAGCGAUUUUUUCGAGGAUUCCUAAUCCAAAACAGACUCAGAAAAGUCAGUUACAGCAGUGGAAUUAUGAUCUGUUUUAUAUAUAAGUAUUUUUAAGGAUUACAGACCCAAAUAGGAUAUGGUUUAGGGAAUGAGAAUCCUUAAGACAACAGCUGCAGAGGUUUACUUGCAGGACAAGGGUUCUGUGUCUUUUAAAACUAGUCAGUGACAGAGUAACCGUAAUAAGGGACUAAGUAAUUCUGAAUUUAGAUAGUUGAAGUACAUAAUCAUGUAUCCCAAGUGAAGUUGCAUCUAACAAGUGUAUAGAGAUUUAAAAUUAUCAAAUUAAUGAUGAAAAAAUAAAAAUUAACCAUACCCACAACAAAAAUUUGAUGACAUAUCAAUCGAAAUAAAAACUAUGUACACCACUAUAAAUAUAAAUAUAACAUAUUGCCGAAACUCAGCCUAUGCAUGUGUGUUGCCAACGGGCUAUAAAAGACCAUUGGCCAAGUUCAUCAACUUAAGUUAAAACUGAAAUCCUGAAUUGCUUUAGACCACCACUGCACAGUUUUCUAUUCAAGCUGUUUCGUCCAGUCAAACGGUUCCCAGUCCCGCGCGAAAGUUGCAACCGCUUGCUUUUGUGCCUCCACAGAUUCAUGCCUCCUACGACGGUACAUGUCUUCCUCAGGAAGGCGAAGCAUGCCUCUUAUGACGUUUAGUCCGAAGCUGCUUUUAAACUGUGUUUCGUCAUCAAUUACAUGGACGAAACCCUUAUUUAGACCAAAUUCAACGUGGAAGUAAGGAAAGUCCUUUGGAAUUGAACCACGCAAGCCCUUCACACUCGUAUCUAUUAACUUCUUUGCAUUGUGCUGGCUCCAUUCAUCUUCAGCUUCAUCAAUUGCCUGAAACAGCUCAUUUCAAAAACUUGUACUGUAUGUAUUGAGACAAAAAGAAUUGUACGUACAUGUACAUGCAAACAAAAAGAGGUGUUCAUGUGAAUGGGAGGAUCAGUUCAAAAACAUGAACUUUACGGGACAUUACUUUAUUAUGCAAGCUAUGUACAGGCCAUGCCAACCUCCAAUUUUGUUUUACAUAAAUGUGCAACUAAUUUGGCAAUAAAUGGGAAUCCUACACAAAGCUAAGGGCAGCAAAAACAUCUUUACUUAGGCCAGUCAAAUUAACCACAGUUAACAAUAAAGUGAAGCAUAAUAUAGCAAGGAGAACCAGAAGAACAAUAGAGAGAGAAUGAAUGACGGAAUCUAACCUUCUUGAAAUAGACAGGGGCCUGUUUCGCAACUUUUUGGGGCAAAGGAAUGCACUCAAUCAAACAAUGGCGACGCUGUUGUCCCAAACCCAUCACUGUUUCGAGAAACACUAAUUCCUUCUCUUGCUUUGCAAACAUCAUGAUAAGGCAUUUCUUGAAGUUACGAAUUUCAUCCCACACAUGACUGUCAACAGUUCUAGUCGCCAACUCAUGCUGCAAAAGCAGAAACUCUUAAUCAGAAUAGAACAACUUAAAAUCAAGUCAACCUUAUGAUAAUAAAGGGUCAACUGUAUGAGAACAAAGGGGUUCCUUUUCUUUUCGGUUGACAGACAUAAACCCUCAAGUAUUUGCAACCUCCAGCAAGAUAUAAUAUUGGCGUUCGACAGUUUUGCAUCAUGUGUGAGUCAAACCCAGACAUGAGUUUACAUCUUACCCUACAUUCACCCUUACCACUGGGCCACCCAUUCAGAUUACACAAUUUCCAUCGUGGAUAGCAGUAUGUUAGAACUUAAAUUAUUCAAAAAGUGACGGAAAUUUCACAAUUAUAAUCGCUUUGGGAUUAAUCAAACUUUCCACAAUGCCCAUACAUUCACUGUGUCCCACAGCCAUCAUUAAGUAUAAAUAUUUGCUUCCAGGUGCCAUGAAUCAUAAAUAGAAUGACUCCAUCCCAACAAAAUAUUGAAAUUCCCCAAAUGAUGUGUUUUAAGUUCAACCAUGGAAACCAUUCAACUGAAAACAAAACCCAUUAUAGAAAAAAAAUAAAUAAAUAAUAGAUUAUAUUAAAGAAACAACAUUACCUGCAUUGGCAAGAUGCAGCAAUGACCAGGCACAACAGACUGCCACUGUGGCAACAUCAAAUAAGUAAAAUUUGCUAUUGCCACAACAAGGUGUCUUGGCCGGUUUGGAUUCUCAAAGCAAAACAGGCAGCGCUCUUGUUGAGUCAUGAUACGUCUUGCAAUAGCUCUUUCAGCACCCUUAUUAUCAUUUGCUCCUCUAUUCUUCCGGGAUUUUCGACUUGGACCAUCUUCAAAAUCAUAUUCAUCAUCGGCCCGACCAGAUAUACUGUAUUGUUUAUUAUGCAUUAUCUUUUGGGCUAGAUUCCUAUCAGCAUCAUCAUCAUCCUUCCUUUUUCGAACUGACAAAUCAUAAAUAACAUGCCUACAAAUUAAAAAAUGAAAUAUCCAUUAGUACAAAAACUCCUCCGAAAUAUUAGUAUGGCACAUGAUUACCAAGAACAGCACUCUUUCAACAACUUCACACACUUAAAGGGAAGUAAGAAAAAAGAAUAGAAUCUCCAAUCACAAUAUUCAAAAUUACCUGCCCGAGCUUCCAACACCUUGAUGUUUAGUAGAAUUAUCAGCCGCACCCUGCUUUGCCUUCAUUUUCUCAACUUCUUGCUAAUAAACACAAACAAAAAUAAUAAAAAAACACUUAAACACGAAGAAGAGGCUCACAAUCUUAAUUGCUGGCUGUCCAAGUACAGAAUACAAAGAUCUUCUUUGAAAAUAAAAGAUUAAGAUUAUGCAUGCAUAUAUCUGUCCCAAACCUAAUAGCCGAGUGCACAACAUCAAUUCUAAUAUAUCUCCCUACUACGAACAAUGGAAUUCUGUGAGCACUAGCUCACAAAAUUGGAAGCAAGAAAUAAUCCAAUUAUCUCUAAGACUAUCAAUGUAAGAAACAUUAAAUCAUAAUUUUCAUGAUUUUUCAAUCAGAAGUUAAAGAAAAUUCAGUUUAAGUAUAAGAAAGACUGAGGUAGAACAUAGAGACUUAUACAGAUCAACAUAAAAAAUAAAAAGAAAAUAAAAAUAAACUCCUUAAUAACUGGAGUAUUGCAAAAGUCCCUACAAUGUUCUCCUUCAAAGAAGCAAGAAGCACUUGGCAAAGUUGGCAGUGGAUGGAACAACCAAGAUUAGCAAAACAGCCAAGCGGCUGUAAAGACUUUUUAGCCUAUUCAUGAAAAGGGUUAGGGUGGUGGAUAGACCAAUCUCCAGAUGAAUGCUAAUGAAAAGACCUGACCAGGAGCUUCAAAAGAAGCUUUAUCAUACUAUCUUAAAGUUCCGCAAAAGACAGCACUAGAAAAAUAGUAAAUUUUUUUAUGACAAAUUCACUUGGCACUUUUAAUUCUUUUAUGUCAAAUUGGAGAACCUCCAGAUAGGUUUAACACCUAUCACCCCAAAUGCAAAUAAGAGAGGAGAGAAGUUAGGAAAAUAUUGUCAUACCAAAAGUUUUUCAGCUUCUCCAUGCUUUCCUUUCAAACGCAGUUGCAUUGCCUUAGCAGCUAGCUUGUUGGCACCCAGUCCCUCUUCAAUCAUAACGGUACUUUCGCUAGGUACUUGUAUUUCAGAUAACACCACUUCUGACUCCACAUUGCCCUCAUCAUUAGGAUUGGAAUCAACAGGACCACCAGGAUCUUUACCCGGCUGACGACUGAAUUCACGCAUGAAGCUUCCAUCAUUUUCAAACUUAUUUAAGCCAGAGAAUGCAGCAGAGACAAUGUUAGCAUCCCUAGCAGACAUAUGUUGACCUUUUCGCUUUCCCCAAGACAAUGAAUCACGAGCUUUAGGGGCCCUCAUAUCAGGAUGCCGAAGAGACACAUCCCUCAGGUAAUCUCUAUUGGAGGUCUAAGAAUCACAAUCACAAAAAUCCAAUGUAUUGGGAAAAUUUCAGUUUCUCAAUCAGAAUAGAAUCUUUAAGUAUUUCAAUCCAAAUUACAAAACCACAAAAUCAUUGAGAGAGAGAGAGAGAAAAUCAACUGUUGCAGUUACCUUCUGAGUAUCUCUUUCCUUUUGAUCUUCAGCAUCUGCUUGACAAUCUUCAGUUAGUCCGCUUUUUCUGUUUUUUAUGGCAUGUAAAUGAGCACGAGAUGGCGCAGCCCUGUGAGAUGUCGCAGAUACAGCUAGUUGACCAAGAGAACCCCAACGCUCUUCCACAACCUGAACCAUUUAAAUGAAUAAAGAGCAAAAUUCAUACUGGUAAUGCUUGAUCGAAUCUGAAAGACAUAGUAGCAUACCUCGUCAAAUCGUCGUCCUUCUCGAGCUGCCUGCUCCUGGGCACGCUUCAAAGCUUUAAGUCUCCAGCUUGCACCUCCAUCACCAACAAGUGAGGAAGACAAAAGUUGCUCUCCGCUACCUUUAUUCCUAUCUUCAUCUUCUGGAUAGCCACUUCCAUUAUCCUUCAGAUAAGGAUUCAACUCCCUCGGAUUCACCUUUGGCAUCUGGCAGACAAAGCAAACAAUGUGGAGUCAACAAACAAUCAUGUAGACUAAAUGACAGAAAACAGAACACUCAUGUUAACAAACAGGAAGAAACAAAUAUAAAGUUAUAUGCAAUCACAUGACAAUCAUGUAGGCGUAAAGGCAUCUAGCAAAUAUGUUUCCCAUAACAAUCAGACAUGCACAUAUGAAGAUAUCUAAAAUGGGUCUGGUACAAGAGCUACUCCAAAAAACCAAUUUUAACCAGAUGCAACAACAAUUCAGAACAAAAAAUAGACAAGGAUAAAGAAAGGCUAGAUGAAUGAUGAUCGAUAGAUUGCAACUAGAAGGGAGUAAGAACAAAUUGACAGCAUACCUCCUCAGGAGGUUCGUCUGGUUGCUUCUCAACAGGCACCAAAGGCUUUCUUGCUGUCCUCUCUGCAGGCCUCAGCAUCCACUCUAACCCCAUUUCCUUUCUCACAAUUUCCUUCUCCUUAAAAGAUUCUGAUCCUCUAUAGUCAUCUAUAUAGCAGCAUGCAAAAUUUGGAUCAAAUGAACAUGAUAAACUUGAAUACAAUAACUUUUAAAAAAAAAACUUAAAAACAAAAUCACUACAACAUGCAUACCAGACAAGCCAUCCACAAUGUCCUCUUCAUCCCGUCUCUCCUUAUUUCUUUUCUUUCUAUUCCCCUUGCUUCCUUUCUGGUCCUCAUAGUCUGAACCAGAUGAAGAAUAAUUCUCAGAAGAAUAAUGUUUCCUACCAGUUCUUGAACCUCUAUCAGUACUUCUCUUACUCUUCUUUUUUGCACUCCUAUGUUUCCUUUCAUCUCGGUCAGAACUGUCCUCACUAUCACUUUCACUUUCACUUACUGAAUGUUCAUCCGACGAGUACCAUUUCUUGCUUCGUCUCGACCGUUUCUUUAUUCUCUCAAGAUCAUCAUCCGAACUACCACCGUAACUUGAACCCUUCUUCUUUCUCCUAUGCUUUUCCUUCCUACUACUUGAUUUCCUUCCCUUUGCAUCCAACUUUUCAUCUUUUGCCUAACAACAAAUAACCGAGUUAGGAGAUACAUAAUUAUAAUUAUAAUUAUAAGCAAAAUAAAAACUUUCCCAAGCUAGAUAUAGUAUUAAAAAGUAACAAAAUUUACUUUAUCAACUUGAUCGCGAGGUAUGAACUUCACUCCAGCAAGCAUCUUUUUGAUUCAACAAAUUAACAAUGUAUUUCCAAUAAGAAACUGCAAUAAUAAAAAGUAAAUCCAUAUCAAAGCAAUAUAAAAACUAAAUUUUUCACUCAAAGCUUAAAAAGACGAAAAAGGAUAACCAUGUAGAUGUGUUCUAAAUAUCAGCCAUCCUGAAUGUGAAUCUUUUGAGAAUUAAAGGCUACUUAUUAAUAAAGCUUAUGCCUAAAAUGGGAUAAAGAUUCCUUAUAUAAUCUGAGCUUUCCUUAGUUUUUAAAAUUUUAUAUUGCUUUGAUACGGAUUUACUUUUUAUAGCAGCAAAUAACAGCUAAUAACAGUAGAAACUCACAUGAAAUUUUCGUUAUAUGCUCGCUAAUAGCUGUGAGUAUUGAGCAGAUAUUUACUUGAAGAUUUAUGAACCGGCUGUCCUCUUCUCUGCAGAAAAAUAUUAGCAAAUAACAAUCAAUUUUUGUUUCUAUGAAAUGUGAAAACAGUUAAAAAAGGAAAAACAACGUAAAAAGUAAAAAGCAGCAAAAACUUUAUCGAUAAGCAAAAAAGUAAAAAAUUACCUAGAAACAACAGAAUAAACACCAAAUAACAUAUUUAUCCACGAAAAAUAGCAAAAUAACAGCAAACAACAGUUAAUAAUAGUAGAAACAGCAGAGUCAGCAAUAAAUAACAGUAAAAGGUUAUCUAAAACAGCAGAAAAAAACACAAAUGACAAAUUUAUCUAACAAAAAAUAGCAAAAACAACAACAAAUCAGCAAAAUGGCAGUGAAAUAACAGUACAAGCAGGAGAAACAGUAAAAUCAGCAAUAACAACAACAAAUGCAGCAAAUAACAGUACAAGCAGGAGAAACAACAACAAAUAACAGUAGAAACAGCAGUAACUGACAGAAGAAACAGCAUAAACAACAACAAAUAAUAAUAGAAACAGCAGCAAAUAACAGUUGAAACUGAAGAGCCAGUAGCAAAUAACAGCCCAAACAAAUAGACAACAAAAAGUUACCAAACAAUAGUACAAACAGUAAGAAUCCAGACUUGGUUAGAUGAUUAGCUAUUAAUCCCUCUUAGAAAGGUAUAUAGUCUAUUAAUCUAAUUUACAACUUAAAUAAAGUUAUGUCGAGUCAUAUAUCUAUUAUUUUUGUUGAAACAAAAAUCUCUGUAGAUAUAAUAACUUCUUUCUAUUGACACCCAAUAACAACUUAAGUUUCUACAUUUUUUUUGCAGAAUGCUAAAAAAAAUGGAAAACUAAACAAUUUUUGCCACCGACACGCAAUAAAAUAUCAACAAAAUAUCAACGGCAGAUUAGGAGCCUGUAGCCUGAUUGCAAAAGAUUUGGCUGUUUCAUUAAAAAAAAAAUGUGGGAUCACAUGAAAAAGCUGUUAUCUUCUUUCUUAUUUUCUGGAGCAGCGACAUACUCCCCAAAUAUAAACCUCAAUUAAACCCCAAAAGACCACAAAAAAAAAAUGAAAAUACAAAAAGAAGAUAAAUUAAAUUACGCUUCAGUAGGGUUCAGUCGGGAUUGAUUUUCGAGGCAACCAGCAUUUUCUUAUCUUUCAUUAUCGAGGGGCAUGAUGAUAGAUAUUUAAUGCCUCCCCUGAAUUGAUUGCAAAACUCUUUGCGCCUGUUAAUUUCAUAUUAUCACUCUUUUUGCUUCUUCAAUUUUCAAAAACUUCAUUUAUGAUCUAAUUGAAACCCUAGGCAAGGGAGACUAAGGAAGAUGCUACAAAAUUGGGAGUUCUGUGACGUGCAGAGUCAGAGAAAAAAUGCGGGCAAGAAAGCUCAAGAGGGCCAUAGCCAACUCAGUACUCACCUUCACUAGAGCGAGAGCAACGACUGAGAGAGGCAGCAAUUGCGGCAGCGACGGCUGGCGAUAAUGAAUUAGGUUACGAGCGGUUGCUGACAAAGAUGAUGGCAGCAGAUGAGCAGCGGCUGAUAGUGGUGGAGACAGCUGCCGAAUAUGACAGUAUUACACGAGCGGCUGUAGACGGUGGUGACCUUGAAGGCUUGAAUCGGGUUUGUCGCGUUUGGUGAGAGUGAGAUCGUGAAUGUGAGAGAGAUGGAGGAAUUGCCGAUUUUGGGUUAGAAAAUAGAUGGGAAUUGCCUAUUUCGAUUUUGCCUUUUAUAUUUUUAAUCAAACCCACCAAACCGAUUGGUUUAUAUUAAACUAUGUUUUAUAAGAAUCCAAUUUCAUAUAGUUAAAUUGAAUUGAUAAUUUAUAAUUACAUAAAUACAAAUCUUAUGUGAAAAAAUAUUUUUAUUUAAGUUUAAAUUAUAGUCUUUUUGAAAAGAACAUUAACUUCAUUAUACUUACUCAUAAAUUUAACUAUAUAUUCUAUCAAUCAUUUGGAUUAAUUUUAAUUUUAACCUUUAAAAGAUAUAAUAUUUAAAUCAUAAUUUUAAUCAAAAUAUAUGUUAAGCUAAAUUGAACUACCUACCAUUCAAUCAUUAUUUUGAAAUUAAGAAGCGUGCAAUUGGAUGAACAACUCAUCACUUAUAACUAAAAGUCUUCUAAUACGAUUAGUCAUAAGUCUUAACAAAAAAUGAGUUGAGUUUAUAAAAAUUUGUUAUUUUGUCCUUAGAUUGCCAAAAUUUCUUCAAUCUCGAUUGGGAUUCCAAAUUUUGGCCUAUUUAUGUAGGAUUAAAAAUAAAAUUUUAUCUCAAUUUAAUAUUCAGGUCCAUAUUGGGGACGUUUGAAUUAAUAAUUAACACAUUUUAUUUUUCUUUAUUUUUCAAAAUAUUAAUAAUUUUUUUGUUAUUAUAAUGAAAAUUAUAUUACUUUUUAAUUAAUAAAAAGAUUAAUCAUCAACAAAAAUUAAAAAUAAUUGAAAAUGCAUUCUAAAUUUGCAACUUUAUAUUGAUUUACCACAUCUGUAGCAACUAAACAGUUAAUUAAAUGUGCCCCCAAAAAGUAGUUAUUGGCAACAAAUAUUAUAGGUCGCUAUGAGACACUUUUAGCGACGAAAUGUUUGGUCGCUAAAAAUACCAUUAGCGAUAAGAACUAUUUCGUCGUCAAAGAGCACUCUUUAGCGAUGAAAUAUUUCGUCUCUAAAGAGUGUCUUCUGCCAUAGAAAUAUUGUCCCUAAAUUAGAUUUUGGCGGUGAAAAACUUUGGUAGCUAAAAUGAUUUUAGCGAUGAAAACAUUUUUGUCGCCACAAGAAUCCUUCAGCGACCAAAAUUUUCAUCGUGAAAAAUGAGAACAGUGACAAAUGCAGUUUCGUCGCUAAAAAGUCAAGUGUCGUUGCUACUUAUAUACUUUCAGCGACAAUGUAUUUCUAAUUAUAUACUUUCAGCGACAAUAUAUAUCGUCGCAAAUUAUUGAAAUUUCGUGCUAAUUCUUUUGUCGCCUAAUUUUUUUGGCGACGAAGAAAGUUAUUCAUCGCAAUAUGUAAUUUUUAGCGACGAAAGUUUCGUCGCGAAAACCUAGAAUUAAAUAUUAAUUUUUCCUUCAUUGAAUUUGGCGACGAAUUGUUUUUUUGGCGCCAAAAGUCUCUUUUUCUUAAAGCCUCGAAUUCUUGUACUGGGCAUUGUUGUUGAGGUUCCUACCAUUGGUUAAUUAAUUACUGCAAUUUUCUGAAUAAUCAUGUCCCUUGUGCAAAAAUUAACGAAAUAAAAGAGAUUGUAUUCCCUGCGCUGUACUUUCUGUAGCAAAAUAACAAUAUACAUAUAUACCUCUUCUCUGUAUAUAUGCAUACGGAUCUCAAUCAUGAUGCUUAGAUUAAUAAUACAACCAGUUAAUUAAUUAUAAUAAGCUAUAUGUCAAAUUAUUUAAUCUGUUACAUGGUUUAGAUUAUAUUUGAAAUGACAUGCACCUACUGACCUACCUUCUUUGAAGUCUACGUACAUCUGCGCGGAAGGAUUCAUAGUUUCAUACACAAUUUAAUUACUUGUAAUUAAGGCUUUUUCUUCUUUCUAACACGUCAGAGGAUGCCACUUCGGCCAAGGCCGAAGUGGUGGGCUCCUGCCCUCACAAUGCUUGUGAGGGCAGCGGUUCUAGCCCCCACAAAAGCAUUGUGGGGGCUAAAUGUUCUUUAUACUUCUAAAAAAAUCAUUCUCCCUUGUGAAAUGCGAGUGGAGUAUGGACAUCCCUCUCCUGUGAGGGGUUAUUUGUUUGGGCAUGUACUUCAUAGAAUUCAAUGUCAUAAUAUAAGUCCCAAUUAUGUAUAUCUAAUUGUAAAUAUCAGUAUAAUAUCUCUGCUACAAUAGCAGUUGUUGUAAAUAUCUGUGUAAAUAGAAUUCAAUGUCAUAAUAUAAGUCCCAAUUAUGUAUAUCUGAUUGUAAAUAUCAGUAUAAUAUCUCUGCUACAAUAGCAGUUGUUGUAAAUAUCUGUGUAAUGCAGUAAUCUGAUGAUUAAUCAAUAUUAAAAAAAAAAAAAAACACGUCAGAGGAUAAUUCAAGAAUAACGUACACAUUAUUGAGUGGUCAAACUUAAAACAUUUCACACCAUGGAGAGAGGAUCCUGGUCCUUCAUUCCAAACCGUCCGAUAUAUCAACUAUCCAAAUAUAUAAUCACCAAUUUAUCAUUAUCCAAAAGCAAUGCAGUCAAAUACACACACACAUGUAAUCUUACAAAUUUUCUGUAUUCAUUGAUUGCUAAAAGAAAAAUGGUUGCAGACUACUAGUUAUCCUGGGGUUUCAGCACCUCAUCUCCUCGUCAAUUUAUUAUUGUUGUUUACUUAAUCACAAAAAAAAAAAGACCGAACUGCUAUCGAAUCGGAAACGUCGUAUUCGGUUUCUGUUUCAUUUUUCGGUUCGGAACCUUAUUGAAAAUUAAUAUUGUGUUUACUAAAUAAGAAUCGAAAUGAGUUGAAAUGAGAAUGGAAAAUAAAAAUCAAAAUAAGUUGUUUACUUAAGCUGUUGGAAUCGGAAUCGUAAUGAAUUCAAUUCCCACUUAUGUGUUUACUUUAUUCUGAAAUUGGAAUGGGCUGUUUCAAAUUAUUAAAAUACCACUUGUUGCUUAUAAUGAUAAAAUAGAUUAAGGAUAAUAAUAAUAAUAAUAAUAAAAAUAAUAAAGAAUUAUUAUUAUUAUUAUUCAUAAUAUAUUAAUUAAUUAUAAAAAAUAAUAAUUUAUAGUAAUAUAUUAUUGUUCUACGUUAAAAAAUUAAUAAUAAUAAUGAUUAUUUUUUAUUGUUAAUAAAAAUAAUAUUAAACUACUAAUAAUAAUAACAACAAUUAUUGUUGGGCACAUAUAGCAGAGCACACAGCCACAAUCAUUUGCAACAUCAUCACCAAAUUUUGUAUAAUUAUAACGACUCUUCUUUCUAACUAAUAACCGAGUCAUUCCUAUAUGUUCAAUCACAAACAAACACAAUCCUAUUACUUAACUCUAUCCAAUAUAUGUAAGCUCAAUAUUUAGCUGUAGCCACCAUUCAUCACAUAACAAAAAAUUAAUCAUCAAAAUAGUCAUUAAUCAAGCAUAGCUCAAAAUUUAAUUCUAUAUUUAAUUAAUCUAAACAUAAUUUAAUCAACCAAGUCUCGGAAAAACAUAUUAUUAAAUUUCUGUUUUCGGUAGAUAUCAAUUUUGUUCAUAUUGAUCUUCAAUUCAUGCUACAAUUUUUGUGUUAAAAAUUAUUUAAUAAUAAAUCAAAUAAAAUAAUCUAGUAAUUAAAUCAAUAAUCAUUUAAUUAACUCAAAAAAUAAAAAUGAUGAAGAACGAAAUGGGCUGAGCUCACUGAUAGUUGUAGCGGCGACGAUGGUGACUGGAAGCUUCCGGUCGGCGGUGAGCAGGAGGCAAAGACGAGCGGCAAAGCUCAAAACCGGCAACAACAGAACCCUCGACGAGACCAAUGACCACGAACCGACGAUUUAAGAGACAACGACAGGGACUAGCUGCGACGACGACGGACGGUGAUUCAGAACCAACGACGACGGCGUGUGAUUUCAGAACCAAAGAGUGACCGACCACGAUUAGGCUAUGACAUCCAGCUUCGAAGAGAGAAAGAACGGGUUCUAGGGAUUUUGCCUUUUUUUAUUUUCGGUAUUUUUAUUUUUUAUUUAAUGAGGGUAGUUUAGGAAUAUUUGAAUAUGACUGGGGUAAAAUGAGAAUUUCUAAAAAUGGGAGAUUGAUUCUAUGGGAGGUGUGAAUUAAUCUCUCAUUCCUCAUUCCCAAAUAAUUGUGAGCCCCAAUAUUUUGAUUAUGAUUCCUGCUUUAUUUUUACGAAAUAAAUAUCAUCAAUCAUUUCGAUUCCAAAUUUCGAUUCUCUAAUUCAGAAAGUAGACGCACCAUAAAAGAAAUAGCAGUUUUGUUGUUCGAGGCGGUUUCAGUCUUUUUAUGUAGCCAUUUAGGUUUUAAAUAAUUUCGGCCCUGAGAUUUUUUUUUCCAUGGUAUCAGUGAGCCCACCCUGCGUACUUGGGUGAAGGACCUGGCCUUUUCUAAAUUUUCUGGGCUGGAGCAUAAAGCCCAAGUUGUUUAUACACAUUCUCAGCCCAAUGAUUUUCUUCAGAUACGCUCUUUGUAGCAACGUGAUUGUUUAUGAAUAGAAUAGAAAAAAAAAAAAAGAAAUAAAUUUAUAAUAUACACGAGCAAUAGUAAUACACAUAUAACAUAAAAUUUUAAAAAUCAAACAAAACUCACAUUAUAUAAGGAAUCUUUAUCCCAUUUUAAGCAUAAGCCUUAUUAAUAAGUAGCUUUUAAUAAGGAACAUGUGCCUCCCGGUUCAAGCGGGGACUUCUAGUCUGGGUUGUGGUACGAGUUUAAAGGUGCCUCCCACAGUUGGGGCCCUUCCCAGGAUACCUUGUGAUUAAGACCAAAAAAAUAAAAUAAAAUAAGUAGCCUUUAAUAAUCUUACGUCUUAAAAAUAAUCGCCAUUACCAAAUAGUCGUGGUCAUGUACAAGCAAUCAAACUAACAUAAGGAAUUUCAUCUUCUAUCGGGUAGUUUAUUAAUUAAUUAAGUACUCAUUUAAUUUUUUAUUUGGUCCACACUUUUCUUAAAAAUUUUGGGGACUGGUAAUUGUUACUAAACAGCCAACACUUGUCCAAUAUUCUUACCUCAGCUGAGCUGCUCCAAAACUUUUAUGCCUCUGUAUGUCACUUUUGCGGGUCAAACAAAGCUAUAAUCUUCAAUUCUUUCUUGAACAUAUCGACUAAGAUAAUUUUCCAACUAAGGCAAACCUCAAAAAGACAAACUGAGGUUUCAAAAUGCUACUCUACAAGUAACUAUUGUGAACACAAUUCAGCCAUUUCAAUCAUACAACAAAGCAUAGCAAUUUAGAAGAGUGAGGCCAAUUAGGAUCGAAGAGGGAAAAUGGACUUUGAAUGCAAAGGUACGUAAUGGGUUUCUUUAAUCAAUACAAAAAUUACACACAAUAUGUAUUAGAUUAUUUUUCCAGUACCGCAAACAUCUGCACAUUUGAAGAUUUGAAGAUGUGAAUCGUUAUUUAUAUUUUUAAAUUUACUUUUAAAACGUGCAGAUAUCUACAUUGAAAAACUAUUUAAUGUGUAAUGUUUUGUAUUUUGUGUGUAGGUAAGAGUUCAUGGCCGGAGCUGGUGGGAGUUGAAGGGAAGGUGGCAGCAGAAACAAUUGAGAGGGAGAAUCCAAUUGUAUCUGCUCAUAUUUUGUUGGAGGGAAGCAAUGUGUUCCUGGAUAAGUAUUGCGGUAGGGUUUAUGUUGGGGUUGACACUAACAGCAUUGUUGUUGAGGUUCCUACCAUUGGUUAAUUAAUUACUGCAAUUUUCUGAAUAAUCAUGUCCCUUGUGCAAAAAUUAACGAAAUAAAAGAGAUUGUAUUCCCUGCGCUGUACUUUCUGUAGCAAAAUAACAAUAUACAUAUUCCUCUUCUGUGUAUGGAUGCAUACGGAUCUCAAUCACGAUGCUUAGAUUAAUAAUACAACCGGUUAAUUAAUUACAAUAAGCUAUAUGUCAAGUUAUUUAAUCUGUUACAAAUGGAUUAGAUUAUAUUUGAAAUGACAUGCACCUACUUUCUUUGAAAUGUUCAUCUGCGCGGAAGGAUUCAUAGUUUCGUACACAAUUUAAUUACUCGUAAUUAAGGCUUUUUCUUCUUUCUGACAUGUCAGAGGAUAAUUCAAGAAUAACGUACACAUUAUUGAAUGGUCAAUCUUAAAACAUUUCACACCAUGGAGAGAGGAUCCUGGUCCUUCGUUCCAAACCGUUGGAUAACUAUCAAAAUAUAUAAUCACCAAUUUAUCAUUAUCCAAAAGCAAUACAGUCAAAUACACACACACAUGUAAUCUUCCAAAUUUUCUGUAUAUAUUCAUUGAUUGCUAAAAGAAAAAUGGCUGCAGACUACUAGUUGUCCUGGGGUUUCGGCACGUCAUCUCCUCGUCAUUGAAGUGAAGGGCUUGAUAGUCUCCUUGUAUGUAUUGUGUGAGUAAUUUUUCGUUUUAUCUGGAGAGCAUAUUUUCUAGCUUGAUUAAUUAAAAUAUUAUAUAACAACCCGAGUCCUGAAUAUUAAAGAUAAUAUUUCACAUCCCAUGAAAAUGAAUCUUGUAUUAAUCAUAUAUAUACACACACACAUACAAGGAUUAGACAAUUCUCAGCCAUCGAUAUAUUUUUAAUAUGAGUUAUUAGGCGAUGGUUUCUAUGUCCAUAAACUGAUUAAAGUAGUUUAUUUCAGUUACAUAUAAUAUCGAAUUAAUACAUGGGUUCCUGCGUCGGCUCAGCUACGUGAACAUUUAUGCCUCCAUAUAUCUUACGGCCAGGGGUCAAAGAUUGCUAAUUUGAAUCGAUCUGUGGAAUUAAAUUCAUGUUUCUAAAGUACGUAAAUUGUCAACUAAAUCUACUUUAAGCUAUAGAAAGUCAAAAAUCACCAACAACAAGCUACCAAUGAGACUUUAUAAAUACACCCAUGAUCGGCCAUUUAUAUCUCAACAGCCAGAAACAAAUCAGCAAUUUUAUUACUAGAAGAGAAAAGGAAGAAAUGGCAUCGGAAUGUAGAGGUAAUAACCUAAUUACUUCUGUAGUGUAGCUAAUAACGCCAAUGAAAUGCUUUUACAUUAGGGUUUCCUCUAAUUACAAAACGUUUUGUUUCUGUACAUGCAUGUAGGUAAGAGCUCGUGGCCGGAGCUCCUUGGAGCUCAAGGUGUGGAAGCAGCAGCAACAGUUGAGAGGGAGAAUCCUUUAGUGAAUGCUCAGAUUGUUUUGGAAGGAAGCUUUGUCACUGCGGACUUUUUAUGCACGAGGGUUCGUGUUUGGGUCAACACCCGUGGCACUGUUACUAGGGUUCCAACCAUCGGUUAGAGAGGGCUCCAAGCCUCCGAGGACAGUCCAUGAUAUCAAAUAUUAUAAUAUAUAUGUAAUUUGCAUGAAAUUGGCAAUAAAUAAAGGGAUAUAUCCUUAUAUCCUUAUGCUUGAUUGUCAGAAUAAUAAGUCAUUUGAUAGGGGUAAUGUACGUAAUGUAUAAAUCAAUGUAAAACUAAUUCCUUUUAAAGAUAUUUAUAAUCUAUGUAUUCAGUGUUUAAUUACAUACUUUUCUAUCAUGUCAUUACAUAACUACAUAGUCAAUUAUAUAUAUAUAUAUAUAUAUGUAUGUAUGUAUAUAAUUAAUAAGUACGAUAUAUAUUGAUCUGACGAUAAACUACAUAACCUAAUCUAAUAGAAUACAGCUGUUUGAUAAUAUCAAAGACUAUUAAUGAUUUUUAGACAAAGUUUUAUAAAAUAAUGCAAUCAAAUCUUUUUUUCCUAUGUAUUUUUUUUAAUUUCUUUGUUGUCAGUAAAGAUUAGCAUACAGUAUUGGAAUUAUAUAUUGCCAUGAAACUUAUCCCUUUCGCUGCUGGUCAAACAAAGCCAAUCUUCGAUGCUGUUUCUAAAAUAAUGGCUACCUAAAACCAUUUUCAACUAAUUAAAGUAACACCUAAAAGUCAAAAACGUCGAUAAUCAACUACAAGCUAUAUAUAUCCAUCUGUGCUAAUCGCACAUCAAAUUCACAAACGAAGCACAGAUAGAAGAGUGAAUACCAAAGAAAAAGGGGAAAAAAAAAUAUGUCAUCGGAAUGCAAAGGUAAUGAUUCACUUCAGUACUGCUUUAAAAAUUUUCCUCUAAUUAAGCUCUAAUUAGACUAUUUUCAUUUCUUAUAUAAUCUUCCUUUUGGUUUCUGCGAAGGCAAGAAUUCCUGGCCAGAGCUGCUGGGAGCUAAAGGCGACGUCGCGGCAGCAAAAAUUGAGAAGCAGAAUCCUUAUGUUUCUGCUCAGAUUGUGUUGGAAGGGACCUUUGUCACCCUUGAGUUCUCAUGCUCGAGAGUUCGUGUUUGGGUCAACACCAGUGGCAUUGUCACAAGGGCUCCUGCUAUUGGCUAGGGCUCUCCAGAGGCAAUACUAAGAACCGUUUAUAUUAAUUAUUGUACUAUAUAACUAUGUAAUUAAUAAAGGGAUUCUUCUAUAUAUAAGUCUAUAUCCCCACUUAUUAUUACAAAAUUAAAUAAUAAGAGAUAUAUCGUUGUUCUGAUCUAUUGUGUUUGAAACAAAUUUAUGUGUACGGUCUGAAUCAUAUUGAAGCUUCAUAUUCUUGUUGUUAUGCUUUUGUUUGUAUUCGCACCCCAUCAUAUGUUGUGCCGACUAGGCUGAAUUUUCUUUUAAAAAUAAAUAAAUAAAUAAGGGCCAUGGUCAUCAAUGAAAUGUACCCUUAAUUAAUAUAAAUUUUAUGUCCCCCCCCCCCCCCCCCCUUCAAGUUCGUAUUUUCGUGUCAUGAAUCCUUGCGUUUGGAGUUUCUACAUUAUGCCCCUCCCUCAAACCUGAACUCUUGGUUUGGUUACAAGUACUUGAGAUACACAAUUCGCACCCCUACUUGGUUGUCACCCACUAGCUAACCAUGUAACAAAGGAAAGGUUAAUAGAAGAGGUCCAUGCAGUGUCUCAUAGUUAAAGGAUUUGUUGUUCAAAGAACACGGCCGAUGAAGCUACAUAAAUUCAAACUCCAAGAAUGAAACAACUACAUAUAUCUUGCCGCACGAAUACCCAUUACCAAUUUACGAUAUUGUUACUAGUACAUAUGUCCACCAAAUCUUUACACAUGAACUAAAACCCAAUAUUUUUCUUUGGCCACACUUGAUCGAUAUAAUUGGCUAAUUAAUAUGUAUGUUUGAUUGCCUCAUUAAAGAGUAAGUGUUUUCAAUUUUCUUGCAUUGGAAUUAAGAUGGAAGGAAAUGUAAAUAAAAUUAUCUGGUUUGUCUUAUGUUUGUUGGAAGAAUUAGACACUAGUCAAGAAGAAUAUUACUAAAAAAAUGAUAAGCUUUGGUAAAACCACCAUGCGGGCCGGUCUCAUUGACUCAUUCUCAUAUAUAUGUCUUCAAAUAACCUAACAAUAAUAAUCCAGCCGGCUAGCCAUUAUUUUUUCGGAUGAAUCUAAGCCUAUUUUAUGCUAUAAAUACCAUCUUAGUGCUCUCUACUCUAUAUCACGAAAGAAAGAAGAAAUUAAAGAAGUGAAGAUGUCAAGUAGUUGUCCAGCCGGUGAGUUUUAUAAAUACUUAACUAAUUAAUCGUAAUAAUUAAGCUUGAAUAUUUAUCAAAUUACCUGUAGCAUUUGCUUGAGUGUUUUUUCAAUUUGUUGUAUCUAAUUACAGGCAAAGGUUCGUGGCCAGAGCUAGUGGGGAUGAAUGGGGAGGCAGCAGCACAUAUUAUAAUGGCAGAAAAUCCAAAGGUCGGGGCCACAACUGUUGAUGAGAACGCAAUUGUGACCGCGGAUUUUCGCUGUGACAGGGUCAGAGUCUUUGUUAAUGACCACGGCAUCGUCACUCGGGUGCCUAGAAUUGGCUAAUUAAUUAAUUAGCGAAUUAAGGCUUAAUUUCAGUGUUAGUGUGUUCCUAAUAAUAAUGUAUGAAAGAACAGAGAUAACUUUAAUGGUGAACUUCGUGUUGCUGUUAGAUUGUAUUAAUAGGAAAUUAAUACAUAAGGGGUGUGAGUAUUUAAAAUUUUAAAUGUCAUGUGUUUGAUAUGGUCAGCUUUUCUGAACUUUCUUCAUCUCUUUGAAUUAAAAUUACCUUUUAGAGAUUAUAAUUACUUCUAUCAUUUACAUGUUUGUUUUGAUUCUCGUGUAACAACACUUGGUUUGGCUUGGAAGUUGGAAGCUAGCGAACGAUAUUGACAUUUUUGUUCGGGUUUGGGAGUUAUGAUAUUCCAUUAUCACAACAAUAAUAUGAUAUUGUCACGAAUUUUAUGUAAUGUUUUUUAACAAAUUAAUAUAACAUAAAUAGUCAUUAUCAAGUGCAUAUGUCUUCAUUUCUUAAAAUGUAGAUUUGAGGUUUUACAACAUUAUAAAUACAUUAACAAUAUUACAAACUGCUGAAAAAUUAUUUUACAAUAUUGUAAAAGCGUCAAUAGCCCAACUUUUAAAUUAUAUUGUACAAAAAGACGCAGCUUUUUAAUAUUAGUUGGAUGAAAUAUAAAUAAUAAAACAAAUCAUAUAAACCAUGUAGUUUUUAUUUUAUCUUUUUAUCGAAUACUUUUAUAUCAUGAGUCUUUUUUUAAUAUAGAUACCAGCAUUUUUAAAAUGCAGAUUCAAUAUUUUGCAACAUUACAAAAAGCUUUUGAGUAACGAGUCUCUUCUAAAAUUGAUUUUUGAUUGUAACGGGAUAAGGACUUGAAAAAAAAGAAAAGAAAAGAAUUUUCAGAAUCUAAUAAAUAGUAGAUUGAGUAAUGUCUGCGAAUUUUGGUGACAUAGUUAUGACCAAGAUGUUCUUUGCCUUCAGUCUGUUAUUGUGAAUUUAAAUACGGAUAAAAUUGUGACGGGGUUGGACGAAGACUUUUUAAUGGUGCCAAUAGCAUCUGAGGUCCAAUUUUAACAAAGGCCCAAAAACUAUUAGAUUUUCAUAGAGGCCCUAAAAAUCUCAAAUUUUUAUGAGUCAAUGAAGCGCUUUAAUAGGUCAGUUUGGAUUCGAUCUCCUUGCAUUAAAUUCCCUUUGCUAAGAUGAUCCACCGUAACUCAUUCUCCGUCGUGUAUGCCACUACAUAUUUUAAAAAAUUAUUUUCUAAUGCCGAACUAAAUAAUUAUUUCCAGAGGAAAGUUCCUAAGAAAGCUAGCAAUUCAAAUCAAAGUAUAAAUUUAUUUUUUUUCUUAAUAAGGAAAAUGUAUCGAAAUUGUGGUUCGAGGAAUUUUUGACUGAUUUUUUUAGGCUGCAUACAUGCACGUACGACCAAUUCUUAAUAUCUGAAAAUUACAGUUACACGUACCCAAUUAGAACAUAGUAUAAAUGUACCAUUAAAUCAUAAUAGUUUGAUUAUUUCGAAGGUUUAAUUGUUUGACUAAAAGCUCUUGACAUUAAUAUUAUACAAUAAAAAUUUAGAAAGAAGAAGGAAAAUUACAGGAACCAUCAAAUUUAAAAAAAAAAAAAAAAAAAAACCUGGCUACAAUUAAACCUUCAAAGUCACGAGAUUUCCGUCAAGAACAUGCGUUGACCGUAAUUUUCCUUCAUCGUCUCUGUUAUAUGUAACACCAUUUGACACGAUGGAAUUCAAAGUCAGUGUCCGUUAUCUACACGGGUACACCCCCCGGCAACAAAUCAGACGGCUCGGGUUCAUUAUUCCAUUCCUCGUGUAAAUUAUUCAACACAUGCUUGUAGAUUAUAAUAUUUGUGAAACAUAUUUAGUAAGGAAAAAGAUUUGCUGGAUCCUAGUUUGUUAUAUUAAAAUAUAAAACACCCAAAAUUUCCUGAAAGUGAUAAGAAACACUUAAAAUGCAACUUUUAAGCUUGAAAAUUUCGUCUAAUUAUAAAAUGAAAUGGCUAAAAUUAUACCUAUUAAAAUCAUAGGUGUACAUAAUAAAUAUUAUUAGUAUCUCUCUAUAAGUUUAUGAGCCUAAUUCAUACUCAAAAGUUAGCUUGAGAUUUGAAGAUUAAUUGCAUCAAAAUUCAAAAAUCGAUCAUUUUGACGGGUACUUGUCACAUGGUAAGAUAGUAUACACCCAAUCGUACAUAAAUUUGGUUGUAAUUAAUAUCGUGUAAAAGCCCAAAGUUCCAUAAUCCAUAAUAAAAAAUUUAAUUAAAAAACUGAGGGUCAAUUACCUCAAAAUUAUAUUAUUAGUUCAAGAUCAAUCCCCAACCAAUGUGCGAUCGUCCUCUUAUCAUUCACCAGUGUUGAUUACUUGAAAUCCAAUUUAAUAACAAUAUGUUGCUAAUUGUAACUAAUGGUGGACGUGCUCGGCCACUUUUAAAAAAAAAUUGUUGCUUUGACUCCUAGUAUUAGUCCCAGGUAAUGGCAAGUCGAACCACCAAACUCUAUUUUAUAUAAUUUAUGGAGAAGCUAUAGCCAGAUUACAGAUACCUUACGUUCCCUAUCUUAAAUUCGUAUAUAAUAAAUAAAAAUUAAACCCCUUAAUUAGGACCUUGGUUUAUGCAUUUUCAAACUUUCUUUUUAAAAAUUGAAGAAAAUAAAUUUACUGCUCGUUAUUCAAGCUGGUAGGUAACGCGUAGGGUUGAUUUUGAUUUUUAGACUAUGUUGUUCAAACUUCAGACCAGCAUCAAGUCAAGUAAUUAAUUACGGUUCCAGUUCCAUCAAUUGAACAAAUUAAUAUCAAACCCUGAAGCCUAUAUAAGUACGUGUAUGCACAUAUCAAAUCUCCACCAAAACUCGCAUUAACUGAAAAGGAAAAAAGAUUUUAUUAAUUACUUCGAUUUCGAGUUCAUCCAAUCAAAUGGAGUUCCACAGAGCAAACGUCAACUUCUUCACAUUUUUGUUCAUCUUCACCAUGUUGUUCACUUCAAGUGCGGCCUUGAGGCCUUUGCUUGAGAGGCCAUUCAUCAAGAAAUAUUUCGGGAUUUGGAACCUUAUUAAUCAGUCCCUUGCCCAGGGGACUGUGCCACCUAUUGGCCCGUCUCCUUGCACACAUAUCCCCGGUGGAAGCGGUCACUGCCCGAAUUUGAACGGCAUGAACUUUGCCGGCCGUGUCGCUCGUGCACCACCGCCUCCAUUUCCCGGCAGUGACAUUAUUGAUUCCUAGGUGGCUUCCCCCCACAGAAUAAGAAUAACGAGCAGCAAGACACAAGCGCUCUUAGUACUUGAUACAUCAUCCUUGGCUACAGGGUUUCGCGCGUAAUUAAUACUGCAAUAAAUUAAUCACAAUGUUCUUUUCCUUUUGGAUAUCAUUUUUUUGUAUUCUUAAUUUUCUUCGAUUUUUUUUUUUAAGAGCAACCAUAAAAUGUUGGUUGUCAACCCACGUUUAUCUUUUCUAUUGAAUGUAAAUAAGAUAAUUCCAAAACUAUAUUAAUAAUGGUCUUCAAAUCAUAUGUUAAUAUGAUUUUUGUCACGCACUAUAAUAAUUAAUCAACGUGCAGCUUCUUCACAUUGAAUGUUUAGUCCAAGUGAGAGAUCUUGACAAUUAUCGUGAGGUGGUAGCAAUGAAAGUGGACGUCUCAUGAACUCAAUGAAAUCAUAUGGAUUAUGGAAUUUAAAUUAACUACACAUGGAGUUCAGGGGUAGGGUGAAUAUUGUUACUCAUUAUUAUCGCAAUAGUAAAAGGAUAUUCCGGUGAUAGCACAGACAUUCUAACGUAGGCUCUGGCUAAAUUACGUUAAACAUAACUUACGCCAGACACAGCAACAUUGUACAGUAGUGGAACCACAACUGUUGUUGUGCCUGGCGUAAGUUACGUUUAACGUAACUUAGCCGGCUCCUCUAACGUAAUAAUUAAAUCGAUCGAAGAUUUUGUGUCAUAAUAUGAAAACAUCGUACGAGCAUCCUUUCAUGUGUCACCAGGUGUUGAUCUCAAGUAGGUCAGUGCGAGGAAGUCCUCUUGAAGUGACAUGGAGGUGGUAAAUUAAAUUUUGUUUUGUUUAUUGAGUCAAAGUCUCAAGUUUAAUUUGCGCAUUGUGCUUAGCUCUAAUUUCCAUGUAAAUGAGGAGAAUUGAUCUUGAGGGUUGGGAUCUUGGCUAUAGAUUGAUACCAUUUUAUAGAGACAAUUUCAUCCAAAAAAUUAAGCUAAUUAAAAAUAUUAAGGAAGCCACGAGUGUUAAAAACAAGUCUCAAUUACAACUAAUUUGAAUUUUGGGCUGUCCCAAUAUGUAAAUUCUUUUCUAAUUUAGUCUUAUCACAAAAGUGUGUGUGUGUGGUUCCUGUAGGUUGCUUCCGGUUUGGUACCAGCUCUUGUCGAACUCGUGAUUGGUCACGUGCUAAACACGUAGGUACCAAACCAAGUAACCAAGAAGGUCCUGAUGAGAGGGUAAAGUGCAUUUUUGGCCGGUACUUUUUUUAUUGGUUUCUUUCUUUUGUUUUUAUUUUAUUUUUUCAAUCCUGCUUAUUUUUUGUUUUAAUUUUUAUUUUCCUUUUUAUGGCAGUCGGAUUUAUUGUUGAUUGUUGGAUGUUAUUUAUCUACUCCUCUUGACAUCUUGUAUAUUGAUAGUUAGUACUGCAAUAUGGUAUUUUGUGUUAAUUUUGUAGUAUUUUUUGUCUUCUCUAAUUGAAAAAAAAAUGUAUAAGUUGAGGGUGACAGCAGUCCAUAAAAUUUCUCCUACUCAUAAGUAGGUUUAAUAGGUAAAAUUCUUUUUUUUUUUUAGAUUUGUGAUUAUAUUUAUUGUUAUGAGUUGUCCUAACCUAAGCUUGAGUCAUAAAUCUUAUUCUAUUUAUUGUACUUAACCUUAAUGAUCAUGUAUUUAUGUCCGUGUAAUAUUUAAUAAUUGAACUAAUUUUGUUCCUUAAUGAAAAACAUACUUUCUUUUUUUUAAAAAAAAAAAAAAAAAAUCUUGUCAUAAGUAAUUAUCGACAAGGUCAAACCUCUAGGGACUAGGGUUUCUCUAGCUAGGCCCAAAAUAAAAUAAAAAAAGAGGGUUUUUGAUAGGGACGUCUGCGUACCCCCAAAAAUUUUAUCCAUUUACACCAAUCCCUUUGCAGUUUUCAGUCACAAUACACCGUUACUUGUUUGACUUCAAAAUUUUCUUAGAAGAACUUGUCACAGCCACAAAAGAGCAUUUAAUCUCCUUAUUUGUAAAUUACGCAUGUCUAUUUAUGAGACUUGGUAUGGUAUUUGACUGUGCGCGUAAUAAGUUCCCAUUAGAGAAGCCGUAAAUCUCAUAACACAACUUGGCUGGUUUACACAACACAAACUUGCCGCACAUAAAGUCCUGCACUUGAUUUAAUUUAUUUUAUAUAGCUAUAAUAUUAACUUAAAAUAAAACGAUUGUUUGAAAUUCAUUGUGUUUAUCAUGGUCAAAUUUUUGAUUUGAUAAACAUUGACCAUGGAGCUCCAAUCUGCUUAUUAGGUCAACACGUUUGUCCAAACAACUUCAAACUCCUGAGCAAUAAAUUCUACUGCGGAAACGAUCCAGCCUACAUAAGUCAUCGAUGUUGGGCCAUCACAGCAUUACCAUCUCACCAGUAUGAGACAUUUUGGGGACAUUAUCCCACGACAACAGAUAUUGAAUCUUAUGGCUUCUGAAUAUGAGAUUAUAGGUUAUGACCAUAAAUUUUAUACAAUAUGACAGCGAAAAUCACCAACAAGUGGCAUCAAUAACAUUAUCCUAGCUCUCCUAUGAGCCAGGCCGGCUCCUGAGUUUCCAUAUUGUGAUUGUAUGAUAUUGUGAUAUAUAUAUAUAUCUGUACCAAAAAAUACAUGAAAACUAUAAUAAUUAGUACUCCAAUAUGAAAGACUGAAAUCUAGUAAUAGAUUACAACUUUUAACUGAUUUUUUUCUAUACUAUACUCAUAGUCAUAAAAUAAUACAGAUCGAUUCGAUAGUAUAGAAUAAUUAAUUGUUAGUGUUUUAAAAUAACAAUAAUACAGGAACCAUCGGAGAAGGAGAAACAUUAAACCAUUGAAUCCUCACAAAUCUUCAAAGUCAAUUGCCCUUUUUUCACCUCUCUUAUAUAAACUUUUUGCGUGUACUUGCAUGUAUGAACAUGCAACGCAUGGGAUUUAAUUGAAGUCAAUAAAAAUGCUUCAACCUUUGCCGUUAUACGGUCUUAAUUAGUGUUAAGUUUGUGCGUGUGAGACCAUUUUCACGAUUCAUCAAAUUCAAUAAAAUGCCCCUUUUAAUUGCUUUUGCCUCCUUAUUUGAGUCGUACUCCCUGAUAUGCGCUCUAAUUUAAAGUCACGAGGAACUAAGAUUUUGUUGUAAAUUAAAAAUAAUGGAAAUCGAAAAUUUCUUUUUUUAAAGCAAAAAAGUUUAGAAAAUUCUAAUUUGCUAUGUGUAUAUGUAUGUAUGUAUGUUAGUAUGUAUACGUGUGUGUGUAUAAGGAAUCAUUAAACAAUAAUAUGAGGUAUUCUAACAUAUUAGUUCCAUCUAAAUAUUAUGUAUCAUUUAUGUAUUGGAUAAUGAAUUUCAUAAUUUAUAAAAUUACUAAACCAUUAUCCAAUUGAUAAAUGCUAUACCUGUUGGGACUCAAAUUGGAACUUAAAUAUUGCUCAUAUUAGGAUUCCAAAAUAAAAUAUUAACACACAAUAAAAAUUGCAAAGAAAUUCUACUUUACUAUUUAAUGAAAAAAUUAAACGACUUCUUAAAUCAUGAGGGAUUGGAACUUUAUUUCAAAAUAAAAUACAAAACCCAUAAUAAAAAAGAAAGAAAGAAACACUAAUUUUGGUAUUAAAAGAUAAUUACAUAAAAAAAAAUUUAUAACUUGUGCUGAGAAACAUUUCAAACGUGAAUUAAAUAUGAAAACAGCAGCAUUUGUAGCAAAACUACGAGUCUUGGUUGUAUCAUCGGAAGCUCCCAAACAAUAUACUGAAUGUUAAAUUCUAUUAUUAUUUGUUUAGAAGUUCAUGGGCCUAACUUAUGUUAAAACACUCAUUCAAGAAGCAAGAAUUGCCCCAAACCCUCGAAUUUAUAUUUCCAAAUCUGUUCUCAGCUGAUGUGAGAUUUUCUCCCCAACAAUUUGUAUCCCAAGUUACAACUAUUUGAUGUUUGUGUACUAAAUCAGGCUUAUUUAAAGUCUAAAUAUACACCAAAGUCAUUAGUCACGCAUUACCAUUUGUCUUAAUAUAAAUAGAUCCAGACACGUAUUCUCACCCCCAAUCUUCACGUUAAUUUGCCAGAAUAGAAUAAUAUGUUGAAUUUGCAAUAAUAUUGACAUUAAAUAUCUGCUAAUUAAACAAUUGUAACUAGUGGCCCAGUGGCUUGCCUCUUUGAAAACGAAAAUGUCUUGCCAUGUAAGUAAGGGCUUGAAGAAUUAAUCUCAGGUACUAUUCGAACUAACCAAGUCUAUUUUAUAUGUUGUCGUGUGGAGGAGCUCUAUCUUAAAACCAACAGAAUUAAAGCUAUUAAAUUAAAUAAUGACCAUGUAUUAUGCAUUUUUCAACAUUUAUUCUAAAAAUAAACGAGACAAAACAAAAAUCAUGCUUGUUAUUCAAGCUACCGUGUAGGUUUAAUUCGUACUUUAGACUAUCUUAUUCAAACUUCAAAGCAGACCAAGUCAUUUCAAAUGAAAAUUUCCAGUUAAUUUUACAGAAGUCAAACCAUGCCCCCCACGACUUCAUUUGAACAAAUUAGUAUAUAAGGACAUAAAUAUGCAAGUAUCAAAAUCUCCAACAAACUCACAAUAUAAUUACUUAAAAACAAGACAAUAGCUCCUCAAGUUCAUCAACCAAAUGGAAUUCCGAAGAACAAACGUUAGCUUCUUCACAUACUUGUUCAUUUUCACCAUUUUGUUCGCUUCAUGUUCAAUACAAUUUGGUGCAGCUUCGAGGCCUUUGCUUGAGAAGAAAUAUUUUGAGAACAUUAUCAAUCAGUCCCUCCAGAAGGGUCCUGUGCCACCUAUUGGCGGGUCUCCUUGCACUCAUAUCCCCGGUGGUAGCGGUCACUGCCAUAGAUUAAACGGUAUGCACUUUGCCGGCCGUGUCGCUCGUGCACCGCCGCCGCCUCCCUUUCCGGCCGGCAGAACUGUUAUUGAUUUCUCGGUGUCUUCCCAGAAGAGUGAGAAUAACAAGCAAGAUGCCAGUUCUUGAUAUCACAAUGUUUAAUUAUUUCUUUUUAUUUUCAUUUUACUAUUCUUUUGUUUGAUUUUUACUUUGAUUUUUCAUUUUUUGGGUUGGCCAGAACUGGGGAUGCUGAUUGUCAACCGUUAUUGGCCAUAUAUAAUAUGUCAUAAUUAAGCCAUAAUUAUGGUUCAUAAUGCUUUGUUAUUAGUGUUGGCUUUGAUGUCGACAUGUCGUUUUAGUACGACAAAUGAAUUUGUUCUAUGUAUAGUUACAAAUCGUACUAGUUACUUGUUAACAGUUUCAUAGUUUUGUCCCGCGCUAAUAAUUAAUUAAUUAAGCUGCUAUUGGAUGCCAUUAAGGAGAUGAAAGCCUCAUGAACUCAAUUAAUCACAUAGAUUAUGAACAUUAAAUUAUGAAUAUGGCAAAUAGCAUUAAGCAUCCAAUUAUAAUACAUACAUAUUAACGUCAAUAAUUCGGUAAAUUUCCUUAACAUUCCUAUGAUUUUAUUAUAUACCCCAAUAUCUCAACAGUUUGUAAAAUGAACCCAACGUAUUUAUAUCUCUCAAUUUUUGGCACAAAUUGAUCAUAUACACUGUUUUAGGGUUUGAAUCAGAAUUUUGACCUGACACAAAUCGAAUCACAUUUGUGGACAAUUUUAUGUGUAUUUUGGUUUAGUGGUUUGGCUUUAGAUGAAAUUGCACUAAAUACGGACUCAAUAAUAUAUAUUGUGACUUAGUUGACUUUUUAUUUUUGCAAAAAAUAUGCCAAAAAUUUUCAUGAACUUUCACAAAAUACUCUUAUUACAAAUUAAAUAUAUUUAUUCAAAUUAUUACUACUUAACUUAUCACACGACGUACUAUUUACUCAACUUAUUUGACUUGCUUUUCAAUUUUGUCAUAAAAAUCAAGAUGGAUUCGGAUAUUCUUGAAUUAUUAGAGUUUUUUUUUUAAGGCUAUCUUCUUCUUCUUCUUCUUUUUUUUGUAAUAAAAAAGAAGUUUCUUAAUAGUAGAUUUACCUAACAUAAUUUAGUGGGCGCAUCUUUGAAAUUUCUAAUUAAAAGACAUACUGGGUAUGUAUUUAAAUAUUAAUAAUAAUGCUAAAAACCCUUUGUCCUCACUCGUUUAUCCUUAAGGUCUUAGUUUGAAUCUUUCCAAACACAAUUUUAUAAAAAUUUCUCGUGAUGUAGUUAAUUCGUGUCGGGUCAAAAUACCCAUACCUAAUCUGAAUCGAAACCAUCAAGAGUAAAUUUGUCAAAUCCUGAAAAAAUGAAAACUUCUAAUUUAUUAAAUAUCUUACCCUGUUCUUUUAAGAUUCACAAAUGUAAUUCGGACUGGGUCAAAAUUAUCUUACCCUGUCCGAAUCUCAACCCAUGAAGGGUAAAACUAUCAAAUUAAUUAUGUAAAAAUUUGAAAGGCAAGGAUGUGUUGCGUUGAGAUAUUUUACAAAUUAACUAUGAAAGAUAUAAUAGGAUAUUGGACCAGACCAUAAGGAUGUCACAAAGAUUUGGUUGUAUGAAAUGUCAUACGAUUAACGUAACACGAAUUAAAUAUGAAAACAGAAGUCUCAAGAUUUAUAACUUCAAAACCAUGAUUCAAAUGUAAGUCGCUGAGGAGACACAAGUAACAAGCUCAGGCCGAGAGUCAAAGAAAUUAAACUCCCAUAUGCGGAGCAUGCCAAGACUAAAUAAGAGUUUAUAAGACUCAGACUAAAGGUCUAGCUUAGAGAACUUGGAAUUCUCUUUUUGAAUUUGUGAUAAUAAAGACGUGACCAAUGACCAUGUUCAAACUUUGACAUAUCUCUUCUUGCUUACCAAUUUUUCCUUCUUAUCAAUGGCAAUGCUUGAAAAUUAGUAUCUUCUUAUAUAUCUUGAGAGUUUAGAUUCGGUUUAAGCUAUGUUUAUAUUAUAAACCUUCUAUUCGUCUCUCUUUACCAUAAUAACAAUACAUCUCUCAAACAUUAUAAUUUCAGAGUUAGAGGUUUAUUUGUCAAUUAAAAGAAAAUGAAAACAAGAACGAAACCUCGGUUUCGGCAAAACUAUUGAUAAUCCUUUGACCAAUAAAUAUUCCAAUAAGGGAAAACAAAAAAUUUGAUGACUAGCAAAUUAUCAAAAUGCUAUUAAAAGUCACAUUAGAAUUUAGAACACGACGUAGCAGGCUAUAAAAGCCGUCGUGUAUACUCGGCGUCCAUUGCCCACGUUUUUUUUUCUUCUUUUUGAAAAGGUCCAUUGCCCACGUUCUUCAUUCCAUUACAUUGUUCAAUAUUUUAGAAGUCAACAUGGGGCCGCAAAAUUGAUAUGGCAGUCAAAUCACGGUUUUGAAGUUAAUUUAUUGAUUCUAAUUUAAUUUAAUUUUCAGUAAAUUGAAAUUUGAUCCAUUCUGAGCAUAAGUAUCAUAUGCUGCAGUGGUAGGUUAAAUUCAUAUAAUUAAUUUAUCUUCUAUCAUGAGAAAUAAUUAAUAACGUGAGCGAAUAAAAUUAAAAAGCAAAUUCUUCCAUACAAAUCGAUAAUUCCUUUGGAUUAAUAUAGAUAUAUUGAUGGAUCAGAAUUGGAGAACAUUCUUGUACGUAGAGUAGUAGGACGUACGUCUUUGAACAGCGGGUGCUUGCAUAUUUAUUACAUUCAUUCUGUGCCAAUCAAUACGAUGUAUAAUAAGAAAAUGUGUUUUUUGAGUCUCAAGUGGCACCCCUGGUCAAAGUAAAACAGCCCACCAAAUUCAUUCUCUCUUUUCUCAUAUCCAAAAAAGCCAACACAUUCUCAAUUUGCAUACGAAAUUAAUUUUUUAUUUUUAAAUGAACAAUUAGCCAUGUUUUGAGUCAGAAUCCACUAUCAUCUUCUGUUUUCUUGGCAACCAGACAUUUUUUUUUUUUUUUUGGGAGCCAAACCUCGACUUGUGGAAAAAAAAAAAGUAAAUAAAACAAUAAACAUGGUCAGAGGUAUAGUAAUGAAUUAAUGAUCAAAUCCAUGGAAAGAAACAAUAUCAGCAAUUAAUUGUCUAUUUUUAAUACCAAUCUCAACUGUUAUUAAUUAUCAUUGAGAUUGAUAUUUCAGUUACUAUAAAUAACUUAUUGCGACGAAAAAUAUAGUGGCGGUACUUGUAUUUUUGGACAUCUAAAAUGAUCAUUUGAUACAAUCAUUUUAUUCACAAAAACAUAUACUACAAGUUUUUGUUGUGCCAUAACAAAUAUAAGGCGACUAAUCUACAAUUAAUACGACAAAAUUUGAUGUUGCAAAAUAUGUGCCAUUUUUCUUGUAGUGGGAUAACGAAGAAGUUUGAGGAUAGAAAAUAGAUACACAGUGGCAUGAACUCUAGCCGAAGAUUGUUCUAAACCAAACAGAUGAAAAUAAAAUAAAAGAAAAAGGCAAGCGGCUAAUGCUAAAACUUCUCUGUUUGUUACAUAAUACAUUAUAGAUUAUACAAGUAACAUUAUUCAUUAUUCACACUGGGUAUUCUUUUACAAUAAAAACUUAUCUCCAAAUUCUCAAAUAUUGAGGAGAUAUACAUAUGUUCUUCUCAAUUGACAAAACUAUUAACCCAAUAAUAAUAAUAAUAAUAUAUUAUGUACAAGUGGCAAAUAUUAAUUAUGACAAGAAAUAAUAAUAAUAGUUAAUAAUAGAAAGAAUGCAGAAAUUAAGGCUAUUUACGGCUCUUUCUUGAUCUCGCUUUGUUCCAAUAUCAUGAUUCUUCAGAAUUCAAUGGGCAAAUGAAACGUAAUGAGCUUCGCUUGAGCCUUUCAGGUUUCUGAAUUUGAAAAUUCAAGAUCCUAGAAUCCAAUUCAGAUGUGACGAGCAGCUUCAACAUUACUGCUUGGUAGCAAUGCCAAAAGGGACCGAGAGAUGAGGAUACGCGGUGGGACGAGGCAAAGCAUGACCGGCAACGUUCAUUUCCUUGACGGGACAGCCGGAGCCGCCGUUUCCGGGAAUGAAUGUGCAGCCGGAGCCGCCCGGAGGAGUUACAGGACCCUUCUGAAGAGACUGUAAUAUCAGAACCUCUCCAGGCAAAACCCUACUAGCUUUGCAUGGCAGCGGAGUAUGGACAAGAAAAAUGACAAGAGCCGCCAAAAUUAUUUUAUUGAUGAGAUGGCUCAUGACUCUUGCUAAUUAUUAAUUAACAAUGUUAAGGAUGGAUCAUUUCACGAAGGAUGUGGGGAUAUUUAUAGCCAGUUUUCCAUUUGAUUUUUUUUUUGUUAGAAAGAUUUGACUAUUGAAUACUAAGUUUCCUUUUUUCUUCCUCCCCUUUUUUUUGAAAAAGAAAAAUAAUAAGAAAAGAAACCUAUUGAAUAUGGGUCAUAAGCAAGCUACUAUUGGGAGGUUUUUAGACUUUUAGGACUCCAAGUCCCAUGUUUCUUCCCUAUCUUGUUUAAUUUAAUAAUAAUUUACAGAGAUUAGUUAUGGGAUUUAAUUGCUUAAUGCGAUCAACGUUGGCUUCUGUGGGAGGAAACUUCUUGGGAACUUGAUCUGCUUGGACCUUGAAUGCUUUGAGUGACUGGAAAAGUGCUUAUUUGAUUAUGACUUUGAAUGAAAUUAGAUCAUCAGCUAAGUCAUUGCAUUGGUGGUAUCGUUUUGCCCAUUUUUUUUUCCCUGUCUUGGUGGAUUAAAUUUUCUUCUUCUUGGGAUUCAGACAAAAAUGAUAAGGAUAUUAGAAAGACCUUUUGGAACAAUAUUUCAUUUUACACGCAAGCACAAGCAAGUCUAGCUGUGAGGGUAGCACUAUCCUCACUGUAAUUGGAUAGAUGUGCACGACAAGUUAAACAAUCAAAAUGAAAAUCAAACACUAAUUAAUCGUGCCUUUAUAAUAAUGUUUCUAUGGCAGCCAUUUGCAUCUGGACCUGGAUAUUUCCUCCGCCGUCUUUAAUAAACAGAUUAGUGGUAGUGGUGUCGGGCAUCUUCAAGCAUAAUCUAUAUUUAUAACUACUCUAAAUUUCCAAUUAAACAAUUCUAAAAAGAAAACACAUCAAAUUAGGCAAAAAUUAUCUAAUCAAUGACUUUAGCUAUCACGAUAAUGUUGAAAAAGAAAGUAAUUCAUUUGUUUAGAGGUCUCAGCACUGAGGGAUAACGACAUAGUUUUUAUCCCUCAACAAAAACAAAUUAUUAAAAAUAUGGAAAACUCAGCUCUAGAUAAACUCAUUCCAUUAAGUGUGCAACAGAAUAUUAUAAAGCAAUGUCUAACUAACUUUCUUGGAAAAAAUAAGCUGGCCUAUCAGAAUUCUGGAGCUGCAAAAAGCAGUAACAAGACGAAAAUGUGAAAAAUGAUCUAGUCAAAUAAACUCAAUCCCAUGUCAUCGUCACUUUCUUCCUUGGUUUCCUCCUGAUAAGAGAAAAAGGACGACGCAACCUUAUUAGAAAAUGACCGCAACAAUAAAGCCCUUCAAAUUUAAGCCACAAACGCAGAGUGGAAAUGAAUUAACAAGCAAAAAUAACUUUAGCAGGUAGCUCAACUUGAAACUGUAUUCUAGUGGGGCGAACCAAAGAGUGGAAACCAAUUUUCAGCAACCAAAUUCAAGAAGAAGGAUUGCAUCAGAAGCGACUAAUUAUUUUCUAGAACCCUCAAUGACAAAGAGGAAUUUUUUAAAAGUAAUAGCUAUUGCUAAAACUGUUCAGCGGCAGAAACAAUUGUACAAGGAGAUGUUCCCAAAUAAGCAGCCGCAAAACAGUCCAAAAUCAAACUACAUAGCAAAUUCUUCGAGGGGAUAUAUGUAACAUAAAACUAGAGAUCUAAUGUAGAGAAUUACCAUCCCAUAUUAUUCUCAAGCAAUCUGAUAGGCAAGUGAUAGAGUUAUCUGAAAAUAAAAACCCAUCUAAAAGAAACUGGCUGGUCUAAGUAUUGCUUAAAUUCGACACAGAGAAUAGUGCACAUAUAUAACUUCUGCAGAUCUGAACAAGUGAUCUCUGUGGGACAAAAGGCUGACUCUAAAACUAGUUUACAUACAAUGAGUUAAUUAGUGCAGUAUUUCUACAGCUAAUCAUCGAACUGAUUAAGGCUGAAAGCAUGAUUGAAAAUUACCUUCUUUUCCUCGACAGCAGCGGCCAGCGCAGCACCACCUAAACCGCCAGAGGCAACAGCAGGGGUAGCUACUGCUAGAUGUGCACCACCUAUAUUCAAUUAAGAAACAACAUCAAUAACAUCAGUUGAAAGUUAAGAAAGGAAAAGCAAGAGCUUGACGUAACUCCAUCCGGAAAAUGGGUUACCAGACCCAACAUUCAGAUACAAUUCAUCAGCACUUCUCUUCUCAAAGAGCUUGGAGAACAAACUCGGUCAGCAAGAGUCAAUAUUCACGUUUGCAACCUUGAUCAGAGUUGCAAUCUUCUCAGGCUGAGAAGUAAAAAAUGAAAACUCAACCAAGCCGCUAUCGAUAGUAUUAUGCGGCCAGAAAAUUUGCACAGUAUCCAUAUACUGCACUCUCAUUCUCUAAACUAAAAAUAUACUCUACAAAAUAACAUCACUAAAACUUCUACAUAACAUCACUAGCAUAUGUGCAAGCCAGCUCUCCGAUCGACAUUUUUCUUCUUGAAAAAAAGUGCAUUAAUUUGGAACCAAAAAUAAAUAAAUAGAGAUAAUUUUACUGUUAACAUUAAAAAAAUCAUUUUUAAUUCUACAUUACCUGAAUUGGUCGCCAGAGAUGAGAAUUAAAGCUUUGGUGUUUAGGGCAAAGUUUGAUGUUCUUUCACUCUUCAAAAAUUAAAACCCUGAAUAUAAGUACGCCGAUUUCGUUAGUGGUGCAUAUGUUCUAUUAUACUGUAUAAAUUUUUAUAGUGUUGAUAAUGGAGUCAUUAUGGGCACUUGGAUUUAAAUAUUUUAAUUUUUAUUAUUGAUUUAAUUUAGUGGAUAAAUAAUUAAGGAUAAGAUUAUUUGAACCCACCAAACUACUCACGAAACCCAUUUUUUAUUUUUAUUUUUUAUGAUUAAAAGAAUGAUACUAUUGGCACCCCUCAAAAAUUCUUAUGAAACUCCUCUACUAUGUAUUUACACAUUUAACUUUGUUGAAAUUACAAGAACUCUAAUUCAAAUAAAAAAGAAAUUGUAAAAACUCCUUACAGCCCUAUAUUAAUAAGAAGCGAAUUGUUCCCCCCCCCAAAAAAAAAACAAGCCAUAAAACAAUAAACCUAAGCAAAAGAGGCAUAAAUGCAUUUUUCUAUUACCCGCAGAAUUAGCAAUCAAAGGGGUAUUUAAUACUUAUAGUUAGUCGUGGUGGCUUAUUUUUUAAAGUUUGUUUACAGGUUAUGAAAAACUCUGUUUAUUGAGUUUGAUAUCUAGCUGAAUGUUACUACUGGUCAUGAGAUUUGUUUAAAAAAUUAUUUCAGGGUUCAAUGAGAAGGAAGAAGGUAGGGCUUUUUGAGGAAUUAAAAUGAUUGUUAUUAGUAAAAGAGUAAUUUUAGUACUUUAAUUAAUAUGUGCGCUCAAAAAAGGGGUUUUACGAGAUUAUUUGAGUGGUACUAAUAGCUCCACUCAUGAUUAAAAUACUCUUAAAGUAAAUUACAACUAUACAAUUAAAAAUAUAUUUUUUUUUAAAAAAAAAGAAUUUUUGCUCAUUGUACCCAUCUUUUCAUUCAUCAGCGCUGUCAACAUACUCAUUGAGAAGUUUCAAAAUAAUUUCCCUGCAUUCGAUCUGUAAAAAGUUACUUCUAAAGGCUGUGGCUUAUUUUACGUUGGUGAUUUUUCCAUGGUUCUGCUGGCACUUAAAGAUGUAAUUAGAGAUGUAAGGAUGGAGUAUCGAGGACAAGAAAGGUCGCAUCUCACAAAGCUCAGAAUAAACGGUUUGCCCAGUACUUCCCUUUAUGGCUCUUGAAUUGUCAAGAUAUGGCUAUAGUUUCGAAUUGUGCAGCAAUGAAUUUUCUUUUGAAAAAAAUAUAAAUAAUGUGAAGGAUGAAUUUUUACCUUAGCUAUAUUUUUCUGAAUCACGUUAAUAAAGAAAAUCUUUAGUUUAAUGUAAAAAAAGAAUUUAUUAAGAGUUUAUAAAUGAAUUUAAUGGGUUUGCUUAGUAGAAACACUAUUAUUACAAAAAUUGAGUUUGAAGAGUAUAUUGGGUACUUUAAUAGGUUUAUUGAAUAAAAUUUAAAAUUUCAAAAUUUGAGGGUGGGUUUAUUUAAUAAAUAAGUUUACUGAGUAAUUUAGUAAGUUCAAAUAGUCAUACCCAACAACUAAUUACUUAAUAAUUAAUGGAUAAUAUUCAAGUUCAUGGAUAUAAUUUUACUUUUUAUAAUUCCAUUAAUAUUUUAUAAAUCACAAAUAAAAUUAAAAAUUAAAUAUGCAAAUAUAUAAAUUAAUUUAGAUGUGAAAAUAACAAAUAUGGAUUAUUCAAUCAAUAACACAUGUUAAUUCAGACACAUGUUUUCAUUUAUAAUUGGGACAAUAUAAUUUUGACUUCUUAGUUUUAUUCAUUGCCUUUUUUUUAUUUUCUAAAAUUACUCAUUGGUGAAGAUUGAAUUGAAUUAUUGUUGCAAUUUUUAUUAAUCUAGUAAAUUUUUGUUGACAAUAAGAUAAUAAUAAUAAGAUAAACUAAGAUAGAGUUGUGUUAAUAUUAAAAUACAUAUAUUUUCAAAGGAAAUAUAGAAGUAUCAACAGACUAUACUUGUUUCUUUUUAUUAUUUAAUCUUUAAAAAACAUGUUUAACAGAUUUGAUCAUUAGUAAAUUUAAAUUUUUAAUAAAUUGAAAUUAAAAUAUUAUCCUAAUUAAUUUUUAAUUUUAUGAACAGUUGGUUAAAUCUAAUGGUAAAUAUUUAUAUCACUAUUGAUGUUGUUAUUUUUAUAACAGCAUCAUGAAGUGACCAUUUAAAAAUAAAUAUUAAUAAAUAUUAAAUUUAUUAAAACGUCAUUUAAGCUUUGUGUACUACUACCGAAAAUAGAUUUUGAACUAUAUGAGUUUUUUAGUUCAAGUUUCAUACCUCUUAGAGUUCGUUUCAGAUUAUUUUUAAAGGCUCAAAAGUGAUUUUAGAAAGUUAAAAAUUAAUUUUGAUAUUUGGUAAAUUUUUUUAAAAAUCACUUUUGGUAAAAUCACUUUAUCUAUAGCAGAUUUUGAAUAGGUGGGAAGGAGAAAAUUUUAAAAUCUGAUUUUUAUAAUAAUUUUUAUACUUAAUACAAUUCCACAGAUAUUCUCAUAUAUAUUAUAAAAAUCUAAAAUUAUCCUUAUUAAUUAGGAAAUAAAAUCAUUAGCUUUAAAGAGAUUAUAAUUAUCAAUUAUAUUAAGAUAACAAAAUAAAAAAUAAAAAUAAUAAUAUAAAAUGUUUAUUCUAGUUAAUCAAGUAUUAUAUGUACACAAUCAAAAAUAUUUUAUAUACAUUUGUAUAAAUGUGUAAAUAUAUUUUAUAAAAUAUUAUAUCCAAUUCAGUAAUUUACAUUCUUAUUUUACUUUAAUAGUAAAAAUUUACCAAACACAAACAAUUGUUUUUAAGACUUACAGUGCUUUUUUUAAAAAUAAAUUUUAUCAAAUAUUUAACUGAUUCUUUUCACAACUAAUUAUUUCUAUAGAACAACUAACAUUACCAAGCUAGUCCUUCGUAUCUCUACCACCGUAAGAACUUUACCCCUUAUAUCUGUGUGAGUAAAAUUAAAACAGACCACAAGCGUCAAUUAGAUCAUUUAUUAAAUUGCAUUUAGUUAGAGAAACCUUGGUACAUUGCAUCAUUGUGUAACUCACAUCAAUCUAAAAAUUAUUUAAAAUAAAUUAAAUAUCUUUCAGUUUCUGAUAUUAUUAAAUUAUAAAACAUUGAUAUAAAUUACAGAAUUAAAUAACUGAGCCACACCCUCAUUUGGAGAUUCAUGUGAAUCCGAUACUGCAGCUUGAAAGGGCACGCCGACCAUCUAUCCACAGUGAAGAUGGUAAGUCGUUUGCCCACGGGCCAUGAUAAGAAAGUUGACAUGGUCUGGCCUCAGAGAGCUACUGAAAUGCACACAAUCAGACGCGUCAAAAUGUGGAUCACAUUCAUCAUACUUGGCGCUUUAUGCCCCUUUGAUCAUCAAAGGUGAAAGUAAAACCAAAUCACAUGAAAAGCUCAUUUCUAUGAAAAGAACUAAAAUAGCUGAAUGCAACAAAGGCAGAAAACACUCUUUACAUAAUAUUUUUUUUAUGGAAAGAUUACAUCCUCACUCCAAAUCUAAUAACCUCCACAAUUUCUUCCAAUAAAUUAUUACAACGGGAAAGCCUAACCCUCUGGUUUGAGGACCACCUCCGUUGUAGCUUCGUCCUCUUCCUCUAAUGUCCAUUUGAAGGUCGGAACACUGCAUAGCCAUUGACCCCACAUGCCAUAUUUGAAUACUCCGGGUGAAAAAAUGGGUAGCCCUCGCCCUCUGUGUUUCUCAUGCCCAUUAAAGAUAGAUCUGAACCAGGCAUCGGCCACAUGGUUGGAAUCAUCCCAUCAAUCUGGCCAUUUGAAUAGGGCAGAGCAGUAGCUUGAGGAAUAAAUUCCCUUACAGAGUCAAAAUGGCCAACAGAAGAGCUAUAACCCCUUUGGAACCCAUCAUCAUGGUAACUCCGUGUACGCUCAAACUUACAUGAGCCAGCAGAGGACCCAAUGUCACUUGACAUGCUGAUAUCACGGGGAAAAGAGAACUGCCGAUUUAAUGUGUGUGGCCCAUUGCUAAGAGACUGCAGAACUGUGCUUGCCCCAGCAGCCAUCCCAACACCAUGCUCAUCAUCAAGCAAGUCAUUGAUGAUAUCAAGGUGUGGGAACUCGUCCACCAAAACACCUUGGGUUUGACGUCCAGAUGUACCGGCUGGAAACUCAUUCGAGAAGUACUCCUGGGAUCCACUUGGGACACGCUUAUAUAGGUCAAGGUUCUGAAUGUCAUUGGCCAUGGAAGAAGGAUCAGAAUGCACGAUUCUACUGGCAUCCCUUUGAGAACUCUCUAUCCACUGGUGUCCACUCUGUAAAACAUCCCGAGUUACCAUGCUAAAAGGAAAGGCCGACUGGACCGAAUUUGGGUCAAUCCUUUCAGAGUUCUGGGGUAAAAAAAUAGGUGCAGAUACCAAGGCCUGCUGCUGUGAAUACGCUGGUGAUGGGCCCAAACUUGAAGAGUUGGGAUGAGUUAAGCCAGGUGAACUUGAACCAACAGGAUUUCCCAUUUUAACAUUUCUAUAGGACUGAGGAAUAUAACCAUGGGUAGCAGGUGCGAGGUCAGGACCUAACCGGCCAGCUGCACUAACUGAACGGGCAAGUAGCGGGGCUGUAUGCACCACAGAAACAACAGGAGCAGUUGGCCUAGGACCAGGGACAAGUGGAGCACUAGAGGGCCUCGACAUAUUAGGCACUUGCGGAUCCAUAAGUUUUUCAGUCGGUUUUGAAGCUGCAGCCUUCUGGAUCUCAGGUUUGCAAACACCUGCACCAGGGGAUGAAGUGCAGGAUUCAGCAACUUGAUCAGUCUGCUGUUGCCCAUUUGAAAGUGAUUUCACUUGCGGAACAGGAUCUGCAGUAGCAAUGCUCUUUGGCACUGAUUUCAAUUGCACAGGAGACUGCAGAUUUCUAGGAGGGCUUCUUGGGGAGGAUGGUACAGCUGCUGUCUUCUCUUUAGGUCUUUCUGUAUCAACCGGGUCUUUCAUGCUUGAUUUCUUUUGCGGUGAAGAAGCUUCUUCCUAUUAAACAAAAAAGAAACAAUGUAAAAAAUAAAAGCUCCACAUGAAUGUGUGGAAAUGACCAUUAAAUGAUAAAUUAAAAUCCUUAUAGAUUAAAAAUCCUUAGAGAUUAAAAAGAAAACAUUUCUUUUUUACACAAUACAGUCAUAACAAAAUUUGUAUAAAAUCCUCAAAUAAAUGGACAUGCUUCUAAAACAGUACCUUGAUUGACAUACAUAUUUGCAAUCGAAGUGUCUCAGAGAUCAUAGUUAAUCGUAUCUAUUUUUACCCCCAAAAAAGAGGAAUAAAUAGGACUCUGCAAAAUUACUUGCAUAUUUUCCUCUUAAAAAAAAUGAAAAUAUAACAAAACAAGAAACUAUUUUCCUAGGUAAUAUAACCCAAACAACUGCAUAGCCAGAACUACAUACAAUCAUAGAAAUCAGUCAAGUAAAUAAAGAAACUAAAAAGUGAAUAAAAACUUUCAUGCUUAUGAGAUGCUUUGAUUGCUACUAAAUACUUUAGAAUUCUCACCUACAAAAAUAUCUGAGAUUGGAGUUAAGAGCUGCAGUAACUCACCUUAGCGACAUUCUGUUCAGGCAAUUUUGCCUGAUGCUGCAAGGAAGAAACAGCCUCAGACUCGUAUUCACCAGACUUACUGCUUUCGGAGAUAUCAUUGUGUUCCCCUGCAUCAGCAGCAGGCCUAGAUGGCUGAUUCUCUGUUUCAGUUGCCCAAACAUUUCCAUCAUAUGUAGACUUCCCCCGCUGGUUCUUCCCCCUACAAAUUACACAAGCCAAAUCAAAUGAACAAAGAAUAUUCUCUUAUCGUGCCAAAAACAAAUAGAUAAAUGUAGGCGGUAUGUUUACCUGCUGGGCGACUUUUGAUUUUGGUAGUUGGCAAGGGAAUUCCCUUUAUAGGGCCCAUACAUUACCACUGAUGGGACUGAGUCGGUAGAACAUGUGGAGGAACUAUCAUCCAUUACAGAUGCGUUCCGUUUUUCAGUUACUCCAUUAGGUACAGAUGAUAGAUUACAAACUCCACUGCUGCUGGCUUCUGUGGGAGGAAUAACUUCAGAUGCAUCAGUAUCCCAAUUGACAGGGCUAGUAUCUCUGUCCUCUGAAUCAGGCUGAAGUACUUCUGCACCACCAUCCACUGAAUCAGAAACAUCAGAAACAUCUUCCAGCACAUCAGGCUUUUCAGGCAAUGGUUGGGCAUCCUCUACAAUGAAUUCUUUUUUCUCAUUACUAGGGUUUUCAUCUUCAAGCCUGUCUGAGAGAGCCAUGCUGGACCUUUCCUCCCUCUUUUUCUCUUUCCCUUUGCGAUUGUUCCGUUUUUGUUUAGCCUACAAUAUACAAGAAGAUAAAAUUCAGCAUUGCCCCCACCGAAAAAAAAAGGGCAAUCCAUGUGAAAUCGAGGAAAUUGUGAGAGAGUGAAAAAACUGACUAUUCUUCACUAGAGUGCAGAACUGCACAAAAAAUAGAAACACAUACACAAUGCAAGAACAAACAGAAUAGCCAAAAAGACACAGGAGUAAAUAAAUAUAAUUGAGAAGGCAAGUAGCUAGCUUUAAAAGAGAAAAAAAAAAUGAAGAAUAUCAGCAAAUCAUUUGUCGCAGAUCAGGUGAGAUGGCCGAAACAGAGAGAAUGAUUGAUGACAACCACCUUAUAAACACCUUCUUUUGCCCUAAACUCCCACGUAAUAAUUUGUAACAAACAAGUUGAAUUAGGAGGUAAAAAUUUCCAAUACCCCUAAAAAAUUUUAGGCUUUGCAAAAUAUCAAAACUGCUUUCUCAUGAUUUCACCACGUGGGCUGUCUAACUCUAGGCCCAAAAGACGUGCAUAUAUUAGGUUAUAUAGGUUUGAGUCUUAACGCAACUGGUGAUAGGAUGUCAUACCAGCUUUUUCUUUGCUUUCUUCUCCUUUUCAGCUGCUCCACGUUUAGCCUUCUGCUCACUUUCAGCCAGCCAUGCUGCCUCCUCUUCACGUAUUAGCUCUUCUUGUCUCUUCAGCGCAACAGCUUCCUGGUAAGCAACCUCAAUUUUAUUGCUGUAUGUAAAGAUGAAAAAAGUUAGGAGUAUGGAUAGUGAUAAGCAGUUACCGUGUCAUAAUUAAGCUACAGCCUCAAAAUGAUAACAAAUCACAUAUCUAUUAAACAUAGUACCUGAAUAUAUGGGCAAGGACAAAAAUCUCCACUGUUCUACGCCCCAGCUCUGUGAGUCUCCUUUCAUCACGCUCAAUUGAAUCCUUGUUAAAGUCCUCCCCAGAGUUACUCUCCUAAAAACAAAUAGGUAUGGAUGGGUUACUAAGCAUUAAAUGAUUUAAGAGAGAAAAACUUAACAUACUUCUGUGCAAACCAAGCAUGUGAGAGUGUGAGAGCGUGUGUGUGUGUGAGAGUGAGAGUGAGAGUGAGUGAGAGAGAGAAGGGGGGGGGGGGGGGCAAUUUAUAUCAAACUAUUGUAAUGUAACAAAUAAAGCUUGAAUUCAGCAUGUUAAAUGCAAUCUCAACCAUCCAAAAAAUAUAAUUCAAUAAUUCAAAAUAUAAAUAUGCCACAACAGUUGAUUCUAACUUACAGAAACACCAGAAAUUGACCCCCCAAAAAAAAAGUUAUUGAUAAAAAACUAAUGAAUUUCAAUAGAACAUAAUAGAGACAAUUACAAGAUGAGAAGAUGGUGAUUAUAAAAUAGAACAACAUAACAUCUAUUUCCAGGAAAUUCCAAAUCACUCUAAAAGGCAUACAUACUAAUGUUUUGAGGUGGGCAAUAUAAAUCCCUUUUUCUCCAUUCAGUUUACAAGAGGGCCGUGUCCUCUAUUUCUAUAGGAUGCACACAAUGUCAUUAUAGUGCUACGAGCCCAAAAUACCAAGUAUGAGAGCAGAGAUAAAAAGAGAUAGCAAGACUUAUAUCACCAAUUUCACAAGCCUCGCAUAAGGAGCAAGCCAUCAAUCUAUGCCUAAGGAUGCGGACCUAUUAGAAACUACUGCAUUAUAAAUAUGAAUCUAAAUUUCCACCACAAAAAAAGUUUUCUUAUUCAAAAAUUAUGUUAGCAAUGUCAGGCUUACCCAAAGCAUUUUGGGAUGAAUAGCCUUAAGCUUAAGCAUUAUGUAAGGAAUGUAAAUGAGAAUGGAACCAAGCCUGUAGUACCAUACUAAGAAAGUUGAAGGAAGAAAUUCCUUGGAAGGGUGUACAGAAGAGGACAUUAUGAUAACAAGAAUCUCACCAUUGUCGAUAGCAAGAGCCUCAUACUACUACCACAUUACCAACAUAAAUGCUGCCCUCAUCACCACAACCACCUAAAAACCUAUAUUAACAUAACCCAACCUAGAUGGCUACAACUUAAAGCACAAUGUCAUCCUAAACUUCAGCUUUGAAUGUAACAUUGCAUGAUCAGUGUCAUCGGUUCAUAUUUCUGAAGUUUCCAGCACAUUAACUAAUUGGAAAUUGCUAAGAAGUCAUUCAAACAAAAAGUGCACCGAUGUAACUAAGAAACCUUAUUAAGGCAGGCCAAACUUCACAGCUACUAUUAAAAUGGUUAAACUGAAUCAGACAACCCAAGCACAGUACUAGCUCAUACUAGCCAGACGAAGGCAUAACCCAAGUAUCACAAUAAAAGAAGUUCAACGUAUAAGAUCUCACCUUUGUACGAUUCUGAGGACCCUUCUCAUCUUUAGGUGGCAGAGGCUCUAAAGCAGCCCUCUCUAACAGUAGCAGAACAUCAUCCACCAAGACAAACAUAUCAUUCUCAACAUGAACAAUAGGAGGUGGUGUAUCUUCUGCAUCUAACAACUUUGCCUUUGUUUUCUUGGACUUAGACUGUCCUUCAAGAGCCUUCAAUCCACUAUACAAGGAAUCCAUUACCAAAGUAGAUGUGACUUCCUUCUCUAUAAAAAAGUGUUUCACAACUACUUUCAGAAUUGCAUCUGUUUUCUCUCUAGACAUACGGCGCCUGGCAUUCUGGUCAAUUCCCAACCAGAAUGCACAGAAGCUGAAAUCAUCACAAGUGAUAUGAUAUUAGUGCCAACAGAGCAGUAACCAGAUAUGCAAGAAUAUAUGCAGAUCAAGUCAGGUCAUAUAUACACAGUAUAAUGUCAUGCAUCUUCAGAAGAACCAUACAAAAAUUGAAAAAACAAUUUCAUUACCCUAUCUUCCAAAAGUGCUUUAUUAAGCAUUGUUAACAGAAUAGUCAGCAGUUUAAGUUGACAAAGGUAACAAUAUAAUACUUGCCUUGACCACCUAGCUUUAUCCUCUAUUAACCUUCCAAGUUUCCCUCGCCUUUCUUCUACAAAACGCCGACAUAUUUGCUCUACAUUAGUCAAAUAUACCCUAACAAGUUCUCUCCUGUACUGACAAUCAAGGCAACGAAAAGGGCGAUCUGUUUUCUCCCUACAAACCAAAAAGCAAAAUAUUAAAGUAUUUAUUGAAAUAGACUACAUUGUAAAUAACAUUCUUAAGAAGUAAUAGAGCAAAUCUUUUCACAAAAAAGAGCAAAACCAAAGAAUCACUACUCAUAAAAGCAACUUAUCAGAUAUCACUGAGGACUUGAUAGAUUAAGGAUAAGCUAAGCAGCGAAAAACAUUUUAUGGCCCAUUGGUACAGUCUAGUUGGACGAAACACCAACAGAGAAAAGAGAUUCCAUCAUUUAGUCAAUAUGUACCUGAUGACUUGAACUUGAGCUUUUAUAAUGAGAGUAUCACCAUCUUUAAACCCAUCAGAAACUUUUGAGAGCUCCAUAAACUUUUUCCAGCCCCAGUCAUGCUCUUUCUUCCAAAAUCGAUGUAAAGUAUCUGCAGGAUUUUACAUUUUGUCACUCAUAAAUCAAGAAGGCACUCAUUUUACAUCUACUGAAGUAAUUUUCAACCAACCAACCAGAAUAUUUGGAUUUCUUUGGAUCUCUAUUCACAACGGCUAUUGUAAACUGAGCAAAAUGACUCCAACCUGUUGAUGAACAGAGAAAGUUUUUAUUUAAAAGAAAACAAAUGUAAAGAUUCAAGAAAUAAUUCGAUACCAGUUUAUAAUAUCAGACCUGGAAGGAGUUUGUCAUGGUUGGCAACACAGAGGAACAAAGAUAGAUGAUUGCAAACAUCACAGCCUUGUGGAUAAAUCAGAAUAUACCUGUCACCACAGGAAAAAGGUUAAAUCAUAAAUGUGACAACCUUUAAACAUACAGGAUGGGGGGCAUAAUCUAAUAAUAUAACACUUAAAGAUAAUAAACUAAUGACUUUGCGCCGAGAAUGUAAAGUUCACAAAUGUAAAUGAAACAGCUGAAAAUUUACUGUUAAAAUUUUCAUCACUCCUAAUAAAUGAUUAAAUAUAAUUAAAUAUAUUUACAUACAACUGGACAUACACAUGAUAUCAUGAAAUCUCCCUCCAACAGCACCGAAAUAAGAAUAUCUGAACCAUCAAAACAUUGACUUUUAACAUAUCGAAAUUGAAAGAAGCUUCUGAAGUAUCUACUUUCAUACAAACGUGUGCGGCUAUCUUGUUGGUUUUAUGAGGGUGUGGGGGGGGAAAACCAAAAGUAAAAAAAUACAGCCAAAGGAAAUGGCCAAUAAUAUAAGCAGGAAUAGCAAUUGAGAAACAAAAUAAAUCAAAAGAAUGUAUAGAAAUCAAUCAUAUCUAAAACCUCGUACCAUUUGUAGCCACCAACUUCAAAUGCAUUACUACGAAGUUCUCGUUUGCUUAUCUGUGAAAAUUUCUCAAUCCUCCAUGUGUAUUUUCCAUAUAACUCGGAAGGUUUAGGCCCUAUAAAGAAGUUAUCUUAGCUUAAGAAGUGCACCGAACAGAAGGUUAUUAAAGAUAACAUAGGUUAAAAAAUCGACUAAAAUUUCUUCGUGCUGAGAUAAAGAAAUAAGUAAAACAACAAGACUAACACAGCAGAUAAUAAAUCAUAUGAGAUAAACUUAGUCUUACUUCUGCAGCAGACUAUGGAAUGGAAAGCAGGCACAUUUAGACUCAAUUAAGUAUUGCCUUCGUAUCAACUACUUAUAUCGAAAGAGAAUGUACAGAAUAAAUUUUGACAGGCACAAGGGCAAUUUAAACAAACACCUUCAGAGAAUAACAGUUUGAGCAUUUUGAAGCAUGUUGAUUUUUAGUCUGUAUCCUUAACAUUCAACUUUUUUAAAACGAGCACUGACGAGAUAAAGAAGCAAGAUAGUUAGAAAUCCACAGUGAUAAGUAGAGAAGCAAUACUCGGUAUUAUCUUUUAAGAGGCAAAACAACUAGACCGUCAAACAAGAAACACAAGAAUAUUUCAUCAUAGAAGGCUCUAAAAUCACACAAUACAAGACUUGAACAUUAAUUAUACAAUUUUUUACACAUUGUCAUACAUAGCAGGUAAUAGAUUAUUCACGGGAACAAUAUCAACUAGUCAAAACUGAAAUAGGCAACAGUAAACAGCAUGUUGGCAAAUCAUUUCAAGCUCCAUUUGCAGCAGACACUCACUUAUAACCAAUUAUAAUCAUGUAAAAUACAUAGAGUAAUUCAAAUUUAUGAGACUUCAAUAUCCAUCCACCCUUGAAGAGAACUAGACUGUACAAACAGUAUAUAUCAAUAAACCAUGAGUCCAAAUACAAACAGAAAGCUAUAUUGCUUAUCAAGUUAUUUUGUAUUUGUAGUCAUUGUUCUUUUCCUUGUACUUUACUUUUUCCUUCCAUAUAAGCUUGUAAGUAUCAGAAACAACAAAAAAUACCCAUUACCUAACAGUUCACAAGAACCAUGGAACACACACUCAUUAUCAAAGCACAAGAUAACUAAUAAUUGAAAGACAAUUCAGGGAAGCAAAACCAUACAGCCAUCAUCAUCAUCGUCAGUGUCCCAGUACGGGGGUGAAGUCGAUGGGGUUCCAUUUUCCACCUGCUCAGAAGAACGCCACUCCGCCAAUGCUUCCCCAGAUUGACAACGCUGCCCACUCGAAAUCCCCUCCACAGACCUUCCCAAUCCAGACUCCUCGCUCGCAAUUCCCGCCAUUUCCCAAUCCAGAACUCCCUACCCCACACUCGUUCAAUUCCACUUGCUAUGACGCACCAAACAAAAAGAAUCAAAGUUAGCAAUUAAACCUCACGUCACAUAACAAAAAACCUAACAUAUAUUAACAAUGUAUAAAACCAAAACCCCGAAUACGACAAAAGAACAUUAAUUAACAAUGUAUAAAACCAAAACCCCGAAUACGACAAAAGAACAUUAAUUAACAAUGUAUAAAACCAAAACAUGAAAUACGACAAAAAAGUCUCAAAAGCUAAAGAAUAGAAUCAAAAUGGCAAUAAUCCGUUAGGCCGUUGAAAAAAGUGGUGACAGGAAAGGAAAUUACAGUUAGCACAAUGAAUUCUUCAUCAAUUAGGACCUAUCUGAAUAAAAGCCUCCAAUGAAUUAAUUAUAAUAUGGCAGUUUUACCUGAAUGCUCUUAUUAUUGUAUAUUCAAUUCCUCCAAAACCAAAUUAUGACAAAACACACAAAUUUUUUUUAAAAUACCAUUAUCUUCAACUUCCACACCCAAUAUGUUUUCUAACAAUCAAAUUUAAUUCAACAUUUGUAAUCCAAAUACCAAAACCCCAUCUCCUCAUAAUCAAUCAGAAAAUUAUUUUUAACAUCAUGAGAUUAUAAAAUCAAACACCCAGCUCAACAACAAUCGUUCAGAUUAAAAAGAUAAAGAAACACGUAGCACAAACAAAAACUCAAACAAAGAAAAUUAUCUAGAUAAACCCAAUUGCAUAAAAGAAAAAAACCCAUAAAGACCAAAACGAUCAUCGGCGAAAAACUAAAGAUCGUAGAAAUAAAUCCCCAAAACCCCAAUUAACAUCAAACCCUAAAACAAAACAAGGAAGGAAUAGGGAUAGAUUAAAAUUAAGGGAAUCGAAAGUUGGCAACGACGUCGUACAGAUCGAACCUGAAACCGAAGACCAGAGGCUGUUCUGUUCCCAAAUUGGGUUAAGACAGGACAGCUCUUUGAGAUUUUAGAGAGAAGAGAGAGAUAGAAAGAAAGAGGGGUCCAAGGAGAGCAGCAAAGCAAUAGAGAGAGGCCAAAAAAGAAAAUUUGUUGUUUUCAUUUAUUUAUUUAUUGUGGUUUUAUUUUUUAAAUUUUUUUCCUAUUUUGCUUUUCUCAUUUUUUAUUAACGUGAUGAGGAUUGCCACAUAGGGUAGGAACAAGAGGGUAGCCUCUGGCCUUUUCCUUUAUAUAUAUAUAUAUUAAACUAAUUAAUAAAUAAUUUGAAAAAAUAAAAAUAUUGAAAAAUAAGUGAGGUAGGGAAAAAAUAAAUAGAAAAUAAAGAGGAAAGGGGGGGGGGGGGGGGGGGGGGGGGGGUCGGUGACAAAUGUUGGAGAGCACAGGGCAGAACAACCUGGUUGCGGUGGCUCGCUGCAUGAGUAGUUUUUUAGGUUAUGGGACGCCCUAAGCUUUGAACAUGUUAAUUGGUUUAACCAAGCCUGGGGUCUACUUACCCUUUUUUUUUUAAUUGUUUUCUGCAAAGUUAUUUAUUUAUUUUUAUUUUCGUUAGGGUUUUGGCAAGAUGGGCUGGGGAGUGGAGACAAUAGUCAAUGGGCUUUAAAAUGAUGGAUCAAAUUGGGCUUACCAGGGCGGUCAAGGAAAUCCAGUUUGAGACUGACCCAUUUGGAAAGGAUUUUGUGAAAUCCAAUACUGAUAAAAGUACCGAACGAACCCACUUUUAUGUGAGCGGGUAGCGACUAACGAGUGUCUUCUGCGCAGGGAUGGCAAAUUAAUCUAUUCAAAUUGGAUAUCCAUAUACCUAAUUUAAUUGGAUUAGAUAAUAUUUAUUUAAAUUUUUUUUAUAUAUGGAUAUGAAUAUUUUAAAAAAUAUCCAAUUAGAUAUUGGAUGGGUAUGGAUAUUUAAUGGAUAUCCAAAAUUUAAUUAAUUUAUCUAUUUAAAGUUAAAAAAAUUUAUAUUGUUAAACUAAAAUGAAAAAAAAAAACAAAAUCUAAUUUCCUCUUAUAUUAAUUAGUGAAGAAUUUAAAUUCCUCUUAUAUUAAAAACUAAAGUUUCUAAAAUUAUCCUUUAAUUUUUUAACUUAUUUAAUGUCAUUAAUAAUUAUUAUUUUAUUUUAUUAAUUUAAUAUUAUAAAUUGACAUCCACCAGAAAGUCGCCGGACCACCGCCGGAAGGUCGCCGGAUCACCAUUGGAAUAUCGUCGGACCACCGUCGGCUUCGUUGGAAAAUUGUCGGACCUCUGCCGGACUUCGCCGGACCCCGCCACCGGCCACCGGACCGCCAUUUUAUUAUAUAUAUAUAUAUAUAUUACUAAUAUAAAUAGGUUAAUAGCCAAAUUUGAUAUUGAAAUUUUAAUUAUUUUAUAUUAUUAUUUUUAUAUAAUAAAAAUAAAAUAUCCAUGGAUCUCCAUAUCUAUAUGGAUAAAAUCUAUAUCCAUGUCCAAUAUUAAAUAUUAUAUAUGAAUAUGGAUAUAUCCAUUAUGAAUAAUUAUAGAUUUGUAUUUGGAUGGAUAUUAUCAAUCCAUAAUUUGAUAUUUGCCAUCCCUACUUUUACGUGCACUACCUUCAAAUCUCAAUAUACAAGUUGUCAUGGGUUAUGGAAGAGAGAUGACUUAUUACGACUUUGAUUAUAUUCUCUCCCAUUAUAAACAGAUUUUUGGUAUGAGUUCUAUAAAAUUGUAGCUGACAAAAAUCGUUAGUUAAUGAUGAUGAGAUAUAAUACGAUUUUUUAUUAUAUUAUUUUAAUUUUGUUAAUGUCAUUAAUAGUGUUCACAUUUAAAGAAAUAGUAUAAUAUAUUAAUUGUACUUGUUCUGGUUGAGGAGUUGGGGUGGGUGAUUUCCAAACAAUUUUAUUUUGGAUCCAAUUAUGUCAGAACCUUUUUAAGGUAAAACGUAUCUUUAUAAUCACACGAUUAAAAUUAUAACGUAUUUUUUAUUAUUUAUUAUUUUACAUGUGUGGCUGUGAUUUAUACUAUACCUUGUAACAACUCUAAAGUAGCUAUUGCCUUGGCAUCCAAAAUUAAGUAUUGAGAAAAAAAGUCAAAGAAUUAAUUGAGAUUUUAUUUUAUUUUUCCUUCUUUUUAAAUUAAAAAAAAAAUCUUACACCCUUAGUUUUGGUAGAUGAUUUUCAAAUACUGUAAUUAGAUGACCAGUCAGAUUCAAAUGCUAAGGGUGUGUUUAGUAACGUUUUUCACUUAAUGUUUUUCGUUUUUCAAGAAUAAAAAUUAAGAAAAUUUGUUUGGUUGACAGUUUUACGUCAGUAAAUUAAAAACAAAGAAAACGGAAAGUUUCCGUUCUCCAACAUUUAUAAAGCAAAGUUGGAGAACGCCAAUUUGACGUUCUCCAACUUUAAAAGAACACUGGACAAAAACAGGUUGACAUAAAGGGAGGUGUGUCAAGAUUGGUCUUAUUUGGGGCCCACAUACAAAUUUCAUUUAAUUUUUUUCUUUCUUUACUAAAAUCUCAUCUCACUCUGUAAGCCUCCUAAAAAUGUUUCCAUGAAUAAAAUAAUUUACAUAAUAUAUGUCUGACUUUUAAUUAUUAAAUUAUAAAAAUAAUAUAGAGUGAUAAUUAUAAAUUUAUUUUAUUUGAUCAAAAGUAAAGACUAAAUUAAUGUAACUAAAAAUUAGUUUGGAAGCUAUGUGACAUAAUUUAUUUGUGUCAAGUAUAAUAUUUUUUUCCCUCUUUAAUGUUUUAACCGGUGGUUAUUGCUAUAUACAUGCAAAUAAUUAGUUAUAUGUGGAUGCAAAAAUAAUCUAUAUUGAUAUUUUUAUAGUAUUUUUUGGAUUGUAAAUUCGAAUUGCCCACAAAUAAACUACUUCAGAAAGAAAAAAAAAAGUUAUAGUUAGGUCCAUUUGUAGUUUAUUUUAUUAAAUUAAUAAUAGUAAUAAUAAUAAUAAUAAUAAUAAUAAUAAUAAUAAUAGACCAGUGAAAAAAUAUUAUUAUUGAAUAAGUACUAGUUGAAAAAUGUGUUUUAUAAAAUAUUAUACUAAAAUUUUUUUUAUUAUUUUUCUUAUUUUCCGACAAACAACCAAACACAUUUUUACUAUUUUUCAUUUUCAUAUACUAUUUAAAAAUAAACUACCAAAUGUAUUUUCAAUUUAAAAAAUCUAACAUCAAAAACAUCACUUUCUUUCUCUAAAACAAACAUAAAAAAUACCAAUUAAAAAAUAAUAACAAACGCACCUUAAGGCGGCGAAUAUAAAUCAAUUUGAAUUUAUCCACCAACCUACCUACUUUUUAAAUACAAAAAAUAAAUAAAAGGAACUUACCAAAUUCGAAAGGGCAAAUGUGUACUUUACCUUAAUUUUUCAAAAUUUCCAGAAGAGCCUCGUCUAUCCGCUAAGCAUCGCCUGUGUUGCCGCUUGCCAGCGUAAUCAGUGAAAUUCCGGCGGUGCGCUUCCAGAAGUUGCACGCUCCUGCGGAGUACCACCACGUCGCUAGCCAAACGCAUUCCACAUUCAUUCACGUAAAACUCGCAAGGUUUCCAAAAUUUUCAUUCUUUUUUUUUUCACAUCUCAUUUAUUUUCAAUGAUUUACCUCUUCUUUAAUUACGCUAAAGAGUCCUUACGAAGUACGUUUUCUUUUUAACAAACACCCGCAUUAGGCGGACGUGGAUAAAGAACAUAAAGAACAAUUUAAUUGUUAAUUUUAUUAAAGAUUCGCUUAGAUUUGUUUGGCAUCCGUAUAAAUGUAUACAUAGGUGUACAGAGAGAAGGAACAUCUAGGGUUUUAUUCUCUUUUAAGGGAGGCUUGGUUUCUUGGGAGGUAUGUUUUAUUUUAUUUUAUUUUUUCUAAAUUGAUUGUGCCAAAUUUGGCUAGGUUAUGUUGAUUGAGAGUUUUUGUUUCUUUUGAUGCAACCAUGAAUAGACUUCUAAUGUAAUAUUUGAAAGAAAUUACAAUUUACAAUUCAUAUGGGAAGACAUUGAACCCUUGAUUUUAAGUAUGAGGUUCGAAGAUGCUCACCACGCGACUAAGGAGUUGGGGCGGGAAUGGGUUGGGUUUAAUUGGGUUUGUGAAAAUUCAAACUAACCCACUAUUGAUUAGGUUUGCAAAAUCAACUCAAUCUAACUAAAUAAAUAUGUUCAACCUAAACCAAUCCAACCCUUAAAUCAUUAGAUUGGAUUUGAUUGAUCGAGUUGAUUAAAAUUAAUUUUUGGAAGGAUUGUUGGAUUAAAGAAGUUGCUCUCUGUGAUCUUUUCCCUCGAUUAUAGAGACUUUCUUGAGGUCACGAAUGCUCUAUAGCUAGUAUGUGUGAGUACUCUAUUAUGCAGUGGAGUUGGGAUUUUAAGUUCAUUAGAAACUUGAAUGAUAGAGAAUCUGAACAAUGUGCUAAGAUGCUCGGGAUUCUACAAGGAGUUUUUCUUAAUGAUCUAAAAGAGGAUAAGAGAGUUUGGAAUUUGGAUAAAUCAUGAUGUUUCUCUAUGAAAUCUUACCUUCUUAACCUCAUAGAUAACCCCAUUGCCCCCUCAUUUUCUCCUUCUUACCGGAUUUGGAAAGCUAAAGUCCCUACCAAGGUGAAGAUGAUGGUUGCUGAUAGAAAAAUCAACACAAAUGACAUGGUUCAAAGAACGAGACCUAACAUGGCUUUAUUUCUAGAAUGGUGUGUCGUUUGUAAAAAUGCUUCAGAGAAUGUUAAUCAUCUAUUUCUACACUGCAAUGCUGCUUACUUUUUGUGGUCUAACUUGUAUAAGACCUUUAAUCUAAGCUGGUCAGCCCCUGUAUCAUGCUACUCCCUCCUCUUAGAAAGUUUUUCUUGCUUAAAAGGGCAAAAAAAAGCAACGGUUCUAUGGGACUGUGUAGUCUUUCUUUUUAUUUUGCUUAAUUGGGAAGCUUUUAUAUCUUAACAGGGAUGCGCUCUUAGUAAGCUAGUGUUUUUGGGUUUUGCGAUAUUUUAUCUUUGCAGUUUCUAAGUGUUUUGUUUAUUUUGGGACUUCUUGUCCUUAUUUUGUGGAUCUUUAGUCCUCCUAAUCCUUGUACAUAUUUCUUAUAGUUUUAUUUAAUCUUUUGUUUCUUAGCAAAAAAAUAAUAAUAAUUUAAAAAAAUCAUAAAUAGAAAAAGAUUAAAAAAAGAACAUUCUUAUCUUAAAAUUGAUUCAAAUAGGAAAAAAAUGUUAAUUCUCCAUCAUAUAUUAAGUAUUGUUCAUUAUACCUCACAUUUAUUAAUAAACAAAGCAACAAAAUAAAGAUUGUAUAAGAAACUAUAUGACAUAAUGUUUUAUAAUCUAUUAACUUAUUUUUAAUGAAAAUUCGGGUUUGAUUGCUGAAUUUUGAAUGUAGAGGAUUCAAUCAAUGUUAGGUUAAACUAAGAGAAAUUGAAAAUAGUCUUUUUUUUAUAAAAGAAUGAAAAGAGCCACGUUUAUAGUUGAUAUUAAUUUUGCUAUAAUUUUUAUUAUUCUUGGGUUGGGGUUAGGGCAUCAACAUGAACCCAAUCCAACCCUCAUUAAUUAGGUUGGAAAAAGUGACCCAAUCAUCCAUCUAAAUUUAAUUGGGUUGGGUUCAAUUGGGUUCGUUGGAGUAUAUUGGGUUUGCCCACCCCUACUAAGGAGUGAUUUGUUAAUAAAUUUACUGUUAUUGUAUUAUUAUUAUUAUUAUAGCCUAACGGCAACCCAAUUCAGUCCCCUCUCCACCCCACCAAUGUGAGCGGUGUUUGAACCUUAAGACUUCUUGUUUCCACACAAAUGAUUUUACUUUUUACCAAUUGAAUUGGAUGGACCCACUCGUUGUUGUUGCCAGGUAGUUAAGUAAGAUCUAUUUGGUUGUUAGUAUUUUUGGAUUCAAAUUGUGUUCACGGCUAGUUUGAUUUCUUGUCUGAUUGGUUUUAGUCUUUUUAACUUUAGUUCUUAUUCAAAAAGAUGUGAUUUUGUCUAUUCUUGCAAAAUAGGCAUUAUCUAUUUUAAGAGUUGAGUACUUGUGUGUGUUUGUAUGUAUAUGUAAACCCACAAGUCAUUGCAUUUUAAGUUAGGACUAUUGCAGAUUCCACAACCUUAGUAUUCAAGAAACUUGUGGAUAUAAAUAUUCUAGAUAAGUAUCCCCAAGAUUGAGUUUGAAAAGUAUCCCUAAGAUGGGGUUUGAACUUUGAACCCUGACCAUAUAUUUGAUUUUAAUUUUGAUCUUUUGCAAUGAGUAAAAAAGGUAAUGUAAGAGAGGUUGUAGAACCUUUUCUAAUGGUGUUUUGUAUUUUUGGGUUGGGUAAGAUGCUCCUUUGUGUUGAAUUGCUAAAAUUCUUUAAUCUAGUUAUUGUCAUCUUAAGUUGUUUAAUCUUAUUUGGUUUUGGUUAUUAUGAAUUUUAUUUUUUUCUUUUAGUUAUUACUUUAAUCUUAAAGAGCGAUUCUACACUUUCUAAGUGUGUUUCUAACCUUUACAAUCCUAAGUGGGGUGGCAUCCAUCCAUUAGAUGAUGGGAUGGAAUAAUAAGUAAUUUCACAAGUUAUGAAAUUGAUCAAUCAAUAAUGAAUGCUACAUCAAUACUUAAGAUGAGAAUAUUGGGAUAUUACUUGGGAAGUCUUCUAUUAUUCUAUCUUGAAAUAAGUCUAAUUUUACCAACCCACUUUUCAUUGGGAAUUCUAGAUGCUAUCAUGACUUCAUCAUGUGUCUACAUUCUUUUUAUGAAUUUGAUUUAAAGAUUUGUUGGUAUCUUUGUUGUGUUGCGACAUGAAUUAAUCACCAUUGCUAAUUGGAAGGAAUAUGUUGAAUAGCAUGAAUGAAUUGAAUUUUGAAUAUUCUCUUUUUCUAUAUGAAUUCUUAGCCCUGUUUGGGAUUGAGGUUGAAACUCCAUACGUUGCUUAUUGAGUAAUUUUUGACAAAAAUAUUGUUUGGAAAAUUUUGUAAAAAUUAUUUAUUUUGUAAUUUUCUUCAUUUUGACAGUAACUUUUAAAAGUAAGUAGAAGGUCACUUCUUAAAAGUAGCUUAUUAAAUAAGUCACUACACAUUUUUAAAGUUUCUAUUAUUUUCUUAAUAUUUUAAUAGAAAGGCAAUUAUGUCUUAUUUUUCCAUAAACCCAAAUAUAUAAACCAUUAGAUAUGAUAUUAUUGCCACAAUCAAAUUACUACCAGGACUAAUAUACAUUCUCUCCAAUAUCAAAGUUUUGGUUUAGUAAGUUCAUAUUUUUUGUAUUUUACUUUUAUUUUUUAUUAUAAAAAUCAAUAAGAUUUGCAUAUGAUUACAUAAAUUUUCUGUAAACUUUGAAUAAUUUCAUGUGAAAGCUAACCAUGAUUUUAUGUAGUUUUUUGUCUUUUAAAAAGAAAAAAAAGCAUUUCUAAAUAAUUUAUUAAAUGCAUGUAUUUUGCUUUCAAACUCACAGCAAUUGCAAUGACACAAUUUUUCAAACAUCAAGCUGCUUGUUAAUUAGUAGCUUAUUUUAUCCACACUGCGAAAGCAAUUUAUUUGAUCAACCACCACAAUCCUAAAUUGAUCCUUAGUGGGUUUCCUGGUUUCUUCUCUUUUGCUUUCAAAAUAUCCCCAUUUCUUUCUAUAGUUCUUUAUUUCUAUUAAGCCUUUUGUUCUACGCCAUAGAGUGUUCAAAACUUCAGUUUUGUAUUCCUGUAUCUUUUUCAUAAAUUUACUGUUUGAUGGAUGUUUGUUUUACUUAUGGAUGUAGAUAAAGGUUAUGUUGAAUCUUGAUCUAUUAUUGGCCCUUUUAUGCAAUACAUGAUUUCAUGAUUUGUUUCAUUUGCUAUUGAUGUCCAUAUUGUGGUAUGCUUUUGCUAUUUCACACGAAGAUGUUAGAUGGAGGUUGACAUUGUGGUUUUGUGCUUGAGUCCCUCAUUCUAUUAAUCACAUGACAAUAUAUAACAAGUUUAGCGUGUGUUUCGAUCCAUGUAUAUGGUUGCUUUGGAUAAACAUGGCUAUCUUGUUAAAUAAAUUAAACCUUACACAUAAAAGGGUGUUAAGAGUUUAUAUACAGUCAUUCAAUCAGCCUUUACCUAUUAGUUUAAGAUUGAGCAUUCAAAGCUGUUGUUUAUUGAAUAGCAAAGUAUAGGUGGCAAUUAAGGAGAAUGAUAUAGUAAAAAUGAGUGUUUUAGUAGGGAAAUUGUGGUCGUAGAAGAAAGAUAAUGGAGUAGAAGAAACAAGCAGAAAUCAGCUCCUAAGCCUUGAUUAUGGUGUUUGAAAGGGACAAGCAAAUGACUUCUAAGGAUUGGUGGUUUAAAGAAUAUAAGAAACGAAAUGAAUUUAAUGGAAAUGUGCAGUCCUUACUUUUUUAGGGAUGUUGUGGCAAGAAAGAAAUAGUCUAUUUUUUAAUAAGACAAGGAAGAGGAUGAAAACUGGCUGUGGUGACAUAGUGUGAAAGCGAUAAUAGAUGUUGAGAAUUAAAUGAAUAUUAUUAAUGAAUUGGUGAAAUAAACUAGAAUAACAAGCCUAUUUAUACUAAUAGUAAUUGAUCAUAAACCUAAUAAACUUAUGAUUCCUUACAAGAGCAGGAAUAUGAUUUUAACAAGAAAAUGUAAAGCAAAUCGUAAUUAAGCAAGAAAAAUAAAUUAAACUGCAACUCUACUUGUCCCACAUCACAUGGGACAAAAUCAUUCUUGUGCUUCUCUAUGAGUCUCAGUCUCUAAGGAUUUUGAAGACAAUUUUCUCUUUUUCAUCAAUCUCAAUUGGGGACGGAUCUUCAGUUAAUAUUGUUUAAUGGACCUCAGGUUUUGUAAGUUUUGGGACUAGUAUACUGUUUGGGGUAUGAAUAUGCUGUUUUCGUUUUGUAUAGCCCACAGGAAGCUUAUAAGGCUGUUUUUAUUUCCCUUGUGGACCUCUGGUUAUCUGGUUUGCUUUUAUAUGACUUUUCCGUUCAUUUUAAUAAAAUAUUCUGUUUCUGUUUAAUAAAUUGAAUUUAAAAAAAAAAAAGGAACUCAAUGGAUUGAUAUAGGCCACCAAUUUUAGUUUGGAAUUAUUACCCAAAUCCCAGAUAACAAGCAAAGAGGCAAGGCAAAUACCUGUUAAAACAUGAACAUGUAAUUGUUUAUUGCCGAUAUCCAAAAUUUGAAAUUUCAGCUGAAUUUGUUGGUGCCCUUGUUACAGCUAUUUACUGCUUCAUGGAUUAUCAUGGGUAAGUCUCGCCUUCCAUUUAAAGUUGGCCAACUGACAGAGUCAAGAUCUUUUGUUCCAGGUUUUCGGAGUUCAUGGUUCCGAUGUAAGGUAUGUUAGGGUCAUGGCUAUGUAGAUUAAAUUUACUUUAAAUACUUUUGAUUCUGUGUUAUACUUUUAAUACGGCCAUGCUUAGUUUUUAAAACUAAGUUUCAUUCACAGUAUCAAUGAUUAAUUAUAACAAAAUAUGGAACAUAAAUCUAACUUCUGGUUGGAUCCUAUGAUUUUUAUACUGCCUUGGGGUUUCUCAUUACAUUCAUUUUGUAGCAGCAUAUAGUGAUCAUCCUAAUUAUAUAUUUUUUUUCUUUUCUUUUUUGUCUAUGAUUUGCUGCUUCUACUGUAGUAGAUCAACUUUGCUGAUGAAAUGGAAGAUUUCAGUGGCAUGUUGACAAAUAGUUUGGUUUGAUAUACUUUGAAGGACAUGAAAGGGUUAUUGUCUCAUACAGAUGUUUGUGGCACUCCAUAAAAGUUUAUGCCUCCAACUUGUUAGAAGUAUUUAGGUGUAGUUAAAACAUUGUGCCAUCAGCCAUCAUGUUUUAAGCCAAGGAAAGCCUAACUAAAAAACAUGCCCAAACCCUUUCAUCUGAUGCACGGAAGAAAUCACCUAUUUUCUUAUCAUGACAUGAACUCUUUCUUGUUGAUUUUGACUAGACAGUACAAAAAGAUCAAAACUUAAGUGGGAUAAGUUAUUACUAUGAAUUUUGUUUAUUAUCUGCCACUUUCACUAUUAAACAGUUACCGACAUUGGUCAUUUAGGGGAGAAUUAGCCUUCUAUUUCUAUGUGCUUAACAUACGUCUGUUCGUAAUUAAAUUUUUUGGUAAUUGACUCAGACGUUUCUCUAGACAAAAUUUAUGUCAGGACGAGUCCUUUAAUCAGCUGCUGUGCCAUUAAUGUCUGUCCAUGCAUGGUUUUAAACACAAUUGCUUUUACUGUUGUUUCUUUAGUGUCUCUUCAUGCUUUAUUGUAAAUACUAUAGGUCUUAAUGAGAAUCAUAUUUUUGUUGUUUGGUAUCCUUUGCUUUUAUCAGAUAAGGAACAUUUCUGUGCGGCAUAAAGAAGUAAUGCAUGCCUUGGAAUAUCUAGACUUUCCAGAUGAAAGUAAGUAGUAUCUCUUGUUUGUGUGCAUAUGCCUUUGCCAUGCAUUUUCAUUUAUGUGUAUGCUUGUCACAAAUUUAGCCUUGGGAGUGAAUAGUUCCUUCACUUGUGCUUUUUUGACUGAACUGUAGUUAUAACUUUUCUCAUAUGUUUGGCAUAUCUAAGCGUUGUUUCUAGACCUUUCAUGGCAGAGAUACUUCCAUUGGAUGAUAUAUUAUGGUUCUGCUAGUGAGUUGAUUUUUAUCUGCUUUUCAUUGUUAUUUGAUGUGUGGUCUUCUGUAGAAAUACGAUGGACAAAGUUAUAUCAGAAACCUGUUGGUGGUUCUAGAUCGAAGGAGAUGAAAAGACAAAUAAUGGUUCGCCCAUCCUUUCCUCCUAUAUUUUGUGAAAGUCAAAUGCCUGACGUCAACAACAUUACAGAAGUGGUUGUUAUUGUCAAUGAUGUAUGGAAGGUGGGGGAUUUGGUUGAUUGGUGGACUGAUAAUUGUUAUUGGACUGGAAGGCUAACAGAAAUACUUGGGGAUGGGAAGGCUCGGGUAAUAUUUUUGCACCUCAUUUAUGUUAUGUACUUAUUGAGACUUCUUAAUAUGGCUUGUUAUUUUAUUUCAUGCCUACUUUGAUAGGCUGUACGCACGUUUUUUAUGACAGUAUGCUGUUUACAAUACUGCUCUUGUUAUGCAAUAAUGGAGUCUUGUUUUCUUAUAAUUUUUUUCUUUUCUAACAAUUUUCUCCUAGUAUUAUAAUAUAAAUUAUUGCAUCAGAAUUCCACUUUCAUAUAGCAUAUAACAUCUGCAGUGGAGGAAGAAUUUUCAUAUUAUCAUGAAAAAAAAUUCUCUUCUUACCCUAGCGCUUCACAGCAUGGCUUAUUACUCUGUGUGAGAGAGUAUUCUUUCCGGAGCUUAUACUUUUCAAUUUCUGUUAGUUGCUCAACUGAGUUUCAGUAGUUGGGCUAACAUACCUUUACCCGGAGGGGGUGAGUUAUGAAGGGAGAGAGGGAGAAAUUCCUCCCACUUGGAACUCUGAAUCUUUUCCAGUUUACAUAGUUACUAAUCCCUAGUUCCUGCAUUUGGCACAGAGCUUUCGAGUCUUAAAAUUGGAAUAAUUGUGGCAAAUAUGCAGUAGGUAAUACAUAUUGUUUCAAGAAUCUGGAGCGGAAAAAAGUGCUUCUGCACCGAAUACAUGGAAAAAGAUGCAUAAGCAUGUGAAUAUUCUAAAACAAAUUCUCAUCUCAAUACCUUUCGGAAAAUCUUUUUUUUUUUUUUUCCCUUUCCUUUCUCGCUCUUUUGACGUUUUCAUGUGGGAAAAGUGUUUGUCCUUUUACAAAAGAAGUCAAGAGAACCAUAGUAAUGUCACCUUUGUAGUACACAAUGGAAAUAUUUUGAGGGAUAUGAUCCUUAUAUUUGUUGCAGCAGAUCAUUUAAAAUAGUAAUGUAAUUGUAGAAUUGGCAGGCAGUCUUUUGACCACUGCAUACUAGACAUCUUUUAAUUAAGGUUUAACACUAUUUUCAUGUAAAUUGUAUUGGUAAAAAUCAUAAGGCAGUGAACAAGAACAUUUUUAUGACUUUUGCAUUAUGUAUGCACUUUUUUAGGAGGGAACUGUAAUUGAAAAUAAAUCUCAGUAAUGUUGUGUGCAAAGGUUUUUUUAAUUUAAUUUUUUUCUCAUCGUUUUUCCUUUUUCUUGUUCUAACAGAAACAGUUUUAUUAAUUGAUAAAUUCUAAACCCUCAUCAUGUCUUUCUACAAGCCUUUGUAACUUUAAGGCUUGAAUUUCAAGAUUACGAAUGGGUUAAUUGCUUAAUUGGAGGAACUAUUUUUUAAUGAAAAAAUAUUUUUAGUCCACCUUUUGGUUUCUCCUGAAAAAGCUUUUUUACAAUUAUAUAUUCUAUUCUACAGAUUGAGCUCCUACCACCUCCGGUUGGUGAGGGGUUGUCUUAUGAAGUUUUCCUCAAGGACCUACGCCCAACCUUGGAAUGGUCUCUAGACAAUGGCUGGACCGUGCCCACUUCUGUAUUGUCUCUUUCUCCUAUGUCUACAUUUUUAUGCUUGUCUGUAUUCUUUUUCAUUUUAUUCCUUCAAAAUAUAUUGCUGCUUAUAACCUUAAACCUGUUAUGACUUGUUAAAUGCAUGACACUGGCAUCUUGUUACUUGAAAGGCAAUUUAUAUUGAUAAACAAUUUUAUGAAAGGAGAAGUAAAAGGCCCAAUGGCCUAUGGCCUUAGGCACCUUGUAUUCAAAUGUAGAUGAUAUCCUUCUGCCAUAUGCAGAUACCUUGUAUUCAAAUGUAGAUAAUGAUCCUUUUUCUAUGUGGCCUAGAUACCUUGUACUCAAAUGUUGAUACCAUGUAUUUGAUCUUGUAUUCAAAUGUUGAUACCAUGUAUUUGUUUUCCUUACUUGUUGGCAAUGGCUAUCUUUUGAAGGAGAAAGAAAGCAGUUAUUGUGCUCGGAUAAUCAAGCCACUGAAUCCUGUGAAUCAAGGUAGGAGUGCUGCCAGAUGCACCAUGUCUCUGCUCGUUGUUUAAGAGCAGAGCAUGGUAGUCUGGGUGCAUUUCCAUUUCUCUUCUUUUCAUUUUUCGUCCACCAAUUUCUGUUGCUCUUGUGCUGCUACCAUCUCAUAUUAGUGUUGGCCAAAAGAUGUAGACAACUAGACCUAAGAAUGUAUAAUUUUUUUUUCUUGCAUUCAUGUCUAUGUGACUUACAAUUUCUGAACUCCAAUAUCUAAGUUCCUAUAUGAGGACUAUAAAGCCUGGGAUUAAAUGCAGAAAUUGCUUUUCCUGAUCGCUAUUGUUGUUUCAAUAGAAACUUCCUGUAUGCAAAUUUGCUAUACACUGUGUACUGAUGUUGGUGUGCAGCGAUCCAUUCUCUCUUUAUGGAGGACAUUGUUUGAUUCACUCUGGUUUCAUAGAAUGUGGGAUCUGCAAUAACAAAUUAUUAGGAUUUAGGAAGUUGUUAUAAAUUGAUAAGGAUUUGAGACUAACCAACAACUUUGAGUGUAUGACAUAUGAUUGCAUAACAAUAAUUUAGUUAACAUAACAGCUUGAAUUCUGCUGGCGGGUGGAGAAGCCUACCUGGACUGGGCCUGUCUAUGAUUAUCAGAUUUCAUCUGCUUAUAUAAAUAGAGUCAGUCACAAGCAUACUUUCAUUUUUGGGCAUUGAGGAAACUCUCAUCCCUGCUAGAAAAUUUGGCUUGAUGCCCCUUGAAGUUGUUUGAUAACCAUUGAAGAGGUAUAAUUGUAAGUGGGAAUAAUGAUCAGGUGCGGGCAGUUGCACACCUUAUAGAGCGUGACUGUGCUCAGCUGAUCAGAACCCUGUUAGUAUAUACUGAUAGGGUAGUAUCAGCUUUCAAUGAGAAGUUCUAAUAUUAACCUAUCUUCUGGCUUACAAGAAGGAUCUAAUUUAAUUUUUAUUAUGCUUUGAAUUUUUAAAUUUGAUGGGAACUUCUGUUUCUGCAGAGGACUCUCAAAACUUGAUGGUCCCUCCAGUAGAAAUGACAGAGAAUGCUCAGCCAACAGCUGGACCAUCACCUGAAUGUAAUGCUUCAUUUUCUUCUCGUAUGUCGACUAGUUCACUACCAUCUCUGGACAAAUCAGAGCGACAUGCAAAGCGACCUUUGAGCCCUGCGGCUUCUAAGGAGAUGCAUGCACUGGAAACAAAAAUGGGCUUUGAUGCAGUGGAUUCAGGCAUUGGGAAAUCAAGUUAUUCAGAUAGUGUUUCAAGUUCACAAAUUAGAGAUGCAGCAACUGAAAUGCCUGAUACUGAUGCCGGAAACAAAAGUUGUGAGAAUAGUGGAUCCUCAAAGAAGAUGAGAUACGAUAGAAGCAUUCCUUUAAAUUCGUCAUUUUCUGAUACAAUAGAAGCAGCAAUCUUAGACUAUGAGGAACUUGUAAACCGGGUUAAAUGGAUAAAGGCUAUCUUACAGUCGGGGACUAUUCCAUCGAAUACCGUGCGACCAACGUGGAAAUUUUUGGAGCACCGAUCAUCAAAAAAGAAGGUUAGCUUGCUUAAAUGACUACCUUUAGACUUCAGUAUGAAUGUCCGCAUUAGUAAAAAAAAAAAAAAAACUUUAUGUGCUGUUCUCUCUUAAUCGAUUUUGGUCCUAUUGAUAUUCCAGGAUUAAGAUUGAAUCUCUAGCCGAGCUUGGGACCUUUCAACACCCGCUUAAAUCACUCUUUGGCAAACAGAUAGGAUGGGAAACUGAAGUUAAUUAGUAAGUUUUCCCUUCUGAUUUGCCUACCGGAACAAAGUUUUUCGGUUCUAUGCAUACCCCCUGACUAUUGGUGAUGGAAUGAAUUAUCAGCUUUUAGAAGACAUUAUUUUCACUUCAAGAAGAGUUAUCGGGAGCAGUUCUGGGUCUGUUUUCGCUUGGGCGUUCAGGUGUAAUAUCUGCUCGGUUGUACAACAACUAACCUUUGAAAGGAUUGAUAUAUACAUACAUACAUAUACACACACAAAUGUGUCAACCAUGUUGGAUUUUAUUCCAAGCUUAUUUUUUUGGACCUGCAUACAUACAUUUAUUAUUCACACACAAAUGUGUCAACCAUGUUGGAUUUUAUUUCAAGGUUAUAUUUUUGGAACUACAAGCUUAUACGGGCAUGUUUUGGUAUCAAUUUGGAAAUUUAGUCAAUUCAGGGUAGAUUGUUGGCAAAUUCAAUCAAAUAUUCAAAUCCAUAAACACAAAAUAAUAAUAAUAAUAAUAAUAAUAAUGAUAAUGUUGUCAAAAGAAAUAUGUUCUUAAUGGGAUUAGUUGAUAAAAUUGUCUUAUUACUUGAAGUAACACCAAGCCCUCGAGGGGUCUGCUAAGAUGUUCUUAAUGGGAUCAGUUGAUAAAAUUUUGUCGUCAUAUCUCUUAUGUGGUUAAAAAAAUCACUUUAAGAUAUGGAUUAAAUUAAAUUAAAAUAAAAAUGAGGGUGCUUGAGAGGCGAGGAUAACCAGUAACCGCGAGACACCUGUCAGGUGCCGGCAGCUCACCCCCUCAACAACCUCUCGGGGGCAAAUGUCGUCAACUUUGGAAAUCACACGCGCCGGGCGUCGACGUUUCUUUUUUAAACCGCACGGGGGAAACACCGGACAAAGACCCCACAAAUUACCCGCUAAGGGAAGGGUUUAGGGUUUAAUAAAGGCACGUGCAAUUUCCAAACCCCACACCCCCCAGCAUGCUUCGCUUUCUUCCUCACUCUCCUAAUAAAAAAUGUACAAACAUAUAAAUCUAUCGAUGUGGGAUUCUUCUACCGUUUCUCUGCACCGAGCCCCAAUUCGCUUAGCGAAACACAAAUUUAAUAGUUAUUCUUCAUGGAUGACGUUAGUUUGUUGGAGGACAUAAAAGUAAUUUUCUUUUAAAUUUGUUAUUAUUAUUAUUAUUUUUUUUUUUUUUUUUUUUUGUGGCCUAGAAAAUUUCUCUAUGGUCCAAAAGUUUAGAUGCUGUCACGGAUACGCAACGAAAUAUUGUCGGAGUAGAGCGACAAAACAUCUUUUAUCAUAUGUGGGGCUCUUCAAUGGUUGCAAAAUAAAAGACGUGUGUGUUUUUUUGGCCUUUUGGAUUGUGUUAGUACUCUAGCGGUGUUUGGGCAACCUCGUGAUUCCCUUAGCGAUUUGCUAUCGGGCCGCCAAAAUUUGUUUGUCUUUUCGUAUGUUCUGAUGCUGCCUUUGUAAUGAUUAACGUAUUUGAUUUUGGAAACCUCUCUCACUGUUAAAGUGAUUGAAACCCUUUAAAAUGAUAUGACAUAUUUCGGUAUUUGUUUUGAAAACCUCUUCUCCCUGUUAAGUAAUUAAUUCAUUGAACAAUUAUCUUUGGCUUCGCCUCUGUGAGGACAUAGUGAAUAUACAAUCCCAACUUCACUUGAAGGAAGUCCAAAGAGAGCAAGUUGUUGAUUCAUUCACUUACUCAGAAUCCCUUGGAUCUAUUAUUGCAUGUCACACCCCACCUGUUUGCAAUUGAACAACUCUUUGAAAAGCCAUGAUAUUUUAGACCACGUGAAGAAAAAAAAAAUUUGAUAGAACGUUAAUACAAACAAUGUAUGAUUAGGCGGCUGGAUUUAAUAUGUUAAUUGAAAAAUAUUAAAAAGACAAAGAAAAUUGAGGGUGCGUCUGGAUUAAGUUUAGAUAGCUGUAACUUUUAAAGUGUAACACUAAAAUACUUGGUAAACACUAGUUGUUGUAGCUUGGAAUAUAUAUUGAUAUGAUUUUUCACUUGUAUAAUAAAAAAUCUAUUAUAUCUUUAAUAAUUUUAUGAAAAUUAUUAUUUUAAAUUUACAUUUACAAUAUAUUACUAACUUUUAUUUUAUAAUUAAAUUUUUUUUUCCACAAUAACUGUAACUUAAAAUAUACAACAUCUCAAUUUCAUACGCAUCCUAAGUCUGGUGUUAUUAACUUGUUUCUGUCGGCACUCUAUCAACCUUUAAUUUCUUUAGUAUUUUGACUCUCUUUAAAAGCAAAGCACAUAUGUACUUUAUGGACCAACUCUAAGCUAAGGAUGAGAGCAAACAAAGCCAUGGAGAAACAACAAAACUCUCUCCCACUUCACGUUAGCCAUGUUAAAAAAUCCUCCUUAAUAAUCAAUAGGUCAUUGGUACUGCUUCAUUUUACAUCCUUAGCUUUCUUGGUGUACUACAGAGUCUCUUAUUUCUUCCAAGUAUCCAACGCCAGAGCCGCGCCGCUGUUGCCAUGGCUUCUAGUCUUUGCUGCCGAGCUUCUCCUCUCCUUUCAGUGGCUCCUAGGCAUAGCUUAUCGCUGGCGUCCCAUUUCUCGUACCGUUUUCCCCGAAAGGUUACCGGAAGCCGAGCAACUUCCGGGUAUAGAUGUGUUUAUUUGCACUGCGGAUCCGACUAAAGAGCCAACUGUGGAGGUAAUGAAUACGGUUUUGUCAGCUAUGGCGCUUGAUUAUCCGCCAGAGAAGCUGCAUGUUUACCUUUCAGACGAUGGAGGUGCUUCUAUAACUUUGCUUGGUAUGAGGGAAGCUUGGAAGUUUGCAAGAUGGUGGCUUCCGUUUUGUAAGAGGUUUGGGAUCAAAACAAUAUGCCCUGAAGCUUAUUUUUCUGAUCCAGAGAAUGGUGAUGGUGACUCUGGAAAUGCUGAGUUCAUUGUUGAGAGGGAAAAGAUUAAGGUUCGUUUGUUAUUAUUACUGUUAUUAUCAUACUAAAAUCUUAGUCCUGAAAAUCUGAAGUAGAAAGAGAUUUAAGAAAUAUGUUGAAACCUUCUAACUUAUUUAGGUUGAAAAAGAAUAAUUUUAAUGCCAUUUUUCUAAGAUGCUUUUUAAAUCGUUUGUUUUUGUUUUUUGAGUGCAUAGACAUUCUAUUGAGAUAGAUUUGUUGAUUGCAAAUGCUUUUGGUGCAGGAAAAAUACACUGAGUUCAAGGAACGGGUAACGAGAGCCAUUGAAAAAUGGGGGCUAGAGAACGAAGGCAUUUCCAGAAGUCGAGAUCAUCCUUCUGUGGUUGAGGUAUAAUAAUAUGAUGAAAAUAUCCAUUCCCAUACGCUUGAUCAAUAAUGCUAUAAUUUGAAUUUGACUUUUUCUUUUUUUUUUUGGGUUAAAGUAUCAUUGUGAUUUUGACUCCUCUUUUUUUUUUUUUGAAAAGAAAGUAUGCCUUUCUAUUUAAUGUUUGGUCCUUAUCGAUUCACUUUUUUUAUGACUCUUUUGGCAUCACAGCAUUGAAUCCUACUUUCACAGACAAAGACCCUCAUAAAAAAUAACAAAGAGAGAUAAGGAUUAAACUAAAACUUUACUCAUUUAAUGUUUGGUCCUUAUCGAUUCACUUUUUUUAUGACAUAUGACUUCUCUUGAGUUUGUUAUUGUUAUAUUAUGGUCCCUAUCGGAUCAAAAUUUUAGUUGCAGCCAAAAAUUGAGAAUCCGGAGGGACCAAAAGUCAUAAGAGUAAACUUUUAAGAGUGUAAACUUUUAAGAGUCGCAAUUAAAAAGAAAAAAAAAAAAGAGUAAACAUAUUAAAAUAAGGGUAAAAUAUCAAGUUGACAAAAUCAUAGGGCCAAUUCUUAAAAGAGUUAUUAACAACUUAAUAUGUGUUUUUUUUUUUUUUUUUGGGUGUUUUCGCUAUUGAGUAUACUUAACGACACGACUGGUGAUUUCAUUUUUCUGCAGAAUCUGGCUAUUAAAUUAUAUAUAAUCGGUUCACAUAUACGCAUAUUUUUCAGGUGAUAGGAGAAAACGAUAAUGAAGCAGCGAAUGAGGAACAACAAAUGAAUAAUAAGAUGCCUCUCCUUGUCUAUGUUGCUCGCGAGAAAAGGCCUUCUCAUCCACACAAUUUCAAGGCUGGAGCCUUAAACGUUCUUGUAUGAUCUUCUCUAAUCAUUCACACUCACACACACAUGGUGCAUAAUUUAAUUGCAUGCAUAUGCUUAAUAGAAGCUGUUGUUGAUGUUGUAGCUUCGGGUUUCCGGUGUAAUGAGCAACUCUCCCUAUAUAUUGAUGCUAGACUGUGACAUGUAUUGCAAUGACCCAACUUCGGCUAGGCAAGCCAUGUGUUUCCACAUUGAUCCCAAAAUCUCUUCCUCGUUAGCAUUCGUUCAGUUUCCUCAGAAAUUUCAUAACAUCAGUCAGGAUGAUAUUUAUGACAGCCAGCUCCGAUACAUAUUCUGGGUAUGACCAUAUUGAACCCUUCCGCUGCGGGCGUCCGUACCCAAAGGAUAAUUAUUUGCCGUUCAUUAGACUGCUUAAUUACAUUUUUGUCAUGACUCAUUUGAUUGCUAAUUUGAAUUAUUUUUUUUUUUGGUAAUUUACCAUUUUAGUCAUUAUGGUACGGUAUGGAUGGGCUAAAGGGACCGAUCGUGUCUGGUACAAACUUUUACAUGAAGAGGGAGGCACUUUACAGCGUUUCUAUGCAAGAAGGUAAAUUUGCUAGCAACUAAUUGAUGUGCAUAUAUCAAUUAAUAAUGUAACAUGAUUGUUAAAAAAAAAAUCAAAAUCUCUAUUUCACUUAACUUUUAUUAUUGCAACAUUUAAAGUUUGUAGUUCUUGUUUAUUAUAAUAAACAGGCAUUGACCUCACAGAGCUGAAGAAUUCUUUUGGUCCAUCCAAUGAGUUCCUCAAAUCUCUUCGUCGAAACUCCAAGCCAAGCAGAUAUGAUAAUGAUUCAUCAAGCACUUUGCUACAAGAGAGCAAAUUUUUGGCCUCAUGUGCCUACGAAAGUAACUCAAAAUGGGGUGAAAAGGCAUGUGUAUAUCGUACAUAAUCAAUACCUAAAGGAACUAAUUAAAUUAUUGUGAUGACACAUUGUGUUUAUUUACUAACCAAAGCUAUCUAGCUUUUAACAUGCAGGUUGGUUUUAUGUAUCAUUCUCUUGUUGAAGAUUACUUCACAGGAUUUAAACAACUACACUGCAAAGGAUGGAGAUCGGUGUAUCUUAACCCGGAAAGGCCGCAAUUUUUGGGCACUUCUACAACAAACUUAAAUGACUCGUUGGUUCAAGGCACGAGAUGGAGUUCGGGAUUGGUUCAAGUAGCAAUCUCAAAGUAUUGCCCUCUGAUAUAUGGACCACCGAGGAUGUCUUUGCUUGAAAGCAUGGCCUAUGCUGACCUUGGAAUGUUCCCUCUUCUUAAUUGCUUGCCUCUGUGGUGCUUUGCCACCGUCCCUCAACUCUGCCUAUUCCAUGGCAUCCCAUUGUACCCUGAGGUAAUUCAUAUGUUAUUUGAAUACAUAACAUUGGUACCUCUAAUGUAUUUACAUAAGGUUUUCUACUCUUUUCGAUACAUUCUUUUCUUUUCGUCUUUGCUAUUAAUUACUGUCAAUCUAUUGCGCUUUCACAUGCAGGUUUCAAGUUCAUCUUUCCCCAUAUUCGUAUUCGUUUUCCUGUCGGCGCUUUCUAAACAUCUAUACGAGGUUCUUUCAACUGGUGGAUCAAUCAAGAUAUGGAGAAAUGAACAGAGAAUAUGGAUGAUAAGGGCAGUCACAUGCCAACUUUAUGGAAGCUUAAAUGCCAUUAUGCUCAAGCUUGGCUUAGCUGAAGCCAGUUUCUCGGCCACAAAUAAAGUCGCGGAUGAUGAACAAGUGAAGCUCUACGGAAUGGGAAAGUUCGAUUUCCGAACAUCAAAAAUGUUUCUUGCUCCUCUGGUCACAAUCAUCUUGUUGAACAUUGCAGCCUUUGUUUGCGGAGCUAUCAGAUCAACGAUCAUCACAGGAGAUUGGGACAAGAUGUUUGUGCAAAUUUCUAUGUCGUUUUAUAUCUUGGUUAUGAAUUAUGCUAUCAUUGAAGGGAUGAUUGUGAGGAAGGACAAUGGCCGCAUUCCGCCAUCUGUCACUCUAUCGUCCGCUUUGCUUUCUGGGAUUUUCUUGCCUUUGGUAUCAAUAAUUCUCAGGCACUAAGUGACAUUAAUUUGUAGUGUGUGGUCUAUUUUCUUAAAUAAUUUCUCUAUCAAAUGUUCAGUUGAUUUAAGAUCUCGACUUCUCGAUAUUGAUUAUGAUUUGCUUUCAGGGUCUGUUAUUGUUUCGUUAAGUCUCUUGACCAACAUAAAAUCAUUUCCCUAUCAAAUGCAUCAAGUCAUUCAUCCGUUUUGUGAGUACCAAUUAGUUGAGGUGAUAAAAUCUUGUGUUAAAAAUUAGACGUUUAGGGUUUGAACCCGCUCCGCUCACAUUAAUUGGACGACAAAGUAAAUGGUCAAUUUUGGUUUUGCACCAACACGUAAAUCUGCACAACUAUCCGAAAAAGCAAGAAAAUUAGAUUCAUUGGUUGAUGUGCUUCUUCUCAGAGUUUCCGCGAAGUUGAUAAAUAUGCAAUGAAUUGACCCUUGGUUAUUUGGCUCUAAUAUAAAUAUUACAUGGACUUAUUGAACGAAACGUAUUGUUAUUGUCUACAAGUAUGUUGUGUCAUUACAAAUCAAUAAGCUAAUGACACUUGGAAACCUUUAUCUCAGGUAAUUAUUAUUGUCCAUCCAAAAUUUGCGUGGCAGUGUUCUCAGCCGUUGGCCGAAAAAGCUUGGAAAAUCAGAAUAACUAGCUUAAUUAUAGCAAUGAAAUUCUUUCAUUAAUCUUUCUUGUCGCGUCAAGUCACUCUCUGGAAAGGCACCUCCGCCCGCUUUGAAUGGGAUGGGAGAUUGAUAUUUUCUCUCUACAGUUUGAAAUGUUUUCCAUUUAAUAUCUCUUUCAAAUUUUACAAUAUUUCAAUCACUCUUGUGAUGUCGAAAUCAAAAAAAAAAAAAAUUGAUGAGUUUUUCAACGAAAGCUUUUGUAUUUGGGGUUGGGAACUACAGAGUACGAACACUCUCACGAGUCAAGAGGGUGAUUGGUCAUGCGUGGGGCAUGCAAAGUUAUUAUUGUGGCGAAGACUUUGGGAUAUUAUUGAGUACGGUUUGUUGAAUACGUGUUCAUUAGUUAAUUAGUUUAAAAUUAAGUUGAGUAGUGAUUAUUUUAUUUUGAAUAAUCUUUGAUUAUUUUGUUGCCAUUAAGUAGUGGUUAAUGUUCUAUUUUUUAAGGAUAUUUUUUAGGAAUUAGGAAUAGUUGUUAAUUUUUUUUGUAUUUAAAUUUUUUGACAAUCAUUAAUUAUGGAAGUUGAAUUCAAUUAAAAUUAUUGUAGUUUUUUCUUACCCUAAGAGAAUAUUAUCGUUACUAUAUAAUUUACGACUUUGACUGGGACCUAUCGGAGGGUAAGUGUUAAACUUUAAAAACUGUCGAGAGAAAGGGUCGCGUCAUUCUCCCACCUAUAAUUAUAUAUGUUAGUCUUGUCCAUGGAUGUAAAAUGAAUGCAGGCGGAGACGUAACUAGAACAUCGGAGGUCAAAAGUAAAAUAAUCACAAUGUCAAUUUUUAUGCCUUCUUAGGCUCAGGUUUUGGAUUCCAACUUCGACAAGUUGCGUGAGUGAGUGAGUUAAUAAUAAUAAUUGGCCGAAAAAAAAAAAAAACUUAUCCAUCAUGCCUUCUUGGCAUGAUAGAUAAGCACUGUCUCAUUAUAUUUGUCUGAUUUUGUUGGAAGUUGCGAAGAAAUAUUAAUCAUUGUCAAUUGAAAGUUCUUUUUUUAUUUUUUAUUUGUCUAAUUUUGUUGGUAUAUAUAGUGAUUUUGAACAAAAGAAAAUUUUAAAUUUUUUAUUCAAGUUUAUUUUAUUUGAGGUGUUCUUGAAACAAGGAUGCCAAUGUCUAUUGGUACUGUGCUCGAAUGCCUGCAUGUAUAUUUUGUUAAUUUGGCAGGAAGAGAUUGAUUUAGGUGUGUGCGAUGUCGAUCCUUUGAGCUUGGUUACUAAUAUUACUCCAUAAUUUAUAAUCAAUUAUUGAAUUAAUUUGAUCAUUAAGGGUAUAUAAGUUAUUUCACCUGAUUUGUGUUUUCAAAAAAUUUAAAUCUUAUGACUAACAUCAAAAUUAAGGUUAAAAUAGUAAAAUUAUAAAUAAAGUUAACACCGUUAUAAUUAUAGGGGGUUUGGACCUAUUCUAAAAUCUAAGGAGGAUUUCGCUUAAUUUCUCCAAACAACAUAAAGAUAAUCCCUAUUUUCCUUAGUGAAGAGGCAAAUGAUUUGUAUAAUACAAUGUGCAUUUGUCCUUUGUAUCAAAGAAAAUAUGAAACAUAAAACUAAACAUUUUUCUUGAACACAUAGAACGUGGACAUCGACUCUGACACUUUUGUUUGACGCACUAGAGUUUUUCUUAUAUUUUGACUAUUAGGAUUUGGCUAUGAUUCUUGUCCAUUAAUGCUGUAGAUAAGGAGAUAAAAAUCUUUUAAGAAAAAUCAAUGAAUUGUGUUGUGGGAAAGACUUCAGAUUUUGGUAUAUCCAACCUUAUAGUAACUCCUCAUUGCAACCACAUGUCACACAACUCAGUAUUUAUUUUAUUAUUUUAUAGGGUGAGACUAUUUGAAUCCAUAUUUAUACUCGUUAUACCUAUUUGAUAAUAAAAUUUUAUAUCACAAAAAUAUCCUCAUAUAUAAUUACGAACCAAUCCUCUUUUAAUUUCUUAUCUCUCUUGCAUCCGGCUUUGUGUAUAUUUUCUCAUUAAAUUGAUUUUCGUUAAGGUAGAAAAAUGCUAUUCCAUGAAAUUAUACAAUUUAUUAAUAGCUAAUUCAAUUAUAGAUGCUAUCGAAAUUAAAAAUAAUCUCUUGGUUACCAUAAGAAAAUUGAUUUUUUUUCCAGAAAACAAUUAUAAACUACCACUCCACUCCUUUCCGGUCCAAAAUAUUUGCGGGUGAACCAAUAUUUUUCCAAGGCACUAGUUUCAUAUUUUUAAAAUGUUUGCAAUUGGUCAACUCAUUAACUUUCCUGUUGGGGUAAAAAAAAAAGUAUCAAAAUAGUUACCAUUAUAACUUCUAUCCAUUCUUGUAUUUGGGAAGAUAUUUGAUAUAUUUAUUAUUUUUUGGGUUAGAUUGGGGAGAGAAAAUUUUCCCCCCACUCCAAAAGUAUUAGAAUUUUCGGCAAAAUUCUUGCUGGUUGCUGCAAUUUCAGAUUUCGUUUAUAUUCGUGUGGAAGCAUUUUUUGGAAGCAAAUGCAUGAGAGAAGCAGAUGAACGAAGAAGGGUUAGUUUUGGAAUAUGUAAGGGUUUGUUCAGUAAAAAUGGAUGUUUUCAAUUGUAGUGAUGGGUGUAUAAAGAAGAAGAGUUUAAAGAAUAAAAAAUUGGGUUCAAAUAGUCUUACACCAUUUUAUAAGUAAGUUAUUACACUCUAAUUCUCAAUUCCAAAAUUUUGACAGUAAUGACAUUUUGUUUCUUUUCAAAUCGCGGCAUUUCUGUUUUCUUCUAAUAACGGGCUUGGUAUAAAAAGAAAUCGGGCUGAUCUCGCCUUGCAAUGGGCUGAGCCCACAAAAUACAAGGCCCAUGAUUGUUGAGAGAGGAUUAAUGAAUCACAGCCACGCGCCCCGCGUGGGGAUUUUAAAAUUGAAACGAACCGAAAGGGAUCCCUCUACCGCCUGUCCAAAAUUCAAAAAUUUCAAUGUGUGUAUUCCGAUCUCCAUCUCAAUCACACAUUUGAUUGGAGAAAGAACAACAUUCAUGGAGCCACCGGCUAUGAAGCUGAUCAUGGUCCGGGGCCCACGCUCGGGCGAAACCAUAGAAUUCAAACCCGGAUCCAAAAUCCGAAUCGGCCGAAUCGUGCGCGGCAAUGAUGUCACCAUCAAGGACGAAGGCAUCUCGUCUAAGCACCUCAUUAUCGAAUCCGUGUCCGGUAAAUGGACCAUCCGAGACCUGGAUUCCUGCAACGGCACCUUUCUCAACUCUACGACGCUUCCACCCAACACCCCCUUCGAUCUCCGCGAAAACGACACCAUCAAACUCGGAGAUUGCACCACCAUCUCGGUCCAGAUGAUCACGAUGGACAGCCAGGAUGAGUCGGUCGCGAAGCCGAAGAGGAAUCCGAGGCGUCAAGCGAAUGUGCCCGGGACUUCCAGUGUGAGAGCGACUAGGGGUCGUAAGAAGGCGGAGGCGGAACCCGUCGAGACUUUGGGAUUAGAAGGUGGACAGAUUGAAGAUCAGAGUAAAAUUGCCAUAAAGGGUAGGGGGAGGAACAAGAAUUUACAAGAAAUGCCACCGGAGAGUGUCGAAGUUCAAAUUGAAAGCAAGGGGAAUUUGGAACUAGAAGAGGGUGGAGAGAUUGAGAGUGAGAGUAAAAUUACCAAAAAGGGUAGGGAAAGGAGCAAAGAUUUACAGGAAAUGCCACUGGAUGGCGGCAAAGUUAAAAUUGAGAGUGAAGAUAAUUUGGAACCUCUUGAAGUACUUGGAGUUCAAGUUGAUUGUAAAGAAAAUUUUAGACCAGGUAAGGAAACAUCGAAGAAGUGUCAAGUUCAAGUUGAUGGUAAGGAAAAGACGAAUAUGACCCUGACUGCUAGUGUGAGAGUCACUCGGAGCCGGAUGAACGCAUUGAAUUUGGGAUUUGAUUGUGGAGAGAUGGCAGCGACUGAGAGUAAAAUUACUCGAAAAGGUAGAGGAAGGAAGAAGAAAUUACAGGAAAUGCCACCGCAGAGUAGUAGUGAAGUUGAAACUGAAGGGAAGGAACGUCUGGUUCCAGAAGAAGUGUCAAAGACUUGUGAAGUUCAAGCUGAUGGUAACGAAAACUUGAAAUCAGAGGAAGUGGCCAAAGAGGGAGAUGCUAAAGAAACUUGUGAUAAGGUUGAGGAUAAAGUGGACAAUGGGGUUCAAGAGCAGAAGGUGGAUUUGGCGAAGAUGACACUGGGGGAGUGGUUUGAUUAUAUGGAGGUUUAUUUGCGGAAGCAGAUCCUUAAUACGACAGAGGAGAUGAUAGAGGAGAUGAAAAGUAAAGCUGAGAGAGUUCACAAGUACAUGAUCGAGGAGAAGAAGAAGAAGAAGAUGGAUAACCUUUGAGAGAUAUGCACAUUAUUAUUCAUUUUUGGUAGUUUUAGAAAUAUGUAUUUGUGUUUCCUCUGAUUUUAUUGUUAAUGCAAAUGUUAAUGUUGUUGUUGCACAGUGUAUCUUUAUGUCGCACACGUUUAUCACUUCGGACUUCCUAGAUGUUAUGCAAUAAGUAGUUCCCUUGUGUAAGUACUAUUACUGUUUGAAGUAUCAGUAGAGGAGGGAAACUUUCACUUGCCUAUGAGAUUAGUUAUUGUUGUAAGCAACUUACCAUGCUUGAGUACUUAAACUUUCUCAUAUGUUUGGCAAAUCUAAGCAUUGUUUCUAGACCUUUCAUGGCAGAGAUACUUCCAUUGGAUGAUUAUUAUGGUUCUGCUAGUGAGUUGAUUUUUAUCUGCUUUUCAUUGUUAUUUGAUGUGUGGUCUUCUGUAGAAAUACGAUGGACAAAGUUAUAUCAGAAACCUGUUGGUGGUUCUAGAUCGAAGGAGAUGAAAAGACAAAUAAUGGUUCGCCCAUCCUUUCCUCCUAUAUUUUGUGAAAGUCAAAUGCCUGACGUCAACAACAUUACAGAAGUGGUUGUUAUUGUCAAUGAUGUAUGGAAGGUGGGGGAUUUGGUUGAUUGGUGGACUGAUAAUUGUUAUUGGACUGGAAGGCUAACAGAAAUACUUGGGGAUGGGAAGGCUCGGGUAAUAUUUUUGCACCUCAUUUAUGUUAUGUACUUAUUGAGACUUCUUAAUAUGGCUUGUUCCUUGUUAUUUUAUUUCAUGCCUACUUUGAUAGGCUGUACGCAUGUUUUUUAUGACAGUAUGCUGUUUACAAUACUGCUCUUGUUAUGCAAUAAUGGAGUCUUGUUUUCUUAUAAAUUUUUUCUUUUCUAACAAUUUUCUCCUAGUAUUAUAAUAUAAAUUAUUGCAUCAGAAUUCCACUUUCAUAUAGCAUAUAACAUCUGCAGUGGAGGAAGAAUUUUCAUAUUAUCAUGAAAAAAAAUUCUCUCUUCUUACCCUAGCGCUUCACAGCAUGGCUUAUUACUCUGUGUUAGAGAGUAUUCUUUCCGGAGCUUAUACUUUUCAAUUUCUGUUAGUUGCUCAACUGAGUUUCAGUAGUUGGGCUAACAUGCCUUUACCGGAGGGGGUGAGUUAUGAAGGGAGAGAGGGACAAAUUCCUCCCACUUGGAACUCUGAAUCUUUUCCAGUUUACAUAGUUACUAAUCCCUAGUUCCUGCAUUUGGCACAGAGCUUUCGAGUCUUAAAAUUGGAAUAAUUGUGGCAAAUAUGCAGUAGGUAAUACAUAUUGUUUCAAGAAUCUGGAGCGGAAAAAAGUGCUUCUGCACCGAAUACAUGGAAAAAGAUGCAUAAGCAUGUGAAUAUUCUAAAACAAAUUCUCAUCUCAAUACCUUUCGGAAAAUCUUUUUUUUUUUUUUUUCCCUUUCCUUUCUCGCUCUUUUGACGUUUUCAUGUGGGAAAAGUGUUUGUCCUUUUACAAAAGAAGUCAAGAGAACCAUAGUAAUGUCACCUUUGUAGUACACAAUGGAAAUAUUUUGAGGGAUAUGAUCCUUAUAUUUGUUGCAGCAGAUCAUUUAAAAUAGUAAUGUAAUUGUAGAAUUGGCAGGCAGUCUUUUGACCACUGCAUACUAGACAUCUUUUAAUUAAGGUUUAACACUAUUUUCAUGUAAAUUGUAUUGGUAAAAAUCAUAAGGCAGUGAACAAGAACAUUUUUAUGACUUUUGCAUUAUGUAUGCACUUUUUCAGGAGGGAACUGUAAUUGAAAAUAAAUCUCAGUAAUGUUGUGUGCAAAGGUUUUUUUAAUUUAAUUUUUUUCUCAUCGUUUUUCCUUUUUCUUGUUCUAACAGAAACAGUUUUAUUAAUUGAUAAAUUCUAAACCCUCAUCAUGUCUUUCUACAAGCCUUUGUAACUUUAAGGCUUGAAUUUCAAGAUUACGAAUGGGUUAAUUGCUUAAUUGGAGGAACUAUUUUUUAAUGAAAAAAUAUUUUUAGUCCACCUUUUGGUUUCUCCUGAAAAAGCUUUUUUACAAUUAUAUAUUCUAUUCUACAGAUUGAGCUCCUACCACCUCCGGUUGGUGAGGGGUUGUCUUAUGAAGUUUUCCUCAAGGACCUACGCCCAACCUUGGAAUGGUCUCUAGACAAUGGCUGGACCGUGCCCACUUCUGUAUUGUCUCUUUCUCCUAUGUCUACAUUUUUAUGCUUGUCUGUAUUCUUUUUCAUUUUAUUCCUUCAAAAUAUAUUGCUGCUUAUAACCUUAAACCUGUUAUGACUUGUUAAAUGCAUGACACUGGCAUCUUGUUACUUGAAAGGCAAUUUAUAUUGAUAAACAAUUUUAUGAAAGGAGAAGUAAAAGGCCCAAUGGCCUAUGGGCUUAGGCACCUUGUAUUCAAAUGUAGAUGAUAUCCUUCUGCCAUAUGCAGAUACCUUGUAUUCAAAUGUAGAUAAUGAUCCUUUUUCUAUGUGGCCUAGAUACCUUGUACUCAAAUGUUGAUACCAUGUAUUUGACCUUGUAUUCAAAUGUUGAUACCAUGUAUUUGUUUUCCUUACUUGUUGGCAAUGGCUAUCUUUUGAAGGAGAAAGAAAGCAGUUAUUGUGCUCGGAUAAUCAAGCCACUGAAUCCUGUGAAUCAAGGUAGGAGUGCUGCCAGAUGCACCAUGUCUCUGCUCGUUGUUUAAGAGCAGAGCAUGGUAGUCUGGGUGCAUUUCCAUUUCUCUUCUUUUCAUUUUUCGUCCACCAAUUUCUGGUGCUCUUGUGCUGCUACCGUCUGAUAUUAGUGUUGGCCAAAAGAUGUAGACAACUAGACCUAAGAAUGUAUGUCAUUUUUUUUUUUUUCUUGCAUUCAUGUCUAUGCGACUUACAAUUUCUGAACUCCAAUAUCUAAGUUCCUAUAUGAGGACUAUAAAGCCUGGGAUUAAAUGCAGAAAUUGCUUUUCCUGAUCGCUAUUGUUGUUUCAAUAGAAACUUCCUGUAUGCAAAUUUGCUAUACACUGUGUACUGAUGUUGGUGUGCAGCGAUCCAUUCUCUCUUUAUGGAGGACAUUGUUUGAUUCACUCUGGUUUCAUAGAAUGUGGGAUCUGCAAUAUCAAAUUGUUAGGAUUUAGGAAGUUGUUAUAAAUUGAUAAGGAUUUGAGACUAACCAACAACUUUGAGUAUAUGACAUAUGAUUGCAUAACAAUAAUUUAGUUAACAUAACAGCUUGAAUUCUGCUGGCGGGUGGAGAAACCUACCUGGACUGGGCCUGUCUAUGAUUAUCAGAUUUCAUCUGCUUAUAUAAAUAGAGUCACAAACAUACUCUCAUUUUUGGGCAUUGAGGAAACUCUCAUCCCUGCUAGAAAAUUUGGCUUGAUGCCCCUUGAAGUUGUUUGAUAACCAUUGAAGAGGUAUAAUUGUAAGUGGGAAUAAUGAUCAGGUGCGGGCAGUUGCACACCUUAUAGAGCGUGACUGUGCUCAGCUGAUCAGAACCCUGUUAGUAUAUACUGAUAGGGUAGUAUCAGCUUUCAAUGAGAAGUUCUAAUAUUAACCUAUCUUCUGGCUUACAAGAAGGAUCUAAUUUAAUUUUUAUUAUGGUUUGAAUUUUUAAAUUUGAUGGGAACUUCUGUUUCUGCAGAGGGCUCUCAAAACUUGAUGGUCCCUCCAGUAGAAAUGACAGAGAAUGCUCAGCCAACAGCUGGACCAUCACCUGAAUGUAAUGCUUCAUUUUCUUCUCGUAUGUCGACUAGUUCACUACCAUCUCAGGACAAAUCAGAGCGACAUGCAAAGCGACCUUUGAGCCCUGCGGCUUCUAAGGAGAUGCAUGCACUGGAAACAAAAAUGGGCUUUGAUGCGGUGGAUUCAGGCAUUGGGAAAUCAAGUUAUUCAGAUAGUGUUUCAAGUUCACAAAUUAGAGAUGCAGCAACUGAAAUGCCUGAUACUGAUGCCGGAAACAAAAGUUGUGAGAAUAGUGGAUCCUCAAAGAAGAUGAGAUACGAUAGAAGCAUUCCUUUAAAUUCGUCAUUUUCUGAUACAAUAGAAGCAGCAAUCUUAGACUAUGAGGAACUUGUAAACCGGGUUAAAUGGAUCAAGGCUAUCUUACAGUCGGGGACUAUUCCAUCGAAUACCGUGCGACCAAUGUGGAAAUUUUUGGAGCACCGAUCAUCAAAAAAGAAGGUUAGCUUGCUUAAAUGACUACCUUUAGACUUCAGUAUGAAUGUCUGCAUUAGUAAAAAAAAAAAAAAAUUAAUGUGCUGUUCUCUCUUAAUCGAUUUUGGUCCUAUUGAUAUUCCAGGAUUAAGAUUGAAUCUCUAGCCGAGCUUGGGACCUUUCAACACCCGCUUAAAUCACUCUUUGGCAAACAGAUAGGAUGGGAAACUGAAGUUAAUUAGUAAGUUUUCCCUUCUGAUUUGCCUACCGGAACAAAGUUUUUCGGUUCUAUGCAUACCCCCUGACUAUUGGUGAUGGAAUGAAUUAUCAGCUUUUAGAAGACAUUAUUUUCACUUCAAGAAGAGUUAUCGGGAGCAGUUCUGGGUCUGUUUUCGCUUGGGCGGUUUCUUUUGCCAGGUGUAAUAUCUGCUUGGUUGUACAACAACUAACCUUUGAAAGGAUUGAUACAUACAUACAUACAUACAUAUACACACACAAAUGUGUCAACCAUGUUGGAUUUUAUUCCAAGCUUAUUUUUUUGGACCUGCAUACAUACAUUUGUUAUUCACACGCAAACGUGUCAACCAUGUUGGAUUUUAUUUCAAGGUUAUAUUUUUGGAACUACAAGCUUAUACGGGCAUGUUUUGGUAUCAAUUUGGAAAUUUAGUCAAUUCAGGGUAGAUUGUUGGCAAAUUCAAUCAAAUAUUCAAAUCCAUAAACACAAAAUAAUAAUAAUAAUAAUAAUAAUAAUAAUAAUAAUAAUAAUGAUAAUGUUGUCAAAAGAAAUAUGUUCUUAAUGGGACUAGUUAAUAAAAUUUUGUCUUAUUACUUGAAGUAACACCAAGCCCUCGAGGGGUCUGCUAAGAUGUUCUUAAUGGGAUCAGUUGAUAAAAUUUUGUCGUCAUAUCUCUUAUGUGGUUAAAAAAAUCACUUUAAGAUAUGGAUUAAAUUAAAUUAAAUUACAAAGGCACGUGCAAUUUCCAAACCCCGCACCCCCCAGCAUGCUUCGCUCGUUUCCUCACUCUCCUAAUAAAAAAUGUACAAACACAUAAAUCUAUCGAUGUGGGAUUCUUCUACCGUUUCUCUGCACCGAGCCCCAAUUCGCUUAGCGAAACACAAAUUUAAUAGUUAUGCUUCAUGGAUGACGUUAGUUUGUUGGAGGACAUAAAAGUAAUUUUCUUUUAAAUUUGUUAUUAUUAUUUUUUUUUUCGCUUAGAAAAUUUCUCUAUGGUCCAAAAGUUUAGAUACCGUCACGGAUACGCAACGAAAUAUUGUCGGAGUAGAGCGACAAAACAUCUUUUAUCAUAUGUGGGCUGUUCAAUGGUUGCAAAAUAAAAGACGUGUGUGUUUUUUUGGCCUUUUGGAUUGUGUUAGUACUCUAGUGGUGUUUGGGCAACCUCGUGAUUCCCUUAGCGAUUUGCUAUCGGGCCGCCAAAAUUUGUUUGUCUUUUCGUAUGUUCUGAUUAGGGAUGGCAAAAUAAUCCAGACUCGGCUCGGACUCGGAUGAAUCCGGAUAAUCCGGGUCGGGUUGAAUCCGCACCGGAAUAUAAAAAAAUUUGGGUCUGGAAUAAAUUUUAAUAACCCGGAUAUAUCCGGGUCUGGGUCCGAAUUUAGGUUAACCCGGACAUCCGGAACCCGGACCCAGAUAUUUAAUUUUAAUAUUAUUUUUUAAUUAAUUUUAUUGAUUAAUCUAAAUGUGUUAUUGUUUAGAAAUGUAUUAAUUUUUUAUUUUUAGAAUUUUAGAAAUUAAUAUUGAUCCAUUGAUCCGGGUUCAAAACCCGGAUUUUUCCGGGUUGAACCCGGACCCGGGUGAAAAAAUCCGGGUUAAAAUCCGGGUCCGGGAAAAGAAAAUAGUAUCCAGGUCCGGAUCCGGAAAGGCUAAACUCGGACCCGGAUUUUGCCAUCCCUAAUUCUGAUGCUGCCUUUGUAAUGAUUAACGUAUUUGAUUUUGGAAACCUCUCUCACUGUUAAAAGUGAUUGAAACCCUUUAAAAUGAUUAAUAUAUUUCGGUAUUUGUUUUGAAAACAUCUUCUCCCUGUUAAGUAAUUAAUUCAUUGAACAAUUAUCUUUGGCUUCGCCUCUGUGAGGUCAAAGUGAAAUACAAACCCAACUUCACUUGAAGGAAGUCCAAAGAGAGCAAGCUGUUGAUUCAUUCACUUACUCAGGAUCCCUUGGAUCUAUUAUUGCAUGUCACACCCCACCUGUUUGCAAUUGAACAACUCUUUGAAAAGCCAUGAUACUUUAGACCACGUGAAAAAAAAAAAAAAAAUUUGAUAGAAUGUUAAUACAAACAAUGUAUGAUUAGGCGGCUGGAUUUACUUUGUUAAUUGAAAAAUAUUAAAAAGACAGAGAAAAUUGAGGGUGCGUUUGGGAUUAAGUUUAGGUAGCUGUACCUUUUAAGGUACAGCACUAAAGUGCUUGAUAAACACUAGCUGUUGUAGCUUGAAAUAUAUGUUGAUAUAAUUUUUCACUUAUAUAAUAGAAAAUCUAUUAUAUCUUUAAUAAUUUUAUCAAAAUUAUUAUUUAAAAUUUACAUUUAUAAUAUAUUACUAACUUUUAUUUUAUAGUUAUAAUUUUUUUUCCACAACAACUAUAAUUUAAAAGAUACAUCACCUCAAUUACAAAUAUACUCUGAAUCCGGUGUUAUUAACUUGUUUCUGUCAGCACUCUAUCAAUCAACCUUUAAUUUCUGGAGCUGGCUAAGUUACAGAUUCUGUAUUCUGUAACAUACAGAUCCAACUUAGCCAACUCCUGAUUGGUUAGCUAGCUACCAAACAAAAACAAUUGCAUGCUGUUUCUCCAUAUGCACGACAGGUGUGGUGCAUGCAGAAUCUGUAAGGUAGACAGGUCCUUAAUUUCUUUAGUAUUUUGACUCUCUUUAAAAGCAAGCACAUGUGAUGUUCUUUAUGGACCAACUCUAUAGCAAUUAUAUCUUUGUGAUGGGAAAAAUCUCAGCUUCUUAUGCGUAUAUUGAUUCUUAUUAUAUUCAUUGAUUAAAAAGUACAACUCUUGCCUUUGAAAUAAACCUACUAACACAAGGUCACAGGCAGCAAAGGAUGAGAGCAAACAAAAACAUGGAGAAACAACAAAACUCUCUCCCACUUCACGUUAGCCAUGUUAAAAAAUCCUCCUUAAUAAUCAAUAGGUCAUUUGCACUGCUUCAUUUUACAUCCUUAGCUUUCUUGGGGUACUACAGAGUCUCUUAUUUCUUCCAAGUAUCCAACGCCAGAGCCGCGCCGCUGUUGCCAUGGCUUCUAGUCUUUGCUGCCGAGCUUCUCCUCUCCUUUCAGUGGCUCCUAGGCAUAGCUUAUUGCUGGCGUCCCAUUUCUCGUACCGUUUUCCCCGAAAGGUUACCGGAAGCCGAGCAACUUCCGGGUAUAGAUGUGUUUAUUUGCACUGCGGAUCCGACUAAAGAGCCAACUGUGGAGGUAAUGAAUACGGUUUUGUCAGCUAUGGCGCUUGAUUAUCCGCCAGAGAAGCUGCAUGUUUACCUUUCAGACGAUGGAGGUGCUUCUAUAACUUUGCUUGGUAUGAGGGAAGCUUGGAAGUUUGCAAGAUGGUGGCUUCCGUUUUGUAAGAGGUUUGGGAUCAAAACAAUAUGCCCUGAAGCUUAUUUUUCUGAUCCAGAGAAUGGUGAUGGUGACUCUGGAAAUGCUGAGUUCAUUGUUGAGAGGGAAAAGAUUAAGGUUCGUUUGUUAUUAUUACUGUUAUUAUCAUACUAAAAUCUUAGUCCUGAAAAUCUGAAGUAGAAAGAGAUUUAAGAAAUAUGUUGAAACCUUCUAACUUAUUUAGGUUGAAAAAGAAUAAUUUUAAUGCCAUUUUUCUAAGAUGCUUUUUAAAUCGUUUGUUUUUGUUUUUUGAGUGCAUAGACAUUCUAUUGAGAUAGAUUUGUUGAUUGCAAAUGCUUUUGGUGCAGGAAAAAUACACUGAGUUCAAGGAACGGGUAACGAGAGCCAUUGAAAAAUGGGGGCUAGAGAACGAAGGCAUUUCCAGAAGUCGAGAUCAUCCUUCUGUGGUUGAGGUAUAAUAAUAUGAUGAAAAUAUCCAUUCCCAUCGCUUGAUCAAUAAUGCUAUAAUUUGACUUUGACUUUUUUUUUUUGGGGUUAAAGUAGCAUAGUGAUUUUGACUCUUUUGGCAUCACAGCAUUGAAUCCUACUUUCACAGACAGAGACCCUCAUAAAAAAUAACAAAGAGAGAUAAGGAUUAAACUAAAAUUUUACUCAUUUAAUGUUUGGUCCUUAUCGAUUCACUUUUUUUAUGACAUAUGACUUCUCUUGAGUUUGUUAUUGUUAUAUUAUGGUCCCCAUCGGAUCAAAAUUUUAGUUGCAGCCAAAAAUUGAGAAUCCGGAGGGACCAAAAGUCAUAAGAGUAAACUUUUAAGAGUCACAAUUAAAAAGAAAAAAAAAGAGUAAACAUAUUAAAAUAAGGGUAAAAUAUCAAGUUGACAAAAUCAUAGGGCCAAUUCUUAAAAGAGUUAUUAACAACUUAAUAUGUGUUUUUUUUUUUUUUUUUGGUGUUUUCGCUAUUGAGUAUACUUAACGACACGACUGGUGAUUUCAUUUUUCUGCAGAAUCUGGCUAUUAAAUUAUAUAUAAUCGGUUCACAUAUACGCAUAUUUUUCAGGUGAUAGGAGAAAACGAUAAUGAAGCAGCGAAUCAGGAACAACAAAUAAAUAAUAAGAUGCCUCUCCUUGUCUAUGUUGCUCGCGAGAAAAGGCCUUCUCAUCCACACAAUUUCAAGGCUGUGAGGCUUAAACGUUUUUGUAUGAUCUUCUCUAAUCAUUCACACUCACACCGUCACACACACAUGGUGCAUAUAUAUAUUUUUAUUGUCUUUUAACUGUGUCUACAUGAAAUCCGCAUUUUAAAUUAUGGUGCAUAAUUUAAUUGCAUGCAUGCGCUUAACAAAAGCUGUUGUUGAUGUUGUAGCUUCGGGUUUCUGGUGUAAUGAGCAACUCUCCCUAUAUAUUGAUGCUAGACUGUGACAUGUAUUGCAAUGACCCAACUUCGGCUAGGCAAGCGAUGUGUUUCCACAUUGAUCCCAAAAUCUCUUCCUCGUUAGCGUUCGUUCAGUUUCCUCAGAAAUUCCAUAACAUCAGUCAGGAUGAUAUCUAUGACAGCCAGCUCCGAUACAUAUUCUGGGUACGACCAUAUUGAACCCUUCCGCUGCCGGCGUGCGUACCCAAAGGAUAAUUAUUUGCCGGUCAUUAGACUGCUUAAUUACAUUUUUGUCAUGACUCAUUUGAUUGCUAAUUUGAAUUUUUAUUUAUUUUUUGGUAAUUUACCAUUUUAGUCAUUAUGGUACGGUAUGGAUGGGCUAAAGGGACCGAUCGUGUCUGGUACAAACUUUUACAUGAAGAGGGAGGCACUUUACAGCGUUUCUAAGCAAGAAGGUAAAUUUGCUAGCAACUAAUUGAUGUGCAUAUAUCAAUUAAUAAUGUAUUGUUAAAAAAAAAAAAUCAAAAUCUCUAUUUCACUUAACUUUUAUUAUUGCAACAUUUAAAGUUUGUAGUUCUUGUUUAUUAUAAUAAACAGGCAUUGACCUCACAGAGCUGAAGAAUUCUUUUGGUCCAUCCAAUGAGUUCCUCAAAUCUCUUCGUCGAAACUCCAAGCCAAGCAGAUAUGAUAAUGAUUCAUCAAGCACUUUGCUACAAGAGAGCAAAUUUUUGGCCUCAUGUGCCUACGAAAGUAACUCAAAAUGGGGUGAAAAGGCAUGUGUCUAUCGUACAUAAUUAAUACCUAAAGGAACUAAUUAAAUUAUUGUGAUGACACAUUGUGUUUAUUUACUAACCAAAGCUAUCUAGCUUUUAACAUGCAGGUUGGUUUUAUGUAUCAUUCUCUUGUUGAAGAUUACUUCACAGGAUUUAAACAACUACACUGCAAAGGAUGGAGAUCGGUGUAUCUUAACCCGGAAAGGCCGCAAUUUUUGGGCACUUCUACAACAAACUUAAAUGACUCGUUGGUUCAAGGCACGAGAUGGAGUUCGGGAUUGGUUCAAGUAGCAAUCUCAAAGUAUUGCCCUCUGAUAUAUGGACCACCGAGGAUGUCUUUGCUUGAAAGCAUGGCCUAUGCUGACCUUGGAAUGUUCCCUCUUCUUAAUUGCUUGCCUCUGUGGUGCUUUGCCACCGUCCCUCAACUCUGCCUAUUGCAUGGCAUCCCAUUGUACCCUGAGGUAAUUCAUAUGUUAUUUGAAUAUAUAACAUUGGUAC